GCAAUUGUUUACGUGACAAUACAGAGUUCCAACAAUCUAGUCUGAUUUGAGAAAACAAAGCUAAUAUCAAUCACAAGAAUAUCUAGAAAGCGCUAUAAGCACCUUUAAAAAAUGAGUAACAUGACUUCAAACAAAAUGCACUUCUACUGAUUUUAAUCUCAAACACUACACCGAUCCAAGGCAACUAUCCGGGCCCAAGCAAUUCCUGCUAAAAAACUUCAAUCUCAACUGCCAAACCUGCAUAGAAUCAAAACACAUACAAAAUUGUAAUAAGUUAUAAAAGAAAGCUUCCAAACUAAUCCAGAGUAAUAACAUCCGUGGAAACGCCACUACUAUAUUAUGGAAAUAGGUAAAUGUGUGUAACACACGUGAAAACAACAGACUAGUUACAAGUUCAAAAAAAUUAGUCCGAAGAAAAGUGUGCCAAAUGAAAGUAUAAUCUAAGUUAGGCUACAAGUGACAAGUAACAAGCACACAUCACAAAGCUAAAAGUACAGUAGCAGUAGCAGUUGGUCCAGUAAUCGGUUCUGGACCGAACAGACAAUAUGUGCAUGGGGCUAACCAGGCUGGGAGUUGUCUCUUUUCUGGCCUAGUGAACAAAGAUGAGACAUGUACUUAGUUUUUUUUCUGAGAGGAAGCAUUGCCCCUGUACAUGUAUUUAGUUUAUCUUGAUCAACCGUUUCUGUACUAUAAAAGAAAUGAGAAAAAAAAGUGACAUGCACUUAGGUUUUUUUGUGAGAGGAAGAUGUGCGCACAUGUAAGUACUUGGAUUUCCUGGAUCAAAAUUUUCUGUAUAAGCGAGCAGCUGAAAAUUAUGUAAAAAAAUCCGCCAGCAUAGACACUGUACCACACCAUUCCUUAGCAAACAAAAAUGACAGUAAAGAAGUGACAGACUAACUUCAAGAUAAUUAACACAAACUGGGCAUAAAAAUAGGCCAAGUUCAAAUCAAAAUAUGUUAUGUUGUGGACUAUACUAGCUCAAUAUUUAAAUCAAAAUCAGCACCUAAGGAUUUUUCAUCUAACUUGAUGCUUAUGCUGCAAGUUCAUCUCAAAGUGCCAACAAAUAUAGUACUAAACAAUACUUGCUUGCCAAGUGAAGUUCAAAUGGCAUGCAAAACAUUAACAAAGAACAUGAUACAAUUUCAUUGAGAGAUCUCCCACACUAAUAGUUUAUUUGUGGGGUACUAAACUAUGUACUUUUAUUUCAUGAAAAAAUUAAAAUCUGCACUGUAGUAAAUUAUUAAACAAGAAAACACUUGAUAAACGGUAAACUAAUAGUUAGGAAAGUCUAGUAGAGUAUGGAUACAAUGCAUGAUCUCAGGGACAUUGUCCAAUGCAGAUUUUAGGCACACAGAAAUAUCUGUACAAUUAUAACUACUAGAACCACACAACAGUCCACACCUUGAACAACUCACAACAGUCCGCACCUUGAACAGCUCAAAAUCUACAGCCUGAAUAAUUCACAUCAAGAAUGGAAGGGUAUCAAGCUCACCCUAUUCUGCUCAAGGACGGUGUCGUCGGCAUCGAUUAUGUGGGAGAUGUACUGACUAUAAUGUGCAAAGCAAAGAUAUUAGUGUGACAAUUGGAUAUGUGGUUUCAUUCAUUAUUACUGAAAUGCAAAUGUUGUCUCAACUGAACCGAAUUCUUACAGAACUAUGCCUUCCCAAAUGUCUAAAUUUACUAACUGAAUUCUUAAAGAAUUGAUUCAAUUGCAUACUAACUGAACUAAGGAACAAUGUACAAUGGGUAGCCGCACAUUAUUUUCCAUCUUUGCAUUGGUGAGACUAAAACACAUAUAUCAGACACCAAAUUACUAGUCCUUAAAAUGUGCCAACUAAAAUGAAAUACCUUUUGAUGUGAUAUACACUAUAAACCUCUACAUGUCCAGCAGGCAGUAGCUAAACUGAACAUUUGCUGCCACUGACAGCACAUGCUUUUGACCCUAAACACACAUGAAGGUAUCAAGGAGGUUAAUUGAACAUGGUAAAACUGAAAUAUUUAACAUUUGUUGAUUUUAUAUCGAUUCAUUUAAUACAUUGAGGAACCUAAACAGAUAAAACAACCGAAUUAAAAAAUAGAUGUGAGUUAUCAACCCUUCAGACUAGCAAACUUAUGGCAGUUUAUCUUAUGUAGCGUAAUGUAAAUACAGGAAUUAGCACACAACAUAAUUAUCCUUCUGUUAGUUUAUCCUCAUGUAUCCUUAUUUAGUUUAUAUUGCAUACAGGGAUUUUGUUUGAAUUACUGCUUCAUCUAUUCAUUUCAUUUCUUCCAUUCUGUCAUACGGAUUCCAUCUUUCCUUAGCUUUGUGAGUCCACACACCGGCUGUAGAGGAGGAACAAGCGUCAGUAUUUGCAUCUAAUUCAGAAGAUUAAAACAAGGAAGAAGAAAUACACUAACAAUUAAGAGCAUAUCUAGGAAAGGAGAAGUUGCACAAUAUAACUAGCUAAGGAGACCAGGCCAGCUCGUCCUCUGCACUGAAUUGGGUGUAAGAUGCAUAUAUUUUUACUACAAUCCAUUCCAUUUAUCUUAUUUUACUUUCAUAUAUUAAAAUCGGUGCACAUGAAUGCAUGCAUCUAACAGUAUCAUAAGAAUCGUAUGCUUGCUCUUUGCACAUGUAGUACGUUGCACCAAACACAUUCUAUUAUGGAUACUACAGAGCCUUAUUUUAAAAUUCUGCCACAACAUCAUUGUUAAGUUACAACUAAUUCAGAAUUUGUGAAAAAAAUAAGCAAACCUUCUCAAGUGGCUAGCUUCUAAUGGUAUCGAUUUUCCAAGAGUUGUUAUUGAAUACAUCAUGGACAGAAAUCAUGCACAAAGCUCGUUGUGCACUAUAAAAAACAGUAUGCAAACCAUUAACUUUAGCAACAUUAGCUAUACCUGAAUGAUGAUAUUAGAAAAUAGAACAUCCACUCAACUGAUUAUGCAAAAAGCACCUAUGAAACAACACCGAAAUAGUGCAUCCACCAAAAUGGUUAUGCAAAAAGCACCUACGAACCAGCAUACAGGCCAUGGGAUUAACAAGUUUCCCACACUAUCCAACACAUAAUACAACCGACUAAAGGUGCAACGAGUCCUACAAGAAAAACUAGAUUCCUACUAGCCAAUUUAGCCCAUUAUUCAGGCGCAUACAAGUAGUAAUCUACAUGUAACAGAGUAUGGCCCAGUCAUGCGCUCUGAACAGAGGAGGGACGCAGCUCACCAAAGAGGCUUGUAGAUGAUGUAACUGUCGCAGUGCAGGCCAGACACCGCCGUCGCGCGGCAGAGGAGGUCGUCGCAGGAUGCACGACCGUGCCGGAGACGCGGAAGAGGAGGCUGGGGUCUCUGCUGUCAAGCCCAACACGCGCGAGCGUACCGAGCUAAGGGGCGCCAUCCAGGAGGCAAAGAGGGCACGAGGGGGGUGCGGUGUGCGACGGAGAGGAGCCGCCGGACACAUGCCGUCGAUGGACGCGACGCCGCAGCCAAAGCCCUAGCCAUGGGACAGAGGCCGCGGGCGAGCACCGGAGACCGGGAUCGACGGAUCCAGCCAGUCAGGAAGACGGAGAGGUCGGAGACCAGGUCGUGAGUCUGGUACGUGGUGGCCGACUUUGUCGGAAUCGGCGGCCGUUGGUCGCGGCGUGAGUGGUCACACGAGAGAGAGACAGAUGGGUUCCUGGAGGGAUGGUUGGGUGGGGGAUCUGGCGGAUCUGGCAGCUGCCAGAGUUGCGAGGCAGGAGGAGGGAAGGGGGAAGGCCGGCAGCGAGCCGUGAGAGGACGGAGGCAAAUAGGUGGUUGGCGGCGAUGCGUGGGAGACGAUGGGGAAUUGGGAGGAGGGUGUGGCCACGAGCCGAGGAACAAAGUCUUAGGGUUAGGUUUUAUACGGGAGUGGCUAGGCGGGCUUUAGCGGGCUUGCCGGGCUAUACCGGGCCAUCGAUGACAGUUUCUGAAACUGUCAACAGAAAUCUGUCAUAAAUUAACAUAUUUCUUGUAGUGGGUGGACGGCUCCGGCAGCGGCCAUCGCGCCAGAUUUUUCCACGGCCUUCUAGCUGUGGUGGGGAGGAGAUAAGGCUGAUUGUGACAGAGAAGGAGUUGUUUGUAAACAGGGAACAAGUGCGGGCAUCUUUUUGCAAAAAUGGAGAAGCUUGGUUUGUAUGCGUCAGAUCUAGAUCCGACGGCUAUUGGUGAAAGAUGGGAGGCAAAACAUCAUCACCAACUCAGGACCUGUUUGAUUUGCAGGAUUUUGAAAAUGCAGGAAUAGGACACAGCAAUAUUACAAGUUACAAACUGAUAUUACAAAUGUUAGGAGUAAUGCUGCACCUAUGAAGAGGGAAUUACUACGAAGUUUACGUAAGAACUUUCGUUACUUUAGGUGGAUGCAACAUUAUCGUACAAACUAAAAUCCACCGCCCUAACAAGUCACUAAUGGGCAAAUAAGUUUUCGAGUCUCUGGCCACUUGAUGUUUCAAAAACAUAUUCAGCUUCUGCGGAGACUUUGUCAUUUAGUCUUAGACGCUUGCGGUGAACAGCACGCCAUUCAUUGUUGCGCCAGAGAACGCCAAACCUCAUUACCUUGAGCACACUUGCCUCCAGAACAAAGAACCUAGCCAAUUUAAUCUCAGAUGUGCUGCCUCGGUAGUCGAUCAAAUCAAUUUCUGUAAGAUGGAGAUCAAGGCAUUCGAUGAGAUUGUUAUAGUGCAGCACAUUUUUCACUUUCGGGUCUUCUUUAUCUGCAAAAGAAGAGAACAUAUUAGAGCAGCUGGCUGCAUAAGAUUGCCAUGUCAUCAAGAGGUACCAAUAUCAUUCGCUCAUAUGAUAGGGUUGGUUGGCUAGUGAUAUUUUUUCACUCACUCACUCACUCACUCUCUCUCUCUCUCUCUCUCUCUCUCUCUCUUUCUGUUUCCUCUCAUUUAACUAGGAGCACGUGAAGAGCUUGGGCAUUUGUUGCCUUCCACUAUGUGGCCGAUGCCAUAUUUCGCAAAAGUAUGCCACAUAAUACGCAUUGAUGUCAAAUCAAAAGAUUUUGGCACCGCUCUCGCGAUGUGAGAGAGCUGGCACCGCUGUGCACACAGACCACAUGUAUAAACAAAUCAAUCAAACCAACUACACCAGCCUCUCACUCUCCCAAACAAGUGUUUUUAUUGCCUCAGUCCUCUCUCUCUCCCACGCAGUGUUUUUUCAUUGCGUGAGUUAAUUUGGCACCGGAGCAAAGUAGGUGAUCCAGAUUGGGGCACCAGGUGAGCAAUGGAGGGGCAUCGAUGCCAAAUGCAUCACAAGUGAAUUUGGCACAUGUUUUGGCAUACAUAGCCCACUUUUGUACUCCCUCCGUCCCAAAUUCUUGUCUUAAAUUUGUCUAAAUACGGAUGUAUCUUGUUACAUUUUAGUGUUAGAUAGAUCCGUAUCUAAACAAAUGUAAGACAAGAAUUUUGGGACGGAGGGAAUACUACCUCGUAUGUAGUAUAAAAUUUUGACCAUAGAUUUACCUAAGAAAAUGCCAAUGCAUGUCACUAAAAAUUACACCAUUUGAAAUUAUGUUCAAAUACGAAUCCAACGAUAUAGUUCUUAGUGACAUGCAUUAACAUUUUGUCAGUUAAAUAUAUGGUCAAAUUUUGAUACUACAAAAUUGGAAGAGUAAACCAGGACGGAGGUAGUACUUGCUCUUAGGGUAACCAUAGAGUUACUGGAGUAGUCUAAGUUACUUUCCAAUAUGACUAGCCUAGGCUACUAUAGUAGUACAGCAUAAAAACGAUGCAGGUGAUCAUGUGAGAAAAAAUACUAAAAACAUUUCUUUCGGUGCAGUGCGUAGAUGCAGUUUUCAACACUACACUUGUCAUCGUAAUUUGGGAAAAUUACAAAAAAAUUGAGCUACGUUGUCAUUACCGUUUACUUAUAGGAAAGAAGUUUCACCUCGAUGAGUAGCUUCUCCGUGCACGGAAAGCAUGUAAGGAAUCCAACAACUUGAUCCAGAUUGGGGCCGAUAGAUUUUAGUGCUAAGAUCUUCACUGUGCGCAUGGACUGGGUCAAGCUUGUGGGACUCAUUUUCUAGAAGACGGUCGUAAAUACAUCAAGAAGAAAUUUAAAAAUGUGAAUUUUAAGAAGACGGAGAAGAAGAUGAGUGCUGUACCUGAACGAUUACGGAUCCAAUAAACAGUUCGGAGAAUUUGGUAGACGAGUACACCAACGCUGUCAAAUUCGGCGCGUCAAUGACCCUGAUUUUUGUUGGACCUUCUAGAUCUGAUACAAGCAAUCUCUCAAGGAAAGGCGCAUUCUCAAUGACCAUAACGUGGAACAGCUGGAGUGAUCUCUUCCCAAUUGAUGUCUUGUGCGGGGCUAGCAAGACACAUAAAUCCAUCGGAGAUUCGUCGAGGCGAUGUGGAGGCUAAUGAACCUGUGGAUCUGAUCAAGACGAAGGUUGAUGCGGGCAAGGCACCAUUGAUCGAUAAUUCUACUAAAGCUGAGCCAUUUGAUGAGUCAAGGCAUGAAAAAGUUGUGGAAAAUAAUGCUAAGCAUGCGACCAUAUUAUGCCGAGGAAACGAUGGCCGUGUGCGACAGUUUUGUGGACCAAAAAAUGCUCUUUCUUAUUCAUGUAUUUUCAUACGCGGGUGAAAAUUAUCUUGAAGGUUGCUAGGAGGAACAGGGGGACGAACUGUCGAUCAAGCAUCGCCGUGAAAGAUCGGGCAUCUACAAGCACAAAUUAGCACCUCGCUAGUCUGUGCCUCAUCAAAGGUACUCGAGCGCAGUACAGCUGCGGAGCAGGUGCUCCAUAGCCUUCUUCGAGAUGACAACGUCGAAGAUGUCGAGCUUCUUGAGUUGAGGGAGAAGAAGGGCGUGCGCGGCAUUAAUCUGGGGAAGAUAGAAGGAGCUGAAGCUGGCGCAGCGCAGCGUUGGCGCGAGUCGGAGCGCGGACGGCGGUAGAGAGUUACAUCGUCCAGCUUUAAAGCUGAGCUCCUCGAGCUGAUCUAGGGCGCGGGAUAAGAACCACUCGUCGAACUUGGGUUGGACCUUGCAGUUGGUACUGAACAUGCGGAUGCCAAGGCGACUGGCUGGCCCAGGGUGCGAUGAAAGGAUCUUGGAGACUGCGGCCAUGCGUUUGCAAUCCCUGUCGCAGAGGCAGCUGUCGACGGUGAGGUUGAGGGGGACGCAGCGCCAAAGGGGGCGCCACCGCCGGGAGAGCAGGGCGGUCCACACGGCAGAUUUUGUGGGGAGGAGGCCGAUGAUGAUGAGCAGCAUGUCAUCGGGGAGGCUGCUGAUGAAGUCCAGGCUCGCCGGAUGCGGUUUUGGCUCGAGCCGGCUCCGCUUGUUGGCUACCUCGCCGUCCAUCUCAACCGGCGGCGACGCCGCUGUACACGUGUGCUAGUGUGUGUUGUGUGCUGGGUGUGCGCGAGUGCGUCCUUCUGUGCAUGCCGCCGCGCAGUGGUGAAUUGUGCGUGAGUGCGUCCUUCGCGCGCAAGAAGUUGUCCUCAAUGCGACCUCAAUUUACUAGCGUGCGGGGUGCUACCCCGAGUGGUUUCAACUUUGUUUACUUCACGGCGUGUCAGAUGGGCCUCUAGUUUACUUAUUUUCACCCACUGCCACAUGGGCCAAAACACGAAGAUACAGAACACGAUCUGACAAGGCAGCAUCUGGAUUGGUUGACCGAUCAACUAAACAAUAUACGGAGUUAUACGCUGACACAAUGAGCGUCUAAUCCAUCGGUAUAGAGAGUUCGAGUGAGAGGGGAGGCCCAUGAGAGAUAGCAGAGAGAGAGAGAGAGAAAGAGCUACUCCCUCUGUUCGAUAAUGUACUUCCAACAUUUUUGUAAGUCAAACUUUUGAAACUUUGACCAAGUUUAUAAAGAAAUUACUUAUAUCUACAAUACCAAAGAUAAAUGAUAGUAUGAAGUAAGUCCAUGUUUUGAUGAAUCUAAUGUUCGCUCCAGAUGUAAAUGUUUUUCUCCACAUAUACCUGGUCAAACUUUUCUGAGGUUUGACUUUUCAAAACAUCCAUAUGCUUAUGGACGUGACAGAGUCCCUAACUAGAGAGAGAGAGAUAGAGAGAGAGAAUGAGUGAAAAAAGUGUGUGUGCGUGUGAGAAAGAGACAUGGACAACACACGAUAAAAGAAGAGAAAAAGCAUGCGUGUCUUAUGCAAACAUAUCACACAUGCAUCUUCGACAACGGAGGCAAGGUGAGGAGAUAGUGUGUAGUUGUUUGGAACCGAGAGAGCAAGACCCCUAGCACGUGGCCAAGAGGGGUCUGACAAACAAGGGAGAGAGGUCGAGAGAGACGUACGGAGAAAAUGCAGACAUGGGGAGGAGAGAGUGUAUGUUUGUCAUAGAGAGAUCCCCUGGAGAUCGUGAUGGGACUACAUGGGUGGGAGAUCGAGUGACAAGGUGUGUGCGCGAUAGAAGAUGCCCCGAGAGAUAUCGAGAUAGACGCAUGGAUGGAAGGAGACAAUACGUGUGUUCCUGAUGGCUAGUAAGAGAUAAUCAUACUUAGGAGGAGGGGGAGUGCUUGCGCCUAUGAUGGAGUGAGGGAUUAUGGUACUUAGGGGGGGGUGCAUGUCACAUGGAGAGAGAACACGGGCGGAGAGUGUUGGAUGGGUCUAUAUGUAUAGCGCGAGCGAGACAUGUGUAUGUCUGAACCAGGGAGAUAUAAGGCCAGUUUGGCUUGCGUCCUGAGCAUCUUUUGCCUGGCCUGGGGUUGUGGCUGGAUUUCAUGCAUGCUUGUUUGGUUGCUACCCUGUGAAAAAGAAAGCCCGCCUGGCCUGGCCUGGCUUCCCUUGCACUUUAAUUAGCCUGGUUGAACUCCACACACUGCAAGUAGCCUGGCCCAGGCGACCGAUUUCGAACGCCUGGCCGUGCCUGGUCAUGUGGCCACGAGGCUAACAGCAACAUGGAUGGAUAUUAGCAUUAAAUAAUUGAUGCAUGGAUUGAUUGAUGUGAUGUUGAUGCUUUGCCUGGCCCAGGCAUGAACCAAACGCUUUAGCACCACACAAGCCUGGCCAGGCAGAAAUAUUUUAUAUCUCACGUCCACACCAGGCAGUACCGGCCAUCAAGGCAUGAGGGUCAGGUCACGAACCAAACUGACCAAUAAAGUUUGAGAGAGAUUGAGGAGCCCCGAUAAGGCUGAGUGGUGCGGCAGAUAGCUAAGAGGGGGAAAGAGAUAUUCCAUCCGCUCGAUAAUGCAGUGCAUGUAUAUUUUUUAGAAGUCAAACUUUGGAAACUUUGAUCAGGUUUACGCAAAUGUUAUUUAUAUCUACAAUACCAAAGAUACAUCAUACAAAACUACAUCUCAUGGUGAAUCUAAUGGUAUAUGUUUGCCGUACUAGAUAUAAUUCUUUUUCUCCAUGUACAUGGUCAAACUUUGUGAUGUUUGACUUUUCAAUAAAUCUAUAUGCUAUGGACCGAGGAGAGUGCCUCAGUCGAGACAGAUCAAGUGCGUGUGAAGGAGAAUGAGUAAGUGUGCAAAAAGAGUAUGUGUGUGAAAGAGAAUGUGACAACAAACGAUAAAUUAGAGAGAGAGAGUGUUUUUCCGUUUCUUAUGCGAACAUAUCAUGCAUGAAUCUCCGAGAUGGAAAAGCGAGGCGAGGAGAUACACUAAGAUAGCUAGUGUGUGAUUGUUUGCAACGGAGAGAGACACCCCUAUAGCACAUGUCCAAUAGAGGUCUGGCCAACAAGGAACAAAGGUCGAGAGGGAUGCAUGGAUGGCAUGGACACAUGGGGAGGGAGAGAGGGUGUGUUUGUGAUAGAGAGAUCCCAUCGAGAUCGUGAGGGGACUAUAUGGGUGGGAGAUCGAGGGAGUGCAUGCGCGAUAGAAAGAUGCCUUGAGAGAAAUCGAGAUAUAUAGACCAUGCACAUGUUUGUGAUGGAGACUAAGAUGAGCUAGUCAUAUACAUAUAGGGGGGACUGCGUGUGCCUACAAUUGAGUGAGAGACCAUCAUACUUGGCUAGCUGGGCAUGAGAUUGUGUGUGUGCGCGUGUGAGAUGGAGAGAGAAUGAGGGGGGGAUAGAGUUUUAGAUGGGCCUAUCGAGUGCGAGUGAGAUAUGCAUGUGUAUGUGUGACCGAGGUGGAUGGAGAGUUUGAGAGAGGGGGGAAGAGCUCCGAGACGACAUAGUGGUGCGUGAGAGAGUUACGGGCAAAGAGCCAAGGAAUUUGUGUGCGUACGAUGAGUGCACCCAAGAUAUCUAGCUUGGACUAGCUAGAGUAUCAUACAUAGUGUGCGAGAGAGACCUAUAGAUGGUGUAUAUAUGCAUGCGAACUAGAAAGACCCCCCCCCCACACACACACACAAAGAGAGAGAGAGUGUGAUGGAGAGAAAGGGAGAGGGACCAACAAGGUUUUGUGUCGGAUGCGUGCGACAGAAUUGAAGAUUGUCGGCGAGAGAGAGAGAGAGAGAGAGAGAGAGAGAGAGAGAGAGAACAGGAGUCCGGGAGAGGGGGAGGUCGCAUUUUAUGCAUCAAAGACUGAUAUAAACCAUGUUUCGAUAUAAACUUGCAUUCAAAUGUUUAAAUUGGAGAAAAUGUUGUCUGCAAUCCACACAUGAACGGAUAUAUGCGUAUAUCAAACAAGUUCAUUAAUUUGACUUUCCACAUGUUCAUGGAGUACUAUAAUAUUGUACAACAUGCUACUCGAUUGAGGUGUUCAAUUUUGGAUUUAGUUCGCUAUUUUGACGUACUAAACGACCUAUUUCAUUGAAUCGAGAUAUUUCAUUUUGGGUUUGAUUCCCGUUUUUGAGUGGGUCAACUAUUUGUCAUAUAGUAAAUCGCUAGCAACGAGCAUGUAAAAACACAUUACUCCCGAGCAUCAUCUCUCCAUCUAAAAAAGAAGUGGCAAGCUAAAAUUUCAAAAUUUGAUCCGAAUCGACUUGGUAAGGUAGACGUGGAUGCUUGUUCUCCCAAAAUUUGAACGAACCGUUAAACAUCCUCUCUGCUCGGUGGAAUUCGCCCGGGCAAAUAAAUGGGAGACGCGAAAUUAUCGUCCUAUGUGGGACACGCAUCAAUUGGCCCGUUGUACAUCGAGGGUAGGUUCGUAACUUCAUCCAAGCGCGCCUUCUCCUCGGCCAAAAUGACAAGUGCCGAAUAAUUCAUAAACCAUGGUCGGAAAAACACGCUGUCCUGGCCUGAAAUAGCUCACACCCACUAUUUCAAAACAUGCUCUCCUCGCCCGAAAUCGCUCGCGCCCACUAUAGUUCAAAACACGCCCUCCUCGCCCGAAAUCGCUCCCGCCCACUAUUUGGGGAGAAGCAAAGUUACUCUUCUAUCCCCGACCCUCAGUACACAGACCCAAGCCGAGAAGCCUAUAGGCAAGGGUAGAACUGUAACUCCCCCUCACAUUUCAGACAAAUGUGNNNNNNNNNNNNNNNNNNNNNNNNNNNNNNNNNNNNNNNNNNNNNNNNNNNNNNNNNNNNNNNNNNNNNNNNNNNNNNNNNNNNNNNNNNNNNNNNNNNNNNNNNNNNNNNNNNNNNNNNNNNNNNNNNNNNNNNNNNNNNNNNNNNNNNNNNNNNNNNNNNNNNNNNNNNNNNNNNNNNNNNNNNNNNNNNNNNNNNNNNNNNNNNNNNNNNNNNNNNNNNNNNNNNNNNNNNNNNNNNNNNNNNNNNNNNNNNNNNNNNNNNNNNNNNNNNNNNNNNNNNNNNNNNNNNNNNNNNNNNNNNNNNNNNNNNNNNNNNNNNNNNNNNNNNNNNNNNNNNNNNNNNNNNNNNNNNNNNNNNCCCCAUUCAUACCUCGUGGGCGCCAAAUCACCUUCUCCCCGGGAAGCUCCCUUCUCCCGAGCAGUGAAACCUCAGCCCCACCUCCAUGGCGCCUCCCGCCGCACCAAUUUCACAGCCGCCCUCCUCCCUAAUGCCGGAGACGCUGUCCAUUUGUCGUCGUGCACUGGGCCAUGUGCCUCUUACUCCGUGCUGCUGGUGCUGCCUCGACGACGGCCGCUUGAAUCGUACCGGGGCCGAUUCACCCCCGCCGUUAUUCACGGCGCCGGAGUGGCUCCAACUUCGGAUCCGUCCAGAGUCCUGGCGCUACUCCUGCGUAGCCGUCGACCAUUGCGACAUCGCUCUUUCCCUGCCGCCGAUCGCCACCGCAACCGCGCCGGCCUCACCGACUCAGUAGCUGGACCUGCCUACUUCACCAUGCCGCCAGAUAGGUCGCACCCUCAUCUCAAAUCACUUUAUUUAGGUGUCAUUUGUCUGAAUUUUUUUCUGGGUCAAUCGAUUCCCAAUGGGAAGCAGCACCCCUCGAGGCGGCGGAGCUCCUAGGCUGCCGGUUGGCUGGUGUCUAACGUAAGGGUGUGGGGCCGCAAAUUUGCCGCGGAAGCAGUGCUUAGAUGGCUAUCUUUUAGAGUUGUGUGGGUUGAAGGUACUGCCGCCGCCGGAUCUGGAUGACGGGAAGUCUUUGUGGAUUGGCACGGGGGCGGCGCAACCACGGCAGUGCGGUGGGGCGGGGAGCGGGGUUUUGGUCGGGGCCACGAACGGCGGAGGCAGGCUAUUCUGCCGUUGGUCGCUGGCUCUUCGGGGAAGAUUCCAAACAGUGUUAGCUGGGAGGCAUAAGACGGCCAGCCAUCCGGCGUAGAUCAGACAGUACCAAAAUAAAAUAAAAUCGUGUGACCCCAAUUUAGUCUUCAGUCAACAGACGUGUGACCACUCUCGUACCUUGCUGUUGAUCUCUUAGUGUAUUUCUUCAGAUCAAAGAGAUAUGUCAUUCUUAACAUUAUGCGUUAUCUGCAUCUUCAGACGCACCGUCUUCCGACUCACCACACCUGCUCCAACAAGGGAAGCAUACACCGGAAGGGAGCUAUAGUCCCCACUCAACAGUUCCCUGCAUCGAAUGUGCGUGCCCGACAUGGACAGCCACAACAACUGCAGGGCCAUCGACAAGUUAGCACAUGAUGCUCACUUCUAUGGAUGGCAGCUAGAUAGGUUGUACCCUCAUCUUACUUGUGUGCAACAUUUAUGGCUUUGUUAUUCAUCUAAGUAUGGAAAAUAGAUCAUCACAUUUCACUGUAUAUUCAUGCUGAUCUGUUACGGGUCUUGUUCAGGAGUUAACGUUGUUCCAUAGUUCAGCUAAGAUACUUGUUCUUUAGGUAAUGUUGUUCCAUAGUUAUCAUCCAUCAGCCAAUGCUAUCCCACAGGCUGGUGAUUAUAGUAUUAUACCACUUCUAGUAUUACAUAUGUUGUUCUUUAAUACUUUUGUGUGCCAUCUAGUUAAUCUCGAGUACAAAUGAUACAAAUUAUGUAGCUUUCAUCUGUGUUCUCCCUUUAGUUUAUGAGACCUGUUGCUGCUAGUUAACCCCAGUCCUACUAUUUAUGUCGUCUCCUACAGGAACUCAUUACAUAAAUCUAACUACUAGUUGUCUUCCAUGCAUGUCAGAUAUAAUUGCACACACUGAUAUAUCCACAAGAACCUCACGGAGCAAUGUAAAGGCCAAUAAACUUGAUGUCAAUGAUACCCAAUAUGAUGGAACAUGUAAAGGCAGUUCUUCAGAAGACUUGCAGAAAGAUGAUGAAUCGUCUUCACCCCACAAGGUCCUUGCUCUAACUUGGCCUGUGAUAUGGGUACAACACGCAUAUAAUGUCCUGGAGUGUAUCUACUUUGUCCCCGCUUAGCAUGCUGAUCAUGCAUGUAAAUAUGUCAUGCAUUCCUGUUUUCAGUACCUAUUCCAUUCAUGAUAACAUGUUUUCAAAUUCAAGUAUUGUCAUUCUACUCUAUCGCAAUGCCAUCUGCUUAAUUUGGACAUCAUGCUUCUAAAUAUCUUAUGCAUUGUUAUUCAUCAGUAUGUACUUCAUCUGUCCACCAUACCAUGUUUUUUUACAUUGAAGUGUUGUUCAAGUGCUCUGUUGCAAUGCCAUCUUAUUUUCCCAAUCAUACACGUGUAUGUUGCCUUUGUUAUUUAUGUACGUAUUUCGCUAGCAUACAGUUUUACAUUCAACUAGUGUUUUUUUGAUGUGUUGUCAUGUCGUAUCCCUAGCUCUUACACCAUACUCCCUCCGUCCGGAUUACAUGUUGCCGAAAUGGAUAAAAAAGGAUGUAUCUAGAACUGAAAUACGCCUAGACCCAUCCAUUUUUUCCGGAUGGGGGGAAUACAUGUCAACAUGUCAUGCCUUUCUAUUCUUCAGUACCUAUUCCAUCUCUCUGUUGCCGCAUGUUUUAUAAUUAAAGCACCAUUCUUCUAUACAAGGCAUGCAAGGGGAAGACGACUAUGUUAGAAUCUGAAGGGUUACAAACAAGGCCUUUGCAAAAUAUCCAAACGCCAGGAGAUAAUAAACCAACUCCAGUUUUUAUAGACAUUGCUCAGCACAGAGAAACCCAACUCCUACUGAUAAUAAGUAGAUUCCAGUGGCCAAAGAACUAGUCCGCUCCAGUCCAGCAAAAAUAUGACAACUCGGUUCUAAGAAGCGUGUGCAUAUCCUUGCAUCAUGAAAUUUUAUAGCGUGCUGAUCAUAUUGUCUACAUGUUUCUUACCCAUCUCUCUUUUAUAAAAUAAACUUAAUAGAUAGCAGAAUUUCUGCAAUGGUAUCGUUUAUGAGGAAAUAUUCUUGCAGGAAUUCUCUGUGCUCCAAUGUAGAUGUAAGUACCUGUAGUAUAUCACUAUAUUUUUUACACCAACAUGUAUUUUGUUAAUCGGUGUGAAUCCAACCUUUAUCUGAUCUAAAUUUAGUUGUAGCAAAAUGUAUGAUUAAAGGCCACAAUGUUGAUUUUUGCAAGGAAAACUGCCUGCUAGUUUUGCAUCCUGAGCUUCAUGAGUGUACUAUCUCAUAUCAGUGGGUUUGAAUACUUUGGUUCUGCAGUGGGUUUUUCAGUGUUUUUUUAAUGUGUUGUCCUGUCAUAUCCCUAGCUCUUACAUCAUACUCCCUCCGUCCGGAUUAAAUGUCGCAGAAAUGGAUAAAACUGGAUGUAUCUAGAACUGAAAUAUGCCUAGACCCAUCCGUUUUAUUUCUGGAUGGAGGGAAUACAUGUCAAUAUGUCAUGCCUUUCUAUUCUUCAGUACCUAUUCCAUCUCUGUUGUAGCAUGUUUUAUAACUGAAUCACCAUUCUUCUAUAUAAGGCAUGCUAGGGGAAGAUGGCUAUGUCAGAAUCUGAAGGGUUACAAACCAGGUCUUUGCAAAAGAUCCAAAUGCCAGGAGAUAAUAAACCAACUCCAUUUUUCAUAGAUACUGCUCCAGCACAGAGAAACCCAACUCCCACUGAUAAUAAGCAGAUUCCAGUGGCCAAAGAACUAAUCCGCUCCAGUCCAGCAAAAGAAUGUCAACUCCAUUCUAAGAAGCGUGUGUGUAUCCUCGCAUCAUGAAAUUUUAUAGCAUUCUGAUCAUAUUUUGUACAUGUUUCUUACCCAUCUCUCUUUUAGAAAAUAAGGUUAAACGAUACAAGACUUCCUCCAUUGGGAUCGUAUUUGAGGAAAAUAUCUUGCGGGAAUUCUCUGUGCUCCAAUGCUGAUGUAAGUACCUGUUGUAUAUCACUAUAUUUUUACAUCAACAUGUAUUUUGUUAAUCGGCGUGAAUCUAACCUUUAUCAGAUCUAAAAAUAGUUGUAGCAAAAUGUUAAAGGCGCCAAUGUUGAUUUUUGUAAGGAAAACUGCCUGGUAGUUUUGCAUACUGAGCUGCAUGAAUGUACUAUCUCAUAUCACACACAUUACUGAAUUAUAGUGCUUCUCUGGUUGCCCAUUCAUUCAUUGUGUCAAUGUUGCUUUUGUAUUACCUUACCUGGCUGAUGAUAGUUGUGCCAUAUUGUGUUAAUUUGGUGUAGGCUAGUUGCCCAAAUGUUCGUUGUGUCAAUGUUGCUUUCCUAUUAUCUGACUUGGCCAAUGAUAGCAAUGCUAGUGUGUUAAUUUUGUGCAGGCUGCUGAAGAUAAGAAGACAAACUCUAAAAACAGCAAGGCAACCCCAUUGAUUCUUUCCAGUAAAUCUAGGCCAGGUAAUAUGGCAAUAACUCAUGAUUAAUCUGUUUGGUUCCUGUCCUAAUUUAUGUUAUGAUGAAGUGGUCGAGACACUCUCCACUAUCAAUAAUACAAGCCUGCGAAAAUCGCCAUUUGAAUCUGUUCAGUAUCCUCUGUCUCGAAUGCAACGGAAUAAAUGUAUGUUUGUGAACCAAUUAAUGGCUGAAGCAAUGAUGGAAAUGGUGGAUGAAUCAGAGGUGCAGAGUCGUGCGACACAACAACUGAUCAAUGUUUUCGAAGACAGUGUAGCAAAGCAGCAAGAACUUGCCCACAUGCUUAUGGGCGUCAUCUGUGCUGAGGUUGCAGAUUGUGACGUUGUAGAUGGUUAGGUUCUGCUCAUUUAUUUGCACUGGCAUCAAUCUUUGAUUGCCCAGUGGAUGUAAUUUCCUGUAUUAUAUGCUGGAUGUGCAACAUUAUUCCCUGUAUGCCGUACCUUUGCUUGAUCGGUUUUGGUCCUGUGCAUAAUUGCUCAUCGUAAUGGGCUUAAAUUAUCUAAUUUGGCCUAAAGACAUGAACGAACUUUAGUGGGCCCAUUAAGUUAAUGGGCCGUUACUAGGCUGAAAGUUAAUGGUCGGCCCUCUUACCUCUCGAGUCAUUAACAGGCCGACAUCGAUGCGGGCAACAGGUGGCCCCAAUUUAUUUCACGGGCCGUUAACAGGUCGUUACUAAGUUUGGGCUACAUAUGGCCCAACUAUACUAUAGGCCUUUAGCAGGCCGAAAGAGACAGCGGGCUUGUACUGGACCAUGAAGAGCAUGGGCCGCUAAGAGGCUGAAAGUCAGGUCGUAUUGUAAACGGCCCAACUGUGUUGUGGGCGUUUAGCAGUCCGAAAGAGAAACCGGGCUGGUAUUGGACCAUGAAGGGCAUGGGCCGUUAAAAGGCCAAAACUAAGGUCCGACUACAAAUGGCCCAGCUCAUUUAUGGUCUAUUAACAGGCCGAAAGGCACACAGGGCCGGGAAUUGGCCCAACACUUAAAUGGGUCGCUAUAAUGCCAAAACUCAGGUCCGACUACAAAUGGCCCAACUGAUUUAUGGGCCGUCAACAGGUUGAAAGCGACACCGGGCCAGAAAUUGGCCCAACACUUAAAUGGGCCGCUAAAAGGCCGAAACUCAGGUCCGACUACAAAUAUCCCAUCAGAUUUAUGGGUCGUCAACAGGCUGAAAGACACACCGGGCUGGAAAUUAGCCCAACAUUUAAAUGGGUCGCUAAAAGGCCGAAAGAUGUACAUCCUAAAAAUUGGCCCAUCCAUUAAAUGGGCCGUUAAUAGGCCAAAAUCUCAUCGGGCCGAUAUUGAGCCCAAAUAUAUAGCGGGCUAUUAACGGGCUCGAACUGACGAUGGGCUUCAAUGGUGUCAAAUCUUUAAUGGGCCGUUGAUGGGCCGAAUUGGCACAUCUCGUAUGGGCCGUAGGCUUAAAUGGACCUGACACAAGUAGGCCUUAUAUGGGUCGGCCCGCUAAUUUUUACUGGGGCGGCCUUUUCCACCGGAAUGGGCCACUGUUGGGCCGUGCCACGUGUCGACCUAUCAUAGGCGCCUCUUGUCCAAUGAGUGGAUGACAUCUGUCCCAACGGUGAGGCAACACGUGUUUCCUACGGCCAAUGAUGAUUUUACACAUGGAAAAUCCCCAUUGGUACGGGCUAUUAACGGGUUAUCAGAUCCAAAACCGGACCCAAUAGCUUAACGGCGUUGUGUUACGGUGGAUGCCACGUGUCGGUCACCCUUGACGAAAGCACUUCUGUGACGCGCGAUUUAUUGUCAUGGAAGUGGACACUUCCGUGAUGAUAAUUUUGGUAAUGUCAUGGAACACUUCUACGACAGCACAGGUAUGACUAUCUUGAUUCUGUCAUAAAAUCGUCAUGGAUGUACAUGCAUGACAAAAACGCGACCUACUGUGACAAACACGUAUCAUCACAGAAGUGUUUUUUUUGUAGUGGUGACUGCUUUCACCACUUCAUCACCACCGACAUCUACACCGUCAGGAACAUCUUUAUGGGUUCUGGACUCUGGAGCUUCCUUUCAUAUGUACUCUGAUUCUUCAGUGUUGUCUUCUCUUUUCCCUCUUGAUUAUCCUAUUAAUGUUCUUACUGCCGAUGGCACAUCUCUUCCUGUUGCUAGUCAUGAUAUUCUUUCCACUCCAUCAUUUUCUGUUCCUGGUGUUUCACAUGUUCCUCGCCUUAUCAUGAAUCCCUUUUCCGCUGCCCAACUUACUGAUUCUGGUUGUCGUGUCAUUCUUGAUACCGACUCUUACUCCAUUCAGGAUCAUCGCACCAAGGCUUUGCUUGGUGCUGGCCCCCGAUGUCGUGAGUCAGAGGGCCAUGGGGAGGUUGGCUGGCUUUGUGUAACUUCCGCUGCCACCACUUCUGCCAGCUCUCAUGCUCUUGUUGCCUCUUCGUCUGCGUCCUUCCAGCAGUGGCAUCAUCGUCUUGGUCACAUCUAUGGCUCUCGCCUGUCAUCAUUAGUGUGUCAGGGCCUCUUAGGCUCUGUAUCCGGAGAUGUUUCUUUACAUUGUAAUGGUUGUAGACUUGGCAAACAGACCCAAUUACCUUAUCCUACUAGUGAGUCGGUAUCUCAACGUCCUUUUGACUUAGUUCAUCUGAUGUCUCGGGUCCUGCUCCCUUUGAUUCAAAAGGUGGUCAUCGCUACUAUGUUUUGUUUAUUGAUGAUUUCUCUCGCUACACUUGGCUCUACUUCAUGAAAUCUCAUAGCGAGGUUCUCUCUAUAUGCAAACGAUUUGCUGCCAUGGUUCACACCCAGUUUUCCACGCCUAUUCGUACUUUUCGUGCUGACUCCGCUGGAGAGUAUGUCUCCCAACUGUUGCGUGAUUUUCUCGCAGGACAUGGUACUCUUGCCCAGUUCUCAUGUCGUGGUGCUCAUGUUCAGAAUGGCGUUGCCGAACGCAAGCAUCGUCGUCUGCUUGAGACGGCUCGUGCGCUGAUGAUUGUCGCUUCCCUUCCACCCCACUUUUGGGGUGAGUCUGUUUCUGCAUCCGCCUAUCUCAUCAACAUUCAGCCCUCGACUGCUCUACAGGGUGGUAUUCCUAUGGAAUGUCUCAUUGGUUGUUCUCCUGACUACUCAUCUCUCCGUAUGUUUGGAUGUGUAUGCUAUGUCCUUUUUGGCCCGCGAGAAUGUACCAAACUGACUGCUCAGUCGGUUGAGUGUGUUUUCCUUGACUACAAUGAUGAGCACAAGGGCUAUCGCUGUUGGGAUCCUAUUGGUCGUCGCUUGCGCAUCGCACGUGAUGUGACUUUUGACAAGUCUCGUUCUUACUACCCAUGUCCUUCUUCCUCGAGCUUCUCUGUGGACGAUAUUUCUUUUCUUCUCCUUUCCGAUACACCCUGCUAUGUGCCACAUGUUUCACCUCUUCCUCCGGCACCUCUCAUUCACCACCGACACCCUCUUCCCCAUCCUCCUCCUCCACCUCUCCACCAUCAUCUCUAGUUCGUCGCCCUCUCUCACCUUUUCCUCUCCACUAUACUCGCCGCCCUCGUACUGAGGAUGCUUUCCCUGAUGCACCUUCCCCCUCUAGUGCACCUCCACUCAUGCCUCCCUCGGUUCAUAACCUCCAUGCUCGGCCUCACCCCUCGCCUGAUCGCUAUUCUCCUGAUCGGUACGGUCUCUCUGUUAUUGUUGAGCCCACUUCCUAUCAGACUGUCAUAACUCAGCCUGGAUGGCAGCUUGUGAUGGCCGAAGAGCUUGCUGCCCUUGGGCGCUCUGGCACAUGGGAUCUGGUUUCCCUCCCUUUCGGUGUUCGUCCCAUCACUUGCAAGUGGUCUACAAGAUUAAGACUCGCUCUGAUGGUUCUCUUGAGUGUUACAAAGCUCGUCUUGUGGCCCGUGGUUUUCAGCAGGAGUAGGGCCGCGAUUAUGAUGAGACAUUCGCUCCUGUGGCCUACAUGACCACUGUCCGCACUCUCCUUUUUUUGAAAGUAAAACAUCCUCUUUAUUUAUUAGUAAUAAUGGUUACAUCGUCUAUAAGAAAAUUUACAAUAUCGUUCAACGGUUCCUCAAACCAAUCCCUUGUCUCAGAAAAUUUAGCUACUCUAGCAAUUUCAUGAGCUACUUUAUUUGCCUUCCUAUUACAAUGUUCAAAUCUAACUAACGGAAAAUCACAAGCCAUAAAAUAACAAUCAUCAAACACAGCUGCCACCGCUCCCGCUGUAUGUCCUCCAUUCUUCAUCAUGUCAAUUAAUUCCAUAUUGUCGGAGUUAACAACAACUCAGUUGCUUCCCGCCUUUUGUGCAAGUAAUAAGCCAAAAUGUAGUGCCAUGGCUUCCGCUGUUAAGACAUCUGCACACCAAUCCAUCUUCCAAUUCCCUCCAACAAUAAAUCUUCCUUUAUCAUCUCUAAGUACAGCUCCCGCUGUGCAUCUAAGCAUGUCUUGAUCGAAAGAAGCAUCGACAUUUAAUUUCACAAAACCUAGAGGGGGUCUCGUCCAUCCCUCUAUUCUAUUUGUUGCCUUGGAGGAUUGGGCAAUAACAUAGUUUGUUGUUAUAGCAUGGACUCCCAUCAAAAUUUGGUAUGCAUCUUGGGUCUUUCCAUGAUGGACUAGCUAGCGAAUGUCUUUCCCAUCAUAAAUACCAGGUUAUUAUAGCAAUCAGUUCACGAACAUUCUGUAUGCCCACUGUAGAUACCACGUGUUCUGGCAUAAGAAGUAGAAAUUAGAGUACUGCCUCUCCCGCACGAUCGACAACACAAGCUUUUUUAAUGGCUUCGUGCAAUCCCAGUUUCUUCCACACCUCUUUUGCCUUUUGACACAAAAAUAAUAAGUGUUUAGUAUCUUCAUGCCCGUUCGAACAUGAUGGGCAGGUGGGCGAAACUUUCAUAUGUCUAUUAGCAAGUGUAACACGACAUGGGAGGGUUCCAUGUAAGGUACGCCAAAUAAAGAUCUUCACUUUUGCUGGACAAGAUAAUUUCCAAAUCUUGCUCCAAAUAGUAUUGACACUUGUUCCUCCCAUGCCAUCUGAUUGUUGCAAUUUCCUCCCAUGUUGUGUUUUCCAUUCCUCCAGAUAAGUAGGAUGAACCGUGAACAGUCCAUUCUUUGUAAAACUCCAAGCUAUGAAAUCCGGCAUGUUAUACGUGGGGAGGAGGAUCGUAAGCACCCUCUGGACAUUAAUUGGCCACAACAUUUGUCUUACCAAAUCUUCAUCCCAGCAAUUAUUGAUUGGAUCUAUAAGAUCAGCAACUUUUGUUAGAAGCUGCCCUCUUCUAGGAGUGAUAAUUUUCCUGUCCGCACUCUCCUUGUUGUGGCUUCUGUUCGUCAUUGUUCUAUCUCUCAACUUGAUGUCCAGAACGCCUUUCUCAAUGGCGCGUUGCGUGAGGAGGUUUAUAUGCAACCACCACCGGGGUACUAUGCUCCUGAUGGUAUGGUCUGUAAGCUUAGCCGCUCCCUCUAUGGUCUUAAACAGGCCCCUCGCACCUGGUUUGAGCGCUUCGCCUCUGUGGUGACUGCCGCUGGUUUCUUGCCCAGUGAUCAUGAUCCCGCAUUAUUUGUUCACACGUCUCCUCGUGGUCGGACUCUUCUCCUUCUCUAUGUUGAUGACAUGAUCAUCACUGGUGACGACUCUGACUACAUUGCCUUUGUUAAGGCUCGCAUUCGCGCCCAGUUCCUCAUGACGGAUCUUCGUCCACUUCGCUAUUUUCUUGGGAUUGAGAUCUGCUCGACCUCUGAUGGCGUCUACACCUCCCAAGAAAAAUAUAUUCAUGAUCUUCUUGCUCGCGCUGCUCUCGGUGAUGAGCACACAGUGUGACUCCUAUGGAGCUCAACAUUCAGCUUCGUGCCUCUGAUGGUGACCCUCUUCCUAAUCCCACUCGCUAUCGUCACCUCGUUGGCAGCCUCGUCUAUCUUGCUGUUACGCGUCCUGACAUCUCCUAUCAUGUCCACAUCCUGAGUCAGUUUGUUUCAGCCCCCACCUCUGUCCACUAUAGUCACCUCCUCCGUGUUCUACGAUAUCUUCAUGGCACGAUCUCUCAGCGCCUUUUCUUUCCCCGCUCCAGCUCUCUUAAGCUCCAGGCCUACUCUGAUGCUAUCUGGGCUAGUGAUCCCUCUGACCGACGCUUGUUGUCUGCUUACUGUGCCUUUCUCGGUGGCUCUCUUAUUGCCUGGAAGACAAAGAAACAGACAGCAGUUUCUCGCUCAAGUACAGAGGCUGAGUUGCGAGACAUGGCUAUGUUGACGGCUGAGGUGAUCUGGUUACGGUGGUUACUUGAGGAUUUUGGUGUGUCUGCUACUACCUCGACUCCCUUACCAUCAGACAGUACCAGUGCUAUUAGUAUUGCGCGUGACCCGAUGAAGCAUGAGCUCACCAAGCACAUCGGUGUGGAUGCCCACUUUGUGCGUGCUGCUGUGCAGGAUCAGACUCUCGCUUUUCACUAUGUGCCCUCUGAGUUACAGUUGGCGGACUUCUUCACGAAGGCACAUACUCCUUCGUUGGGAUCUGGUUUCCCUCCCUUCCGAUGUUCAUCCCAUCACUUGCAAGUGGGUCUACAAGACUAAGACUCGCUCUGAUGGUUCUCUUGAGCGUUACAAAGCUCGUCUUGUGGCCCGUGUUUUUCAGCAGGAGCACGACCGCGAUUAUGAUGAGACAUUCGCUCAUGUGGCCCACAUGACCACUGUCCACACUCUUCUUUUUGUGGCUUCUGGUCGUUAUUGGUCUAUCUCUCAACUUGAUGUCCACAACGCCUUUCUCAAUGAUGAGUUGCGUGAGGAGGUUUAUAUGCAGCCACCACCGGGGUACUAUGCUCCUGAUGGUAUGGUCUGUAGUCUUCGCCGCUCCCUCUAUGGUCUUAAAAAGGCCUCUCGCGCCUGGUUUGAGUGCUUCGCCUCUGUGGUUACUGCCGCUGGUUUCUUGUCCAGUGAUCAUGAUCCCGUGUUGUUUGUUCACACAUCUUCUCGUGGUUGGAUUCUUCUCUUUCUCUAUGUUAAUGAUAUGAUCAUCACUGGUGACGACUCUGACUACGUUGCCUUUGUUAAGGCUCUCCACACAGGUAUAUGUAAUGGCCUUUGGCCCUUAGUGAAUACUAGUUGCUCAUUAUCCAAACUUGCAAACUAUACUGUUUGAAGUACAAUAAAGGCAAUUCUGCAUUACUAAAUACUCCCUCCGUCCCAAAAUAAGUUUCUCGAGGGAGUAUAAUUCAUGUACUAUUGCCUACUAGCAUUAUUACUCAUUUUUUUCCCUGAAAUUAGUUUUGUGAUUGUAAAUUUUGUAGAACUGCAUCUGGCUAAACUUAUCACCAGUAAAGAAAUGACCAAUAAGCUAUAUCAGCAACAUGGCUUCACUAGUAGAAAAAGGGUCAAACGUGAAGCACAUUAGUGUCGGUUUGUAUUUGAGCCGGCACUAAUGUAUACAUUAGUGCCGGUUCCAACGGCUAGCCGGGCCGCUUUCAUUAGUACCGGUUCAUGGCGAACCUUUAGCACCGGUUCGUGCCACGAACCGGUACUAAUGAGAGUGGUGGCAGGAUGUUGUCAGAAUGGGGCCCCUCCAGCCCCUUUAGUACCGGUUCUUGGCACCAACCGGUACUAAAGGUCGUCCUACAUAAACCCUUCGUCCACCCAAGCUCGCUCUGUUCUUCCCCUUUCCCCUCUCCUCUCUGUUCUUCCCCUCUUCCUCUCGAUCUCAUCACACAUUUUGCCCAAAAUUUGUCAAGAUUUGAAGGCCCCCAUCCAUUCAAAUGAUCACAAAGGUUAGCAACUUUGUCCUUUCAUCUCUCAUUGCUAGAUUAGCUCUUGCAAUGCUUUAUAUAGUGAUUAAUUUGUGAGUUUAGUAAUUUGGGAGGAUAUAUAUAUAUAUAUGUGUGCUAGUAUUUGAUUUAUAUGCAAUUUGAGGUCAAAAAUAACACUUAGUUUGCAUAUGUAGGUGUGGUUUACUUAGUGCCUUCUAAAUCUCCAUCGUAGCCACCGUCGAUCGCCCGCACCGUCCCGUCGCCGGCACCACCUUGUGGUGAGCCUCUUGUUCAUGAAAUUUUAUAUAAAAAUUGAUGUUUGUGUGAUUUGGAUAUAUAGUUACUCGUAUAAUUAUCUUACCCGUACGUUGUUUGUUAUACAUAUAGUGCCAUGGUUUUGAUAUCCGUCCCCGUCGGCCCUAGUCCUUGUUAUGAUUCGAAUGUGGUAUGUAUAUUCUCUUUUAAAACUAGUUGCAUUUUGUGUUUAUGACAAAUUAUGCCCAUCAAGUUGACAUAGAAAUUUUUUCUAGGAGGUAUGUGAACUGGAAAUUCCAACCGACCCUAUUGCCGAGAGGUUAAAUUUAGUUGAAAGAGAAAACGAGUACAUGAAAGAAAAGUUGAAAAGAAUUGAGGGGGAGAAGAUGGAAUUGGAGUUGCAUGUUGCCGAUGUCGUCGAUGAUCACAAGAUCAAGAUGGAGAAAAUGCGCUUGAAUAUUAGAAAGAUUAGAAAAUAUGCCAUCGAUAGUGAGGCUUGGUAUCAUUAUGUUGUUGGAUCCAUUGUUACCUUAGUUGCGAUGUUGAUCGUAUUUGUUGUUGCAUUUAAAUGCUUUAGCUAGAGAGUUAUUUGUUUGUUGCAUUUAAGUGUUGUAUGAACUUUAUGUAUGAACUUGUAUUAAUUUGGUCUAUUCGGUGUUUUGUAAUGAAGAUGAGCCGGCAAUGGAUGUACGAUGACCGAUGCUCUCCCCAGUUUGUUGAGGGCGUGCAUACUUUUCUGCUUGCGGCUGAGGCAAACAAGCGGGCGGAUGGUUUUAUGCCUUGUCCAUGUGCUCGUUGUAAGAAUGGUAACAAUUACUCUACGUCAAGAACCAUUCACGUCCACCUGUUUAAGUCCGGUUUCAUGCCCCAUUAUAAUGUUUGGACCAAGCACGGAGAAAGAGGGGUUAUGAUGGAAGACAAUGAAGAAGAAGAGGACGAUGAUAGCUAUCCUGGCCAUGGGUUCCCUGAAUACGAUGAUACAACAAUGGGGGAAGAAGCUGAGCCGGUAAUGCGGGAAGAAGCUGAAGAAGAGGCAUCAGAUGAGCCCGUUGAUGAUCUAGGUCGGGCCAUUGCCGAUGCAAAGAGAAACUGUGCAAGUGAUUUGGAGAAGAAGAAGUUGCAGCGCAUGUUAGAGGAUCACAAAAAAUUGUUGUACCCAAAUUGCGUAGGUGACAAGAAAAAGUUGGGCACCACACUGGAAUUGCUGCAAUGGAAGGCAGAGAAUGGUGUAUCUGACAAGGGAUUUGGAAAGUUGCUGGUAAUGAUAAAGGAUAUGCUUCCAAAGGGCAACGAAUUGCCCGAGAGUACGUACGAAGCAAAGAAGGUUGUCUGGCCUCUAGGGUUAGAGGUGCAGAAGAUACAUGCAUGCUCUAAUGAUUGCAUCCUCUACCGCAGUGAGUACGAGGAUUUGAAUGCUUGCCCGGUAUAUGGUGCAUUGCGCUAUAAGAUCAGCUGCGAUGACCCUGGUGAUGUCGAGGGCCGGCGCCCCAGGAAGAAGAUUCCUGCCAAGGUGAUGUGGUAUGCUCCUAUAAUACCACGGUUGAAACAUUUGUUCCAAAACAAAGAGCAUGCCAAGGCGAUGCGAUGGCACAGAGAAGACCGUAAGAAAGACGGAAAGUUGAGAGUACCCGCUGACGGGUCGGAGUGGAGAAAAAUCGAAAGAAAGUAUGGGAAGGAGUUUGCAGAUGACGCAAGGAGCGUAUGGUUUGGUCUAAGCGCAGAUGGCAUUAAUCCUUUUGGGGAACAGAGCAGCAACCAUAGCACCUGGCCUGUGACUCUAUGUUUGUAUAACCUUCCUCCUUGGUUGUGCAUGAAGCGGAAGUUCAUUAUGAUGCCAGUGCUCAUCCAAGGCCCUAAGCAACCCGGCAACGACAUUGAUGUGUACCUAAGGCCAUUAGUUGAAGAACUCUUACAACUGUGGAAUGGAACAGGUGUACGUGCGUGGGAUGAGCACAUGGGGGAAUAAUUUGACCUAAAGGCGUUGUUGUUCGUGACCAUCAAUGAUUGGCCUUGUAAGUGCAUCUAGUGCCACCCCUAGUUGGUUUUGGAGUAUUGACGACAAACCUAGUUGAGGGACUAAUGUGUUUGUGAGAAUUGCAGGAUAACACAGGUAGAAGUCCCUCAUUGAUUCGGUUUAGCUACCAGAGAUGACCCCCAAAAAUGUACGAAGACAUUGAAGACAAUGGUGGUUCAUGAAGACAUUCAUGUCGAAGACAAUGACAUAUGAAGACUCCCCAUGAAGCCUUUGGAACUCGAAGACUUAGAUCCUUCGUAGUUUCACUUUAUUCAUGUUGUGUCAUAGGAACCACCGUACUGUUAAGUGGGGUCCAAGAGAACCAGUCAGGAUGACUGAAGUGAUGCCUAAUUCAAAUCCUAUGUCUUCGAGUGAAGACAAUGAGAGAAAAUCUUGUCCAGAGUCAGACAAGUCAGCUUUACUUGCAGCCCAAGUAAAGUUGCCGUGAGAGUUCAAAAUCCGACCGUUAGUACACGUGUUAGUUCCUUAGUGACCCAGGGUCAUUUCGAACAAAUCAGGUCAGGGUUGCCAAGUGGCUAUAAAUAGUCCACCCCCACAACCAUAAAUGGUUGGCUACUCAGAUUUCAGUACACGGCUUUUGUCGUUUGAGAGCAACCCACCUCGAAGCCUUUGAGAGAAAAUCCCUAGCGAGGAGAAAAGCCCUAACCACCCAGAGCCAGAGUAAAUUGGGCAUCACUUAAGUCUUCUUGUCUGUGUGAUCUGAAGACUUAUUACACUUGAGGACUGUGCAUCCUCCAGACGGUUAGGCGUCGCGUUCUGAGCAUCCAAGAGUAAUUGUGGAUUGCUGGUGAACGAAGUCUGUGAAGGUUUGGGAGUCUACCUUGAAGACUUACCUGAGUGAUUGGGCGAGGUCUGUGUGACCUUAGCUCAAGGAGAAUACGGUGAGGACUGGGUGUCUUGGACUAAGUGUCCUUGACUGGGUGUCCGGGACUGUGUGUCCUUUGGUUUGAAUACCUAGCCGCUCCAACCAGACGUACAGUUGUCACAGCAACUGGAACUGGUCCAACAAAUCAUUGUCUUCAACGUGUCACUGGUUUCAUCUUCACUUCCCUUCAACUUACUGUUAUUCAUUGUGAAGCCAUUGCAUGCUCGCUCUAUCUUUUGUCUUCACAACUUAACUGUAUGAUUUGAUUGGCUUCAUAACUUCUUCCUACCUGAUCCUAAUUACACUGAAGCUAUUGUUACUGUGCUUUCACUCCAUUGAAUACUUGAUCUUAGCUUGCUUGUGUAAUCUAACUUCCGCUGCAUAGUGAUAGGCAUAUCUUCUCUGUUUGUCUUCAUAACUUCCACGUUUUGAAGACUUUCAUAAAAAUCGCCUAUUCACCCCCCCCCUCUAGUCGAUAUAACGCACUUUCAAUUGGUAUCAGAGCAAGGUGCUCCCUUGUUCUGUGUGAUUCGGUUUAACCACCUGGAGUUUUAGCUAUGUCGACUGCAGGGAUAAUCAAAGUCUCCGCUGCGUGCCCCGUCUUCGAUGGAACUGAAUAUCCCUACUGGAAGAAUAAGAUGUGCAUGCAUCUUGAAGCCAUUGACGUCGACCUAUGGUAUGUCGUCGAGAACAGCGUUCCCAAGGCUGGAGAAGGUGUCACUGCUGCUGAUGUCAAGAAGUUCACUCAACUGGACUCUACUGCCAAGAAUAUUAUCUGUGGUCAUCUGACCAAGGGACAGUACGGCCGUGUGAGUGCCUUGAAGACAUCCAAGCUGGUCUGGGACUGGCUCUCAAAGGUCAAUGAAGGCAUCUCAACCCAGAGAGAUCAGAGAAUCAGUGUUCUUCGCAACCUCUUCAACCGCUUCAAGCGAAAUGACAAUGAGAAUGUCCAGCACACAUUUGACCGGCUCACUGACAUCACAAAUGAGCUUCAAGCCCUCGGCGCCACUGAGAUCACCAAACAUGAAAUCGUCAAGACGCUGCUGAGAUCACUUGACAGUUCAUUUGACAUCCUAGCCCUGAUGAUUCAAGAACGUCCUGAUUUCAAGACACUCGAUCCAUCUGACAUACUUGAGAGGCUCAACACACAUGAGUUUCAGCUUUCUGAGAAAAGAGAUAUCUACGGUCCAAACUAUGGGCGAACUCGUGCCCUGAAGGCAAAAGCUGUGUCAUCAUCUAAAGAAGAAUCUGACAGCAGUUCUGAUGAUCCUGAAGACAUUGGAAGAGAACUUGCGAUGCUAGUAAAGAAGUUCCAGAAAUUCACCAAGAAGAAAGUCUUCAGAAAGUCUUCACGAUCAAGCUCAAGGAAUGAUGAAGCUUCUGCUCAUGACUACAAGAAGAAAACAUGCCACAAGUGCAAGAAAUCUGGACACUUUAUCUCUGAGUGUCCACAGUGGGACAAUGAGAGCAGAAGGAAGAAGAAGAGCAAAGAAUAUGACUCUGACGAUAAGAAGAAGAAGAAGAAAUACUCAAAAUCUUCUUCCAAGUCUUCUUCAAAGCCUUCAUCACACAAAAAGAGCUCAUCUGGCAAGGCACGUGCGUUUGUUGGCAAGGAAAUGGAUUCUGAGGAGGAGUCUGCAUCUGAGGAGGCAGAGGUGGAGUCUGAGGAGGAAUCUGAUUCUGGCAUUGCGAGUCUGGCUACUGCCUAUGUUGCCAAGUCCAUCUUCAACACUGAAGACAAUGACUUCAUCACCAGCACUGACGCUAAUGACGAGGACGACUCCACUCCUACCUACUGCUUCAUGGCCCGUGGUGCCAAGGUAACCAAACGCACUACUCACUAUCAAACAUCCAGUGACGAUGACUCUGAUUGUGAUUCGAAACCCAGCUACAAAACUCUUGCUAAAAUUGCAACUAAACAACAAAAGGAUAUGGAACAUAUUCAAAAGUUGUUAGAAAGAAGAGAUGAUCUGUUGGGUGCUGAAAUGACUCGGUCUAAAUCCUUAAUUGAAGACAUAAAAAAUCUUCACGUUAAGUAUCAGGAACUUGAAGAUCGUCUUGAGACUCUCUCAACUACUCAUGAAAAGCUUUCGUACAAUUAUCUUCAAAGGAAGCAAGAUCUUGAGAAGUUGAGAGCGGAUCAUGAAGAUCUUCAAAAAGAAAACGAGUCACUUCGAGCCGAACAGAUCAGUUCCGCUCGAGAAGGAUUUGAACCACCAUGCCUUAAAUGCAUUGAGCGUGAUAAUGCUGCUUCUGUUGCUGAAUGUUCCACUGCUACUGCUGUUGCAAUAUCUUCAACUGUUGAAGUGGUAACUAACCCCUCUACUGAGGAUACCACUGCUAUUGCUGAUGAAAAUGCUAGGUUGAAGACAUUGCUUGAAACAGGGAUGUACAAAAGUCUCAAAGGGCAUCAGACAUUAUGUGAUGUCCUCAAGAAGCAGAUUCUGAACCGAAACCCUAGGAAGGAGGGUGUUGGGUUCACAAGGAAAAUAAAUGCAGAUGGCUCUUACUGGAAACCUGAGCAGUACCCCAAAACCACAUGGGUUGCUGCAAAGGAAUCCUCAGCAGAUCCAUCCAAUCUGUCUGGCUUCACUUGUGCCAACCCCAUUAUUAUUGAUGAAUCCUUUGAUGCAAACUAUAAACUGUUUAAGAAUCAGAAUGGUGAAGUGUUUGCCAGAUACAUUGGUACUAACUGCAGGAAUGGAUCGCCUAUGAAGAGGAUCUGGGUUCCAAAAACGUGUCUGGAAAAUCUUCUUGUGAAUGUCUUCAUGACACCUCACAUGAAGAAGACAAACCCCAGACCAAAGGCUUCAUACGGUCCAAAGGCUUCAUACAGACAGAGGACUCACCUGAGUCACACUAACGCAAAUGUUUUGCAGGGAAACCAUACUCAGGCGUAUGAAUAUGAGAGCGGUUCGUCAAACCGUCAUGUUCAUAUGACCAAGAACUACUCUGCCUAUUCUUAUGAGUACUAUUGUCCUCCUGCUAGACUAUUUGCUAGGGCUCCAAAGCCAAAAUUCUCAGAUGCUGCACUUAGACUUAUUGCUUCUAAACCACCCUUGAAGAUGUGGGUGGUUAAGAAAGCUUAACUCUCUUUUGCAGGGAAAGGUCUCCAGCUCAAAACCAAAAUCUUCUGAUGCUAUUGCUGGGGACCUUAAAAAACUUGUCGGGCGCAAGAUCAAAUGCCCAAAUGGCAUCACUAUGUAUUUCAUAUCUGAAUCGCAUGCUACUCUCCCCGCUUGUCCUAACCUGGAUCUCAGUUUUCAUAAUCCACUGGUUCGUCAAAUGUUCUUGCUUCACAACACUCUUGGUGAAGCCUAUCCCCCUAACUACACUGUAGGGUACGACACCAGUGACUUCGGAGUCUUCAGUUUGGAUUAUUGACAGCGGGUGUACAAAUCACAUGACUGGCAAAAGAAGUCUCUUUAUGGACUCAACCUUACGUCCAUCUGACAAGAGCCACAUCACAUUCGUUGACACUGGUAAAAGUAAGGUACUGGGUCUAGGUAGAGUUGCAAUCUCAAAGGAUCAACACAUGGAUAAAGUCAUGUUUGUUGAAUCCCUUGGCUUCAACUUAAUGUCUGUUUCAAUGCUUUGCGAUUUAAACAUGAUUGUAAUCUUUGGAAAAUAUCGUUGUCUAGUACUAAUGGAAUCUGACAAGUCUCUAGGGUUUGAAGGGUAUCGAAAAGAUGAUUUGUACGUGGUAGAUUUCUCAGCAGGGCCACAGCUUGCAGUUUGUCUUCUCGCAAAGGCUUCAGAAUGCUGGCUUUGGCAUCGAAGACUUGGGCAUGCUGGCAUGAGGAACCUCCACACCCUUGCGAAGAAGAAGCAUGUCAUAGGCAUCGAGGGCGUCAAGUUCAAGAAAGAUCACUUAUGCGGUGCCUGUGAAGCUGGGAAGAUGACAAGGGCAAAACAUCCUUCGAGGACAAUCAUGACCACUACUCAACCCUUCGAACUGCUUCAUAUGGAUCUCUUCGGUCCCACUCACUACUCAACUUUUAACACUACUGCUUGCCUCUAUGGCUUCGUUAUUGUUGAUGAUUAUUCUAGAUAUACGUGGGUGCACAUAAUCCUUUACAAGACUGAAGUGCAGGACGUCUUCAGACGCUUCGCCAAUCGAGCUAUGAACAAUUAUGGCGCCGAGAUAAAGCACAUCAGAAGUGACAAUGGCACAGAAUUCAAGAACACUGGCCUUGACACAUAUCUUGAUACAUUGGGCAUCACUCAUGAAUUCUCAGCUCCAUACACGCCACAACAGAAUGGCAUCGUCGAACGCAAGAACAGAACACUCAUUGAGAUGGCCAGAACAAUGUUAGAUGAGUACAAGACACCAAGAAAAUUCUGGACUGAAGCCAUUGACACUGCAUGCCAUACUAUCAACCGUGUAUAUCUUCACAAGCUGCUGAACAAGACACCUUAUGAACUCCUAACUGGCAAGAAGCCAAACGUCAGUUACUUCAGAGUAUUUGGUGCAAGAUGCUGGAUCAAGGACCCACACCAUACCUCUAAGUUUGCACCAAAAGCACAUGAGGGCUUCAUGCUUGGAUAUGGAAAGGAUUCGCACUCCUACAGAGUCUUCAAUCUCUUUCACUACAAAGUGGUUGAAACAGUGGAUGUGCGGUUUGAUGAAACCAAUGGAUCUCAAAGAGAGCAACUGCCAAAUGUGCUAGAUGAAGUUCCAGCUAGUGAAGCAAUCAAGCUAAUGGGAACUGGAGAAAUUAUACCUUCUGAAGCUCGUCCUGAAGAAGAACUUAUCAUCUCAGCACCUGAUCCACAUGAAGACAAUACUCAGCCCGAAGACAUACCUCCCCAUGAUAACGUAGAUCAGCAAGAGCAAAGUCUUCGACCCCUACAUCCUCGUGUUGCCAAUGAAGUGCAGAUUGACAGAAUGAUUGAUAGCAUCAAUGCACCUGGUCCACUGACUCGUUCAAGGGAAACUCAACUGGCAAAUUUCUGUGGGCACUUCGCGUUUGUCUCAAUUUCAGAACCCAAGAAAGUUGAAGAAGCCUUUAUGGAACCUGAAUGGAUUCAAGCUAUGCAAGAAGAGCUUCAACAAUUUGAGCUGAAUAAUGUAUGGGAGUUGGUUAAGCGUCCUGAUCCACGGAAGCAUAACAUAAUAGGCACCAAAUGGAUAUACCGCAACAAGCAAGAUGAGCAUGGCCAAGUCGUCAGAAACAAGGCUCGUCUCGUUGCUCAGGGAUAUACUCAAGUGGAAGGCAUUGACUUCGAUGAAACAUUUGCUCCUGUAGCCAGACUUGAAGCCAUUCGUAUACUGCUGGCCUAUGCAAAUCAUCACAACAUCUUCAUAUCUCAAGAGAAAUAUCUCAAAGACUGCCUGAAGAAGUUCGGUAUGCAAGACUGCAAAGGCUUCACAACACCAAUGCCAGCCAAACAUCAUCUGGGUCCUGACGACAAUGGUAAAGAGUUCGAUCAAAAGGUAUACCGCUCCAUGAUUGGUUCUUUGCUUUAUUUAUGUGCAUCUAGGCCAGAUAUAAUGCUUAGUGUUUGCAUGUGUGCUUGGUUUCAAGCGGCACCAAAGGAGUCGCAUCACUUAGCAGUGAAGCGAAUUCUUCGAUAUUUGGCUCACACACCAACUCUGGGAUUGUGGUAUCCAAAGGGCUCAGAGUUUGAUCUGGUUGGAUUCUCGGAUGCUGAUUACGCUGGUGACAAGGUUGAUCGGAAGUCCACAUCAGGCACAUGUCACUUUCUGGGCCGAUCUCUUGUCUGUUGGUCUUCAAAGAAGCAGAACUGUGUAUCUCUCUCCACUGCUGAAUCUGAAUACAUUGCUGCUGGAUCCUGCUGUGCUCAGCUUCUAUGGAUGAAGCAAACCCUCAGGAUUAUGGCAUUCAUCUGAAGCAAGUGCCACUUUACUGCGACAACGAAAGCGCCAUCAAGAUCGCCAACAACCCAGUGCAGCACUCGAAGACAAAGCACAUUGAAAUUCGUCAUCAUUUUCUCAGAGAUCAUGUGGCAAAGGAAGAUAUUGAUAUCAUACACGUCAACACUGAAGAGCAAUUGGCAGAUAUCUUCACCAAGCCCUUGGAUGAGAAGAGAUUUUGCAAGUUACGGUGUGAGCUAAAUAUCUUGGAAUCCUCAAAUGUCCUGUGAUCAGGCACACAUCCUAACACUUAUGCAUAUUGACGACUUAGGUGUGCAACACACGAAGUAACGUAUAUCUUCAAUCAAUGAAGACAUACACUCUAAGUGUGAAUACAUUAAUGCGGAAAUAGACUUCGGAGCGCCACGAUAAUUGUGCGCCAUGUCUGGGUCUAAUACUUCCUAUACGGUGGGUAACGCCACCACCAAACGUUCUAUUUGAAGUGUUUCACUCAUGGCGUUACCUCGCAAUGUCUUCACAUUUGGUUUGGCUUCAAUCUCAACAUGUCUUCAUGAUUAUCUUCACUAUGUUGAUUACAUAUGCACUGGUGUUCUGUCCUCUACAACAUUCACUUAUAGCUAUGUCUUCUUGUUUGAAUUUUUUGAACAAAGUGAAUGUGAUCGGACCCUAACCUCUCCAUGCUUCCUACCUCAAACUCUAUCUCUCCAAGUCGUAUGCAUUCUAUUGAAACUGUCGAAUGUCUUCACUGCACCCUAGUCAGCUGAAGACAAAGAGACAAACUUUAAAACCGUUUUCAAUGCUCCGGAGAAGUAGGAACGACCGCCCGACAGUCCAGGCGUGCGUGGGAUGUGGAACUGCCCCCGAGAUUCCGCAUGAUGGCCACGUGCUGUUCAGAUGCGAACCGCCAGGGGCACCUGAGUAAUAGCGCAGUGCCGCUUCUAUCCCUAUAAGUACACGAUUCACUGCGGUCACUAUUUCUUCUUCCACCCUCGCCCGCACGAACCCUAGCGCCACCGCUAGCCCUAGACGACGCCGGCGACGAAGCGCUUCACUGCCGCGACCUCUUCGACGCCGUUUUCACGCCGACCGCGGACCUCAACCUUUCCGCCGUCGCCGUAGGUGUCUUCCGUCGCCAAGUUAGGGCACGGAGGAUCGAACUGCUCGGCCUCAAAUCCCACUUCGUCUAGCAGUUCCAAGUGUGGUAAUUAAAACCCUUUUUUACAGCCUCUUUUGAUCCUAUAGUUCAGUCAUUCUCUUCCAUAAGAAGUUUACUGCUAUCACAAGUUACAUCUCUCUCAGUCUGCAUCUCAUAAACUGCCUAGAAUCUUCACUUGUGCAUCCUGAAGUAGUUAGAUUCCUCACUUGUACUUAUCUGAGGAUUCGUACAAAUCUGGAACCAACUUCUUUUCUCUAAGUGAAUGUCUUCGCAUGAUGAGGUCAAUGUCUUCUAAACUGAUUUAUCUUCAAAAUCUUCUGAGAAUGCAUAUGACCUCUUCCCCUUCCCUCGCACCUCAAUGCUGUCACAGGUACAUGUCCGUGGGAGAAUCUUUUGGUUCUCAUAGUCUGCAUUCAUUUGCAGAGUUCCUACAGCGUCACAUCAAUUCACCCGAAGCAAGUUCCUGUUGGUCAAGCAAAAGGAAGCCUUUGAAGCCUUUGAAUCUUUUGAAGCCUUCCAAGUUAAGGUUCAUGGCAUCCCAGAAACAAUCAAGGAAGGGAGGCAGACAGAGACGUGGUGACACAUCUAAAGAUCUGCCUGAAGAUUUGGCAGAAAUGUACCAUACAGAUCCCGAAGAGAGCUAUGGUCAGCGCAAGACACGAAUCCAAUGGAUUCGAAGAUAUUGGGCAGAGCAGUGGUUUCACUAUCGCUUUGUCACCAAGGAAUACGCAGAGAAGUACGCCAUCAAGAGGCCAUGGGGCGAUGCCUUGUACAAGAAUCUCGUACCCCGAACCAGAGACGAAGCCAUUGCUCAAGGCUUCUUUCCAUGCAUGGUCAGGGGACAACAGCCAGCUGAUGCACAUCCAUCAUCCCUUCUCUGGUGUCGGGAUGACACUCUGUUCAAGCGCAACUUUCAAUUUGCCCGGAAAUCUGCGACGCAAAACAAGAAGGAGUUCGGGUUGGACUUCAACCCUGGUCCCUCCAAACCAAGGGCAGAUGGCACACGCGACGCUAAUCCCAAUGUCAUCGGGCCAUUUGCCAAUCUCGAAGGCCUCAUCACUCACAUUAUAGUCCAAGGGACUGCCGUGAACGACCCUCCAGCAGACACUGAGUCUGAUGAUGCUCCUGCUGUCCCGGAGCCAAAGCAGAUGAAGAAGAAGCCAAAAGCUUCCAAGCCAGCCGCUUCUCCCAAGAUCUCCAGAGUGAAGCCAUUGGCAACUGCACCUCCUGAAGCCAGUGUGCAGUCAGAAGGCUUAUCUAGAGUCUCCAAGCCCCAAGAAGCCAAGAAGUCUCAUCCAGACACAGGGAAAGAGCUCACCGCUGCUGCUAUUUUGCGCUGCGAAGCCAUUUAUCUUUCAAGCGAUGAAGAUCUUGGAGAUGAUGCCCUUGAGCAGCUCAUCAAGAGCAAGGAGGAGGCUGAAAUCUUCAACAAUCUGCCUCUGUUUGAUGUCACCAUCAUCCACAAGUUCAUUGAUGAAUGGUUUGACUCCCCAGACAUCAGCUUCGAUGACCUGCAGCUGCCCAUAGGCCUCAGUGUUAUCUUUCAAGGAGCAAUUGCUUCAGAACUUGCAAUUGCCCAGCGCAUCGUGGAGCUGAAGCAGAAGAUAGACUUUGAAAAGGCUCAGUUCAAGCAGAACAUGGCCACGCUCAGCAUCCAGGAAAUCAAAGACUUCAAGGUCAUGCUGCACGAGUUGAAGGAAAACUUUAUGCAGAAACGUGCAGCGGCUCAGGGUUCACGCGAGCGCAUGAAGAAGUCAGUUGUUCUCUGUGUGCAGGCCUACAAUGAGGCCGAGAAGCGAAAGUCACUUGGGCGCCCCGGCAUCGACCCCAAGAUGGCCGCUAAGAAGAAGAAGACGCCCACCAUGGCUAAAGAAGAGGCCCCACGCCAAGAAGCUGUUCCAACUGUCUUCCCAACCGCCAAGCCUAGCUCGAAGCCAAAGCGCUCCACUGCUUCCGAGCUCAAGAAGACAAGGACAGCUGAAGCUGAAGCGAGAAAGAGAAAACACUCUGAAGCCUCUCCUUCUGACCCCAGCACCAAGAAGCGCAAGACGAAGAAAUCUCGGGCUGCUCCCAUAGAGCCCUUGAUAGUUGAACCCCUCUCCGUCCGCUAUCCCAACGAAGAUCGUCAACUGACAGUGCAUGAGCCUGCUCCCACAGAGGCUCCGCAAGUUGAAGACAUUCCAGCAGCCGACCCCAUCGCUGCUGAAGACAUUGGUCACCAAGACAAUGUGCAAGAUGAUGCAGCCCUUCCUCGGCUAGAGACAAGCGAAUUGCUCAGCAUUGGUCGUCCCUUGACGCCAAUCACACAAGAUGCAUCAUGGGCAGAUCGCCCACAGGAGGAAGAGGAUGAGCCCCAGACCACUGCAACUCCACCAGCGUCGCCUGCAUUCCGUAGGCUUCGCAAAGGUCCAAGGGCUCAAGCUGCUGACGACAUUCCGGCUGCAUCAGCCGAAGACAAUGAAGAAGCACCACAGGAACCCCAAGCUCCAACUCCACUACCCCAACAAGAGGCCGUUCUCCAGGAGAACGUGCCUGAGUCUGUUCCUCUCACUACACGUGCUGAGGAUGAAAACAUUGAGGCUGCCACACACAAUGCUGAAGACAAUGUGAAGCCCUCUCCAACAAUAGCUUCAGAACAUACUGAAGCUGCUGUCCCUGAACCUUCUGCACCAGAGUCUGCUGCCGGUCCGCAAUUCAACUAUCACAUUGCGCACAGGCCCCAGGUUCAGAAGCCAAUUCCAAGACUACCAAGGUUCCCAGGUCCUGCAUCAGCUCCUGGCUCCUUCAAUAUCAACAGCUUCAGGGCAGACAAUACUUUCUUCAACCGCUCCAAGAAUCCUUACUCAAGGGAACGGAUCGCAUCAGAUAGGUUCUGGAGCCAUCAACAGCGCAGCUACUAUUCAUGCAUCCUCUACAACCAAGGCCGCAUCUUUCCCCACCAGCGCCUUGAGGUUGAAGCUGUUGCUGGUCUGCCUGGUUUGGAAGAAGCCAUUGAUUGCUUCAAGCAAGUGGGUCUACUGCCGUUCAUCACUGACGAAGAGCAUUGGAACGAAGAGCUUAUGCUUCAAUUCUAUGCUACUCUGCAUAUCAAAGGCUACAACCGCGAUCCGAAGACAUGGGUCCUGGAGUGGAUGACAGGAAAUGUCCUUCAUGAAGCCAAAGCUUUCAACAUCAUUGAGCUUACCGGCCUUCCCACUCCUGGCGAAUUCUUUGAAGAAGGAUGCCAACUCCAUGCUGAAGCAAUUGAGAGCAUAUUUCAGCGUCCAGAACCAAAUAUGAGUCAGAUGCUCUCAAUGAUGAAGCCAUUGGCACAUAAUGCACCCUAUCCAACUGAGUUCUUCAUUGAAGACUUAGAGUACCUGCCCAGAACCAUAUAUCAUAUCAUCAGGCGGACUCUCUGGCCCAUUAAAGGACACUCCCGGUAUGCCAAGGUUGAAGGUGCCAUGAAGACACUCAUCUUCUGUAUUAUGCAUGGCAAAUGCUUCAACGCACAGGAUCUCUUCAUCCGUCAACUUGCUGCGUCUGGCUCAGAUCUCUUCGGUCUGAAGAUUUAUGCUCCUUGGGUUAUGAGGCUGAUCAAGCUUCAUUCUGCGAUCUCCUAUCAGCCCUCAGCCCGCAACCACAGGAUCUUCUUACCAGAUGUGAACACCUCAGCUGAAGCUAUUUAUCCUGAGCCUACCAAACAGCCACUAAAUCUUCAGAAUGCAGAACACCAAAGCUUCACUCAAAAUGUUGAAGGUGUUGAAGCCAUUUCCAGAGUCUAUCCAAUGGCUGGUACCACACGUGCCCCUGCAUCCACUGAAGCCACUGACAGCGAAGCUGCACAGAGACCCAAGAAACGCGCUCGUACCCUCACUGAUCAUGAACUUCUUGUGGCUCUGCAUCAAAAGCAAGAAAGGCAUCACGACUGGCUCAAGAGGCAGAUGGGCAACAUCAUGAAAGACAUCAAUCGCAUCAGAAAUCUGGCAACCAAGAAUGCAUUCGUCGCACACGAAACCUGUCGCCGCACUUGGAAAGGCCUCACAAUGAUGUGCCCAGAAGCUGAUCUUCACGAGGAUGGCUUCAAAGAGCAUUUCAAGUUUGAUACCACACCUCCCAGAAGAGCUGUGGUGCGAAGCACACCAUCUCUUGAAGAUUCGAAUUUCUCUUCUUCUGCUGCCACAGUAUCUGCCAGGAUCAUUGAAGAAGAAGACGACGCUACAUCACCACCAAUGUCUUCAGCGCGCGUCAUCACUGCACCAAGCUCGCCUGCACCACCAAACGCAUCCACCGACCCUGCUGCGCCUGGGAACGCAUAGAAAACUCUAUGUCUUCAAACCUUUUUGGUCAUCACUGACAAAAGGGGGAGAAGCAUAUGAUGUUUAUAGUCUUCAAGCGGGUCAAUAAUAUGGGCGGGUGCUUUAUAUUUUGCAUUUUGCUUCGUGAUUACAACUCUCGUUUUGCUACAUUUGGUUCUUUGAGUUGUAAGCACUUAAACUUGAUGGUCGUCUGCUACUGUGUUUUUGCGAAGAUAAAUUCCGCAUGUACGACGAUAAUUUCCGCACUCUUAUCAUUUCGCAGACGUCCAUUUUCCAUUAUGCAUGUCAUUAUCUUCAUAUAUCUUUACGUGCAUAAUGGAUUGUCAUCAUAAGUUGAAGUGGAUUCCCACAAAUACAACCUGCUAUGUGCAUUUGCAGUCCAAAAGCAAAUCACUUAUAUGCACAUCUUCAGGGGGAGCCCUUGCAGCUUAUGAAGACAAUUCCUUUACAAUUUCGCAAAUUAUAUUCCCCGUUGAAAACUUCAACUAGUUUGUCAUCAAUCACCAAAAAGGGGGAGAUUGUAAGUGCAUCUAGUGCCACCCCUAGUUGGUUUUGGAGUAUUGACGACAAACCUAGUUGAGGGACUAAUGUGUUUGUGAGAAUUGCAGGAUAACACAGGUAGAAGUCCCUCAUUGAUUCGGUUUAGCUACCAGAGAUGACCCCCAAAAAUGUACGAAGACAUUGAAGACAAUGGUGGUUCAUGAAGACAUUCAUGUCGAAGACAAUGACAUAUGAAGACUCCCCAUGAAGCCUUUGGAACUCGAAGACUUAGAUCCUUCGUAGUUUCACUUUAUUCAUGUUGUGUCAUAGGAACCACCGUACUGUUAAGUGGGGUCCAAGAGAACCAGUCAGGAUGACUGAAGUGAUGCCUAAUUCAAAUCCUAUGUCGUCGAGUGAAGACAAUGAGAGAAAAUCUUGUCCAGAGUCAGACAAGUCAGCUUUACUUGCAGCCCAAGUAAAGUUGCCGUGAGAGUUCAAAAUCCGACCGUUAGUACACGUGUCAGUUCCUUAGUGACCCAGGGUCAUUUCGGACAAAUCAGGUCAGGAUUUCCAAGUGGCUAUAAAUAGUCCACCCCCACAACCAUAAACGGUUGGCUGCUCAGAUUUCAGUACACGGCUUUUGUCGUUUGAGAGCAACCCACCUCGAAGCCUUUGAGAGAAAAUCCCUAGCGAGGAGAAAAGCCCUAACCACCCAGAGCCAGAGUAAAUUGGGCAUCACUUAAGUCUUCUUGUCUGUGUGAUCUGAAGACUUAUUACACUUGAGGACUGUGCAUCCUCCAGACGGUUAGGCAUCGCGUUCUGAGCAUCCAAGAGUAAUUGUGGAUUGCUGGUGAACGAAGUCUGUGAAGGUUUGGGAGUCUACCUUGAAGACUUACCUGAGUGAUUGGGCGAGGUCUGUGUGACCUUAGCUCAAGGAGAAUACGGUGAGGACUGGGUGUCUUGGACUAAGUGUCCUUGACUGGGUGUCCGGGACUGUGUGUCCUUUGGUUUGAAUACCUAGCCGCUCCAACCAGACGUACAGUUGUCACAGCAACUGGAACUGGUCCAAAAAAUCAUUGUCUUCAACAUGUCACUGGUUUCAUCUUCACUUCCCUUCAACUUACUGUUAUUCAUUGUGAAGCCAUUGCAUGCUCGCUCUAUCUUUUGUCUUCACAACUUAACUGUAUGAUUUGAUUGGCUUCAUAACUUCUUCCUACCUGAUCCUAAUUACACUGAAGCUAUUGUUACUGUGCUUUCACUCCAUUGAAUACUUGAUCUUAGCUUGCUUGUGUAAUCUAACUUCCGCUGCAUAGUGAUAGGCAUAUCUUCUCUGUUUGUCUUCAUAACUUCCACGUUUUGAAGACUUUCAUAAAAAUCGCCUAUUCACCCCCCCCCCCUCUAGUCGAUAUAACGCACUUUCAAUUGGUAUCAGAGCAAGGUGCUCCCUUGUUCUGUGUGAUUCGGUUUAACCACCUGGAGUUUUAGCUAUGUCGACUGCAGGGAUAAUCAAAGUCUCUGCUGCGUGCCCCGUCUUCGAUGGAACUGAAUAUCCCUACUGGAAGAAUAAGAUGCGCAUGCAUCUUGAAGCCAUUGACGUCGACCUAUGGUAUGUCGUCGAGAACAGCGUUCCCAAGGCUGGAGAAGGUGUCACUGCUGCUGAUGUCAAGAAGUUCACUCAACUGGACUCUACUGCCAAGAAUAUUAUCUGUGGUCAUCUGACCAAGGGACAGUACGGCCGUGUGAGUGCCUUGAAGACAUCCAAGCUGGUCUGGGACUGGCUCUCAAAGGUCAAUGAAGGCAUCUCAACCCAGAGAGAUCAGAGAAUCAGUGUUCUUCGCAACCUCUUCAACCGCUUCAAGCGAAAUGACAAUGAGAAUGUCCAGCACACAUUUGACCGGCUCACUGACAUCACAAGUGAGCUUCAAGCCCUCGGCGCCACUGAGAUCACCAAACAUGAAAUCGUCAAGACGCUGCUGAGAUCACUUGACAGUUCAUUUGACAUCCUAGCCCUGAUGAUUCAAGAACGUCCUGAUUUCAAGACACUCGAUCCAUCUGACAUACUUGAGAGGCUCAACACACAUGAGUUUCAGCUUUCUGAGAAAAGAGAUAUCUACGGUCCAAACUAUGGGCGAACUCGUGCCCUGAAGGCAAAAGUUGUGUCAUCAUCUAAAGAAGAAUCUGACAGCAGUUCUGAUGAUCCUGAAGACAUUGGAAGAGAACUUGCGAUGCUAGUAAAGAAGUUCCAGAAAUUCACCAAGAAGAAAGGCUUCAGAAAGUCUUCACGAUCAAGCUCAAGGAAUGAUGAAGCUUCUGCUCAUGACUACAAGAAGAAAACAUGCCACAAGUGCAAGAAAUCUGGACACUUUAUCUCUGAGUGUCCACAGUGGGACAAUGAGAGCAGAAGGAAGAAGAAGAGCAAGGAAUAUGACUCUGACGACAAGAAGAAGAAGAAGAAAUACUCAAAAUCUUCUUCCAAGUCUUCUUCAAAGCCUUCAUCACACAAAAAGAGCUCAUCUGGCAAGGCAUGUGCGUUUGUUGGCAAGGAAAUGGAUUCUGAGGAGGAGUCUGCAUCUGAGGAGGCAGAGGUGGAGUCUGAGGAGGAAUCUGAUUCUGGCAUUGCGAGUCUGGCUACUGCCUAUGUUGCCAAGUCCAUCUUCAACACUGAAGACAAUGACUUCAUCACCAGCACCGACGCUAAUGACGAGGACGACUCCACUCCUACCUACUGCUUCAUGGCCCGUGGUACAAUGAUAAAACACACUAAUAUUAAACAUAAGAAAAAAGAAUCACUGGAAAAUGUAUUUUUAAAGUUAAGUUAAUCACAAACUAGUGAUUCACACAAAUUUCAAAUAAUUCAAAAUUUAAACUAUUCAAAUUUAAAAACUACCGGCACUAGCUGAAAGUUUCUAAAAACUAUCAAAAAUAUUCACAAAGAAACUCUAAAUACAGCAAAAAACAACNNNNNNNNNNNNNNNNNNNNNNNNNNNNNNNNNNNNNNNNNNNNNNNNNNNNNNNNNNNNNNNNNNNNNNNNNNNNNNNNNNNNNNNNNNNNNNNNNNNNNNNNNNNNNNNNNNNNNNNNNNNNNNNNNNNNNNNNNNNNNNNNNNNNNNNNNNNNNNNNNNNNNNNNNNNNNNNNNNNNNNNNNNNNNNNNNNNNNNNNNNNNNNNNNNNNNNNNNNNNNNNNNNNNNNNNNNNNNNNNNNNNNNNNNNNNNNNNNNNNNNNNNNNNNNNNNNNNNNNNNNNNNNNNNNNNNNNNNNNNNNNNNNNNNNNNNNNNNNNNNNNNNNNNNNNNNNNNNNNNNNNNNNNNNNNNNNNNNNNNNNNNNNNNNNNNNNNNNNNNNNNNNNNNNNNNNNNNNNNNNNNNNNNNNNNNNNNNNNNNNNNNNNNNNNNNNNNNNNNNNNNNNNNNNNNNNNNNNNNNNNNNNNNNNNNNNNNNNNNNNNNNNNNNNNNNNNNNNNNNNNNNNNNNNNNNNNNNNNNNNNNNNNNNNNNNNNNNNNNNNNNNNNNNNNNNNNNNNNNNNNNNNNNNNNNNNNNNNNNNNNNNNNNNNNNNNNNNNNNNNNNNNNNNNNNNNNNNNNNNNNNNNNNNNNNNNNNNNNNNNNNNNNNNNNNNNNNNNNNNNNNNNNNNNNNNNNNNNNNNNNNNNNNNNNNNNNNNNNNNNNNNNNNNNNNNNNNNNNNNNNNNNNNNNNNNNNNNNNNNNNNNNNNNNNNNNNNNNNNNNNNNNNNNNNNNNNNNNNNNNNNNNNNNNNNNNNNNNNNNNNNNNNNNNNNNNNNNNNNNNNNNNNNNNNAGCUCGAAGGAGCAGCCGCGGCUGGGUUUAUAAACCAGUGCGGCUGCCCUUCGCUAGGCGAGGUGGGACUAAACUUUGCGCCCCUCGCCUGGCAGCGCACCCCCCUUUAGUACCGGUUCGUGGCACCAACCGGUACUAAAGGGGGGGCCUUUAGUACCGGUUGGAGCCACCACCCGGUACUAAAGGGGGUCACUUCCCGCCGCUUGGGCUAGCCAAAACAGACCUUUAGUACCGGUUGGUGGGUCCAACCGGUACUAAAGGUGCCUUCUAUAUAUACAACACUUCGAAAAAUUUCAUUCUCCCCCUCUGUUUCUUCCCGAUCGAUCGACGCUGCCCCCAUCGCACGCCGUUGCCGUCGCCGCCCCCAUCCUCGUCGCCGCCCUCGUCCCCGUCGCCGCCCCCGNNNNNNNNNNNNNNNNNNNNNNNNNNNNNNNNNNNNNNNNNNNNNNNNNNNNNNNNNNNNNNNNNNNNNNNNNNNNNNNNNNNNNNNNNNNNNNNNNNNNNNNNNNNNNNNNNNNNNNNNNNNNNNNNNNNNNNNNNNNNNNNNNNNNNNNNNNNNNNNNNNNNNNNNNNNNNNNNNNNNNNNNNNNNNNNNNNNNNNNNNNNNNNNNNNNNNNNNNNNNNNNNNNNNNNNNNNNNNNNNNNNNNNNNNNNNNNNNNNNNNNNNNNNNNNNNNNNNNNNNNNNNNNNNNNNNNNNNNNNNNNNNNNNNNNNNNNNNNNNNNNNNNNNNNNNNNNNNNNNNNNNNNNNNNNNGAACACACACACGCACAUUUUUCUGUUUUUAGUUAUAAAAUAGUUAGAAUUGAUAGAAAUUUUUCUAUUUUUUAGUUAUAGAAAUAGUUAUAAAAUAGUUAGAAUUGAUAGAAAUUUUUCUAUUUUUUUGUUAUAGAAAUAGUUAUAAAAUAGUUAGAAUUGUUAGAAAUUUUUUCUGUUUUUUAGUUAUAGAAAUAGUUAUAAAAAAGUUAGAAAUUUUCUAUUUUUUAGUUAUAGAAAUAUUAGAAAUGUUAUACAAAUGUUAGUUAUAUAUAUAAAAAUGUUAUAAUUUUUUUCUGUUUUUAGUUAUAGAAAUAUUAGAAAUGUUAUAGAAAUGUUAGUUAUAUAGCAUUGUUAGAAAUGUUAUAGGAAUGUUAGUUAUAUAGAAAUGUUAGAAAUUUUAGUGAUCAAAAUCCAAUCAUUAAAAAAAUGUUACUUUUUGCGUGCAUAUAGCUAGUAUUUGUUUUGGAUGAUGCCCGGCCCGCAUCCUCGCCGGCGACCCAUCCGCGACGACGUCCGGCUGACACAUGUCCGGGACUGGGCUCCGCCGGGCUGGCACUGGGAGGUGCUGCCUAGAGGGGCGCGCCGCUUGAUGAGGAACCCGGCCCCGGGUCCCGUCGUCGACCCUGAUCUCGUUUGGUGGCGUUCGCGUGGGCCAGUUUCGGUGCGGAGGGAGCCGGCCCCGCCGGAGGAGGUACGUCGCCGUGUCAGGGAGGAGGACGAGCACGUCCAUCGCUACAUGGUUGCGUUAGAGGGCGGCAGGUUCUCCAAUACCUGGCAGUUUCUUCAGGGGUCUCACUUCAGCUAUGAUCCUGUGAGGGUUCCUUCUCUGUGGGUGUCCACCGCCCGCGCCGAAGGAACCGCGAGUGUCCUAGAUUCUUCUAUAGUAUUCGAUCUUUAUUAGCAACCUAGCCAGUGAUGUACUCGAUAUAUAAUAUUCGAGACGAUGUAUUCGAGAUUAUAUAUUAUUUGAGACGAUGUAUUCGAGAUUAUAUAUUAUUCGAGACGAUGUAUUCGAGAUUAUAUCUAUUAUUCGAGACGAUGUAUUCGAGAUUAUAUCUAUUAUUCGAGACGAUGUAUUCGAGAUUAUAUCUAUUUUUCGAGAUUAUACUAAAUUGUUUUAUAUUUCUUUUGGCAUAGUUAAAUAAAAGCUAUGGCGGACAAUACCGACAGAGAGAGAGAACAGACCAUGUUCGAUAUCAUACGCGGGCCAGAUGAUGAUCAGAAUGAAGAAGAUUUUGACGGCUCCGAAUUUCUAAACAACACCGGAGAGGGUGAUAUGAUAUUCGAUCGCGACGACCGAGAAGAUGAAGUCAUGAACUACGACGAAGAACAUGUUGAUCCUGAAACAACAAACACCGGCGAGGUAUAUAUAUUUAUAUAAGCAGGAAUCUGGUGAUCAUCGCAUGUUUUAAAUGAGUUGAAGAUAUAUCAACGAAUCGAUCUUUCUUGUUUCAGCCAUCCGGAUCGAGCAAAUCUUCAGGCAAAAGGACGAAACGAGGCCCGAACAAAAAGUUGAAGGAGGGCGUAAAGUACAAUAUCGAGGCAUUCAAACCUAAUGGCGAACCAUUAGCGCCUAAGAAGAUUGCGGACAAGUUCGUUCGUCAGUGCGGAGUUCUUGUGAAGGACCAACUCCCGAUCUCCCUUCAAGAAUGGAGAAAGCCAGCAAAUCCACGUCCAGAUGUUACUUUUGUCGACGAGAAUCAAAAAAAUAUGCUUUGGGAUACUCUCAUGGAACAUUUCACCCUACCAGAUCAUUUUACAGAAGCAGAUGUGCGGAAAGUCAAGAAUGCUGCUUUUAGGAAGAUGGCGGUUGCAUUCAAGAACCACAAGAGAAUGACGUGGGAGAAGUACGUCAAGGGAGGAAGGAAGACUCCAGUAUUCGAGGGGAUACUAGAGAAUCAAAGUGCUCAUUGGGACGAUUUCGUGAAAUUCAAGGAUUCAGAAUUAGCUAAGGAACGGUCGAGAAUAAACAAGAAGAAUGCCGAAAAAAAGGAUAAGUUCCAUAAGCUGGGGCCAGGUGGCUACGCGGUGGCAAUGCCUAAGUGGGAUAAGUCUGAGAAAGAGAUGGAGGAUGCAAGUGUCACUCCGGUUACUAAGAGCUGGCCCCCCAGGUGCAGGACUUGGUUCUAUGCGCAUGGGGGGGGAGUUGGACCCGAAGACAGGCAAUGUUUCGACGAAGGCAUGUCUGAACGGAGCCGACGAUGCGCUACUUGUUGCAAGAGAAGAGGCUCGAUCGGGGGUGUUCCAGCCCAACAGAGAGAACGACGAGCUUACGCGUGCCCUGGGAAAUCCUGAACACCCGGGAAGAACACGAGGCAAGGGUGCUAUUCCGUGGUAUGAGGGGUUUUCGGACUGGAACGCCGACUACAGAACCCGUGCAAGAAAGAAGAUUGUGGAGGAGAAGAAGAGGAAGAUGGAGGAGGAGCAGAGGAAGCGGGACUAUGAACGCCUUCAAGGACUAGAAGCAAGUCAAGCGGAAUUGGCAGCUAAAUUCCAGCGGCAGCAGGAGCAGAUCGACUCACUUAGCCAGCAAAGGGGGUCUCAUCAGCUGCAGCAGCUAGCGGAUGAUCCAGCAUUGGAUACCACCGCCCCAUCCAUGCCGAGAAGCAGCAUGGGUUCCGCCCCAGGCGACGCAGUAGUGCUGGAUAGAUACCCCGUGGAUGACAUCACGGAGAACACUAACUGCGAGCUACACUUCAAAAUGAAGAACAUAUCCAUGAAGGUGGCGGACGCCGUUGCUUUUUCAAAUUCCCCCGAGGCAACCUUCCAUUGCAACCCGAUUCCAGCGGGCUAUGCUCAUGUCUUCGUUGAUGAGGUGGUGGCCCCUUAUUCGGAGCUACAGCUUGACAUUCCUGGAGGUGACGACGAGCACACAUUGGGAGAGGCCAUACAUCGUGUCAUCCUAUGGAGAAAGGAUUGCAUCAUCUUUCGAAGGCCACCGACACCACGUCACCCGACUCCUCGUCGAAGUCCGUCACCGAGUCAGCAGACUCCCGCUCCUCCAAGUCCACCAACGCGUGAGGCCACUCCUCCUCCUCCAAGUCCGGCAAAGUGUCAGGCCACUCCUCCUCCAAGUCCGACACAGCGUCAGACGUUCACUCCUCGUCCAACUCAGCCCCGUCAGCCGUCUCCGCCGCCUCAGCAAUCGCAGAAGAGACACCCCGCAGCUGUGGUGCGUAGCGGUACGAGUCGAGGUGAUAGUACAGGAAGUACAGGCGGAGGCAAGCGAUAUAAAUAUGGUCCAAACCUCAAUACUCCUCUUCCUGUGAGGGCUUAUGACAGGACCGAGGAACAAACCAAUGCCAUAGUGCGGGCAGAAGUCGACGCCCAUUUUGGACCGAAACCGCCACCGCCGCCAAAGGAGAAAGUGCAUGUGGAAGUAGUUGACCACUUCAUUCGUAUGGCUCAACCACCAACUCCUAAGCCUGUUGACUCAGACUAUGAGCGCCACAUCAGGAAGUUACAUCGACAACGUCUACAGAAGGAGGCGAGCUCGAGCUCGAGCAAACAACAAGCAGCUGUCAAAAAAUGCGGGAAAACCGUUGCCCAGCUGGGAAAACAGGCGGCGCAAUCGAUCCCCCCCGCUUGUUGUGCCGCCAACGACACGUGACAGUACGCGCGCCCAAUAUUAUUGUGGCCAAACGGUUUACGUUCCCGAGGUGGGCGAUGUGGUAAUAACCCAGGAGCAUAUAAUGCAGGCUGAAGAACUCAAGAUCACUGUUGGACAACUCCUCGAGAUCGAGGACAUGCCUCCGAUUAGAGAAGAGCAAAUAAAAUGGAAAUUUGUCCGGGGCCAACCUUUGGUCGAGCCAGAAGAUGUCAAGAAGCUCCCAACGAGAAUGUAUGAAUUGCAUCAAUGGUACAUGGACAUUAGCAAGAGAUCCGAUCAAGAGUCCCUCAUGGUGUAUGUCAAGAAGGAUGAUUACUACCAUGAGAAAGCUGUGGCCGUUGAGUAUUCUGAACUGUUUCAGUUAUACAAUCAAGAUGCACUCGACAAAUCUAUCGUCGGUUGCUAUUGUCUGUAAGUGAUUUCUUUCUGUAAUUUAAGUCUCAAGCUAGCUGUAGUGAUCCUUUUGAUCAAUCAUUACGUGUAAUUAUCCUCACUAUAUUCUUUUCUGUGGUAUUAUGCAGGAUGAAGAUGUCUGAAAUGAGAAAAGGUGGACGCUAUGGCAUUGGAUUCAUUGACCCAAACACCGUUAAUGAAUACACAUGGAAAUUAGAUGCAUAUUAUGAAAAAGAGGUAGAGGACAGCAUGCUAGAGUUCUUCAAGCGCCUCAAAUACAAUGAAGAUAUACUACUUCCUUACAACUUCGAGUGAGUCACACUUUCUUGUACUACAAAUUCUCUGUUUUUGCCUACUAGCUAGCUACAUGUUUUUGCUUACAUAUGCCCGCUUAAUUAAGACAUGUAAACGUGUGUGCAUGCAGAUUUCACUGGAUCUUGUGUAUCAUUAAAGUUGACGCCGGAACAGUUGAAAUACUGGACUCGCUACUCAAAGCAAAUACUGACUAUAACAUCUUGCUUGGGAUAGUCAACAGGUAAUUUCAAUCAUUAUUAACUAUAUAUCUCGGCCUAUUUAGUUCGUCAUUUAAUGAUAUGAACUAUUUAAUAACCCCUUUAUUCAUUUUCUUCGUCGGCGGGCAGGGCUUGGGCAAGGUUCAUCAGCGUCACUCCAGGCGAAUGCAAACAAAAGCUGAAAUGGUUUCGAGCCAAGGUAAGUAAUUAAGUAGUACUAGCUAGCUAGCUAGCUGCCAUCUCUUUAAUUAUCAUGCUUGAUUAAUUAUUAUCUGAUUAAAUUAAAUUCCAUUCUCGUAAUAAAGGCCCUGAAGCAGGCGCCAGGGACUGAUCUGUGUGCAUACUGCAUUUGCGAAAACAUUCGCAUGAUGGCGUCCAAAAGGAGCAGAUCUCAAAGACAGGAAUGGGUACGUUUGUCAGAACAAUAUUCACAAUUUUUACACCAUUAUCGAUAUCUAGUCACACAACUAAUACACAUGCAUAUUGAUCUCCUUCUUAACAGUUCAAAGAGGUGCAGGACAAGCUCCUACCAACGGAGCGCGUAGAAGCACUUCAAUAGGAAAUAGCGGGAUUUUUGCUCGACCAGGUCAUAAAUCCGAAGUGAGAAUACUAUUACCCGCUACCGCCCCCAUCGAAAAAGACAUGAACCACUUUCAAUUUUCAUCGUGCUCCGAAGGCACCAAUCAGGCUAAUGCCACUGGCUCCGAAGGCAACAUGCAUAUGUAGGAGAAAUUGUAUAUAGCUAUACAUGUGUGUAUGUGUGAAUUAAUAUGGCGGUUUGUGAGACAUGAUUGAUGAUAUAUAUGAUUGGUUCUACUAAAAAUUCUAUAUAUAUAUAUAUAUAUAUAUAUAUAUAUAUAUAUAUAUAUAUAUAUGCAUAACGUGUACAAUGUGUAGUACCGUAAAAUACCAGCAAACCAAAAAGAAUUAAAAUGGAAAACACAAAAUUAAAUGAAAAAGAAAUCAUAAAACCAAAAACCCUCCAACAUUUUAGUACCGGUUGGUGUUACCAACCGGUACUAAAAGGCUCCCGGCCCCCGGAGCUGGCUCGUGCCACGUGGUUGCCUUUUAGCACCGGUUCGUGCUGAACCGGUACUAAAGGGGGGGGGGCCUUUAGUGCCGAAAUUUUAGUGCCGGUUACCUAACCGGCACUAAAGGGCCUUAUGAACCGGUGCUAUUGCCCGGUUCUGCACUAGUGUUUUGAAUACAGUGAAACUCGAACAGCCAAUAAAUCAUAAACCUCUUUGACCCUUGGCAUUAGUGAAUAUCUGUGGAUAAACAGUGCCUAGUCUUAGGUGGAGAAUCAAAUUUUGGUUCUGUUUACAACUGCAACUUCGGGUAGGUGCCUCUGGCUGCUUAAUGGACGGUACCUAGUCUCUUAGAUCGUCCUCAUGGGUUUGUUUGUCACAGUGGAUUUGGUGGUAUCCUUUAUCUCCACUCGAGGUGUUUUUUUCAGAGUACCUUUUCGAUUCUGUGGCGUUUGUGAGUAGUCCGCAUAUGAUUGGUCCGUAUCGGUUUUCUCUUAAUUAAGACAAUUCUUUCUUUCCUAAUUAUUAAUUGAUGAGGCAAAAUAAUUACAUAGUUAAACUAGCUAGCAAGCUAAGGAACAAACCAACUAGGCCUAGUUAAGCAGUCCGGAGGACCAUCAUCCUCCGGUGACCUGUAGACGCAUUCCAGCUUCUUAUCCUGCAUGCUGUAGCAGUAUGCUGCGACGGCAGAAACCUUCUUCUUGUCAUGGACGUAGUAGAUCCGAGUUCCGCCCUCGUUGGCGCCGUCAUUAUCCCUGAAGGUUGCGUGGUACCUAUCGACGAACAAUUCGUAGUUACCAGCCUCGGCCACCUUGCGCCACGCGAGCUGCCCGUCAGGCGCCGGAGAAGAGCCUAGCUCGAAGAGGUCGAAGGCCACCGGCCGGGACGACUUGACGGUGGUCCUUACCACGACCAGGACCAGCUUGCUCGGCAACGCGACGAGGUGGACGUAAUCCAACUCUUGCUUCCGAGGGCAGAUGGAGCCGUACAUCUUGCUGCUGAGGUUGGGCAUGUCUGGCGGACGCGGGACCAGCUGUAGGGCGCCGAGCGUGGCGGCGUCGAACACCGCCAUCUCGCCGUUGAUGUCCAUGCCGAACAUCUUCCCGUCAUGGUAGACGAAGUCGAAGUAGCCGUAGCCUAUGCGGCGGGGCUUCUCCAGCUUGGUCCAUGCCGCGUCGCCGGGGCGGCAGAAGAGCAUGCCCGUGUGCCCGUGCAUCACGUGGUACAUCAUGACCGUCGCCGGCGCCGGGGCGCCGGGCGGGAGGUGGACGGCGAAGCGCAAGUAGUCCGUCAACUCGAGGUAGGUCGGGAAGGUCCAGUUGCUGCACAGCGCCAUGUCCAGGUCGUUGCAGUGCACGUACCUUACGUGCCGGACGACGUCGCUGCCUGGGCCGUCGCGGACGGCGUUGAGCUUGGGCAGGGCCACCCUGGCGCGGGUGGCCAGGUGCGAGACGUGGCAGGAGGCGUCGCGGGUGUCGACGACGAGGGACCAGCCGCGGGACAAGGGGAAGACAGCCGUGUGGGAGGCGCGGACACGGGGGAGCAGGAGGCGCGGCGCUGGCCCUGCCGCGGCGCGCCAUGCCCGGCACACGGAGCGGAACGCGGCGAGCCCGGUGACGGCGUCGCGGGACCUCCGCGCGAUGAUCGUCACUAGAUCGGAGGGGAGGUCCAACCAGUCGGGCUGCUCCUCCUGGCUAGCCAUUGCACGUACGUGCGCUGUCGAUGGGCUGGGCGAACCGAAGGUUUGACUUUGUUGAUCCUUUUAUGAGGAGCCUCGGCAACAACGAUACAAUCGUAACUAACUUUCUUUAUUUAAAAUAAACAGAGUAUAAAAGACUCCGUCGACCGUACGACGUGGGAUCGUGGCGGUUUGACCAUCUACAGCCAGGUCUCUCGUGCCCGUCUCAAACACCCAGACUGAUCACAAAAAUUCAACCCAACAGAAUCUCUCAAACGACCGAAUUAACCAACACCCUUUAUAUCCAGCACAAAUAUAGGGCAAUCUGAGCAUUGUCCGGACGUGUCCGCCUGACAGGUCCGGCCCACCACGGACCAACAAAACACCCCUAUCUUGGCGGCGAGCUCAAACCCCAGCUCACUCUUUCGCUCCGUCCGUCCACUCGUCUCCCACUCCGGUUUCCGAUGCCAUCCACCACCAUGAGCAGCUUCGGCAACGACUCUGGCUCAGAGCUCGACUACGAGGAGGAGAUGGCCUUCCGCAUUGCGUUCGAGCGGUCCAAAGUAGAGACCGGCAGCAGCUUCGGAUCUGGAGCGUCGCCGCACCUCCCGGGCCGGUGCAGCGCGGACGCCGAAGCUGGACCCUCCUGGCCCACGCGCAGCGACGCCCGGUCAGCACAGUCCGCACCGGUCCCGCGUCAUCUCCUUCCCCCGUCGGCCGCCCCUCCACGGGCCAACGCUGGGUGCUUGUGACCGUGCCUCCGGCCCGCACGCGCACUCCGGAGUCCGAGGCGCGCGCCGCGCGCCGCGAGAGGCAGCGUGCACGGGAGAAGGAGGCGGUGGAGCAGUCCAUGCGCCGCCGCCGCGGGACGGAGGCGGACGCCGACGAGGACGCGCGUCUCCUCGCCUGGGUUUAUCGUCGCUCCCUCACGACGGCGGAGACGGACACUCGCCGCCUCCGACGGAAAAACGCGAAGGCGCUCCAGCUAGGCAUUGAUGUUGGAAAUAUGAGCAAGUUACUACAAGAUUUAAUUCGAAUAAUUAGAAGAUAAAUCAUGACUACAGUAGCAGAGAUUAAACUAAUCAUGCGAACUAGCAUAGCAAAUGAGCAGAUCACAUCUAGGGCACAUACUAGAAACAUGAAUCUACCACGAUCUCGAACGGGAAGGAUAGAAUCAUACACGGUGUAGCGGGAGUAGCACCGCCGGCGUUGACGUUGUCGCCCAUGUCGUCGAGGAUGAGGUUGCCGAGGUCGGGGAAGAAGUCGUUGUUCGCAAAAUCGUCGCUGCCAGCAGUCGCGCGAGUGCGCUCCCCAAAAACCUGAUCUCCCCUCUCCCGUACAGGAUCACGAGAGGCGGGGUUCCGGAGGCCUGCUGUCCCUUCUCCCGGUGCACGCCAAAAGGAGGGAUGGAGAAGACUUGUUUGAUGGCGCAAUGAUCUGGAACGGUGGUGAGAAACCAUACGAAGCGGCGGCGGCUAGGGUAGACGUCAGCCUGACUAUAUAGUGCGGGCCGGGUCACGAUACAAAAGAAUCGGAAACGGUUCAGUAAUUAACGCGUCCGUUAAUUAUUAAUUAAUGACUCAUUAAUUUUCCCGAGCAGCAAAAAUAUAGACAACGUGCAUAGCUCUGUCCUCGGCUCGGCUCAAUCCCGCGGCGUGGCGAUGCGAGCGAGGAGGAGGAGCGCGCGUGUAGGUCUCCUCUUCUCAUGCUCAUACAAGUGGUAGAAGAGCUCACCUUAUAAAGAGGUGCAACUCUCUCUCAACUUUCGGGGUGAGACUAAACAUUAGCCUCACUCACUCCACUCACAUGUGUGCAUGAAUGGGCCAAGAGAAUUUUAGAAUUUUAGUUGGGCUUUGGGCCAAAGGCCUACUAGCAAAAUUCCAACAAUCGCCCACAAAGUCUCAUUGGCACAUCUCAUCAUUUAGUUCCAAAACAUUGUUUAUAUACCGGUGCUUAGUGGAGACUGUGAAGUUGAACUUCCACUUAGAGAUUUUUGCUACACUAGAUCACAACUUGAAGUGGACUAUGCCUUGAACUACAAGUUUUCUGCGAGACUAGUUUCACACAAAUUCUUGACCGAUACUGGGCUGUCGCAAGGCUUCCCCGCGGGUGAAGCGUAUACGUCAUACUCCAGGGCCUUUUCAUGAAUUUAUUAGAGAACACCCAAUUAUCACAGACUGCGAUGUUAACAGUCAAAUUCAUAUAGGUGUGUUCCUCAGAAGAUGGCCUGUAGGACAACAUCUCUGCUUACCCGAAUAAGCCACUUGGAACACAUCAAGAUAAGUAUCAACCUGCCAUGCAGAUCAGGAGAGUAUUGCAUCUUCAUGGAGUGGGAUAGGUAAUAUAGGGAUACUCUCCUCCCAGCUGACCAACAGCUUGUCUCCCACUUCUACUUCACGGGAUCUCCGAUCACAUAGAGUGGGUUACCACUAUGGACAACUCAUGCGGUGGGUCUCAGACCCAUCUCCAUCGAUGCAUUAUCUAUCACAUUACGUGAUAGAGCCUUUGUGAAGGGAUCUGUCAAAUUUUUCGAUGUUUGGAUAUAAUCCAACGUAAUAACUCCGGAGUUUCUCAAUUUUCUGACAGAUUUCAGUCUCCUCUUCACAUGCCUUGAGGACUUCAUAUUGUCCUUUGAACUGUUUAUUUUGACGAUCACAGUUUGAUUAUCACAGUUCAUCAGGAUAGGGGGUAUUGGUUUUUCAACCAUAUGUAAGUCCAUCAAGAGUUCACGAAGCCACUCUGCUUCAACAGUGGCAGUGUCUAAUGCUGUGAGUUCUACUUCCAUAGUUGACCUCGUUAAGAUGAUCUGCUUGCAAGACUUCCAGGAAACAGCACCACCACCAAGUGUAAAAACGUAACCACUUGUGGCCUUAAUCUCAUCAGCAUCAGAUAUCCAGUUUGAGUCACUAUAACCCUUCAGUACCCUUGAAUACCCGGUGUAGUGAAUCCCAUAGCUUGCGGUGCCUUUCAAAUAGCGCAUAACUCUCUCAAGCGCAUGCCAAUGAUCAUCUCCCGGUUUUGACACAAAUCGACUCAGCUUGCUCACAGCAAAAGAGAUGUCAGGCCUCGUGACACUCGCCAAAUACAUAAGCGAGCCAAUAAUCUGAGAAUACCUUAGUUGAUCUCUAGCAAUCCGUCGGUUCUUUGGAAGCAACACAUUAGCAUCAUAUGGAGUUGGAGAAGGCGUGCAGUCGCUAUACCCAAAACGACUCAAGACCUUUUCCACAUAGUGAGGCUGAAGCAGUGUGAUCCCACCAUUCUCAUCUCUCAACAGCUUGAUGUUUAAGAUAACAUCAGCUACUUCUAGAUCCUUAAUCUCAAAACAGCAAGAUAAGAAAUCAUUAACCUCCUUGAUUAAAUCAAGUUUGGUUCCAAAGACCAGUAUGUCGUCGACAUACAGACAGAGAAUAACUCCUUCGCCCCCACCAUAGCGAUAGUACACGCACUUGUCACCAUCGUUUACUACAAAGCCGGCAGCAGUUAAUAUUCUUUCGAACUUCUCAUGCCACUCCUUAGGAGCUUGUUUAAGGCCAUAUAAAGACUUUAAUAACUUGCACACCUUUCCUUCCUGAUCAGGUACUACAAAACUAUCUGGCUGAUCCAUAUAAAUUUCCUCCUUCAACUCUCCAUUGAGGAAAGCUGUCUUAACGUCCAUUUGAUGAACGAGAAGACCAUGUGAGUCAGCCAGUGAUAGUAGCACCCGAAUUGUGGUCAGUCUAGCCACAAGUGAGUAAGUAUCAAAGAAGUCUUCACCUUCUAUCUGGGUAUAACCCUUGGCCACAGCCGUGCCUUGUACUUUUCAAUCAUACCAUCAGGUCUAAGCUUCUUCUUGAACACCCACUUACAUCCUAUAGGUUUGCACCCAUAAGGACGGUCAGUGAUCUCCCAGGUACCGUUAGCUAAGAUGGAAUCCAUCUCGCUACGUACAGCUUCCUUCCAGUAGUCAGCAUCAGGAGAUGCAUAGGCUUCUGAAAUAGUCCUGGGUGUGUCAUCCAUGAGGUACACAAUGAAAUCAUCACCAAAGGACUUUGCAGUCCUCUGUCUCUUACUCCUCACAGGAGUUCCAUUGUCACCCUCAACAGGAUUCUCAACGUGUUCCAUCGCAAUGGUGGGUUCAGGAAUUACCGUGAAUUCCUCACUAGAUGGAGUAGGUAUCUCCUGAUAUGAUGAACUCGACAUAUCCUUCAUAGGAAAUAUGUCCUCAAAGAAAGUUUUAUCAUUCGACUCCAUAAUCGUACCAACAUGCAUGUCGGAUACCUCUGAUUUUAUUAUUAAAAAUAUAUAGCCAAUGCUAUGAAAAGCAUAGCCCAGAAGAACACAAUCCAUGGUUUUUGGUCCAAGCUUGCGCUUCUUAGGAAUUGGUAUAUUGACUUUCGCCAAACAACCCCAAGUACGUAGGUAAGAGAGUUUCGAUCUUUUCCUUUCCCAUUCCUCAAACGGAGUCAUGGUCUUAUGCUUUGUGGGAACUCGGCUUAGGACAUGACACGCAAUCAUUAGCGCCUCCCCCCACCAUUCCUUGGAUAGACCCGAAGUGUCUAACAUGGUGUUAACCAUAUCAGUUAGAGUUCGGUUCUUUCUUUCGGCUACCACAUUUGACUGGGGUGAGUAGGGAGGCGUCCUCUCAUGGAUUAUACCAUGUUCCGCACAAAACAAAUCAAAUUCAUUGGAAAAAUACUCUCCACCACGAUCGGACCUAAGCCGUUUAAUUUUUUGAUCAAGUUGGUUCUCUACCUCAGCUUUAUAGUUUUUGCAGAAAGUUAAAGCCUCGUCUUUGGAUUUCAGGAGAUACACAUAACAAUACCUAGUGGAGUCAUCAAUCAACGUCAUGAAGUAUCUCUUUCCACCUUUUGUCAACACGCCAUUCAUCUCACAAAGAUCAGAAUGUAUAAGCUCUAGUGGCGCCAAGUCUCUUGUCUCUGCAGUCUUAUGGGACUUGCGAGGUUGCUUAGCUUGCACACAUACUUGACACUUAGAGCCUUUGACAAUAGAGAUUUUCGGAAUUAAAUUCAUAUUGGCUAGCCGCAUCAUGCAACCAAAGUUAAUGUGACAAAGUCGUGAAUGCCAAAUAUCAGACUCAUUGUUGUGGCAAACAUUAUUAAUAACUUUAGUGCAAAUAUCUGACAAAGACAUGCGGAACAAGCCUCCGCUCUCAUAGCCUUUUCCAACAAAUUGUCCAUACUUAGAAAUUACAACUUUAUUGGAUUCGAAAACCAACUUAAAACUAUCGCGACAUAAACGGGAACGGCUAACAAGAUUUUUAUUUAUGGACGACACAUGAUGAACAUUCCUCAGACGCAUAGUCUUCCCCGAAGUAAACUUCAGAUCGACCGUACCAACACCUCGAACGAUGGCAUGUGACCCGUUCCUCAUCAGCACGGGUGAAGUCCCUGUUGCCUGGUAAGCAGAAAACAUGGAGGCAUCAGCACAAACAUGUACAUUGGCACCGGCGUCAAUUAACCAAUCAGGGGAUCGAAAUACUGAAAGGAUGGUAGGAAAAAUACCGUACCCUGAUUCCUUCAUAUCAAUAUCACCAAUGACAACAUUAGCGGACUUGCCGCUCUUCUCAUGUUCGUGCUCCUCAAAGCGGUUAGGACACUUCGGUGCCCAGUGAUUAGGAUCACCGCAGACAUGGCAAAGUCCCUUCCCCUUCUUAUGAGAAUUCUUCUUGAAGUUGGUAGAAUGUGAUGGCUUGUUUUUUGUAUCAAACUUGCCUUUGCCCUGAUUUUUGUUCUUAUUGUUUUUAAACUUGUUGGGCUGGGAGUUCUUCUUCUGUAUCAUGUGGGCACUAGAACCUCCCUCAGCAACUCGAGCACGUGUGUCCUUUGCUCUCGCCUUCUCUUCAACAUCAAGAGUACCAAUGAGAUCCGCAACAGAAAAAUCUUGUCUCUUGUGUUUCAGGGAAGUAGCAAAAUUAUUCCACGAAGGUGGAAGCUUGGCAAUGAUGCCUCCGGCAACAAAUUUGUUCGGCAACACACACUUGAAGUACUCAAGUUCUUUUGCGAGCGACUGUAUCUCAUGAGCCUGUUGUACAACAGGACGCUCAUCAAUCAUCUUGUCGUCAUAGAAUUGCUCCAUGACAUACAACUCGCUGCCGGCGUCCGAGGCAUCAAACUUGGCCUCGAGUGCAACCCACAUGUCCUUGCCGUUGUCAAACGACAUAUACGAAUCCACAAAGGAGUCAUCAAGAACACUCAGAAGAGCACCUUUAAAGAGGGUAUCGAUCUUCUUGAAAGCUUCCAGCUGUGCUGGAUUAAGAUCGCCCUCAGGCUUGCCCUUGGUGGCGUCAUAGUAGCCCAUGGUCUGAAACCAGUAGACUGCUCUCAUGCGCCACCUCUUAUAUUGCGCCCCCUUAAAGGCAGGCGGCUUCAGAUGCGCAGCAAAACCACUCGGAGUAAAUUGCCUAUAAUCAGGUUUUUGGAUUGUUGGAAAUAUGAGCAAGUUACUACGAGUUUAAUCCGAAUAAUUAGAAGAUAAAUCAUGACUACAGUAGCAGAUAUUAAACUAAUCAUGCGAACAAGCAUAGCAGAUGAACAGAUCACAUCUAGGGCACAUACUAGAAACAUGAAUUCUACCACGAUCUCGAAUAGGAAGGAUAGAAUCACAUACGGUGCAGCGGGAGCAGCACCGCCGGCGUUGACGUUGUCGCCCAUGUCAUCGAGGAUGAGGUUGCCGAGGUCGGGGAAGAAGUCGUCGUUCGCGAAGUCAUCGCUGCCAGCAGUCGCGCAAGUGCGCUCCCCAAAAACCUGAUCGCCCCUCUCCCGUACAGGAUCACGAGAGGCGAGGUUCUGGAGGCCUGCUGUCCCUUCUCUCGGUGCACGCCGAAAGGAGGGAUGGAGAAGACUUGCUAGGCGGCGCCAUGAUCUGGAACGGCUAAGGAAAUAUGCCCUAGAGGCAAUAAUAAUGUUAUUAUUUUAUUUCCUUAUAUCAUGAUAAAUGUUUAUUAUUCAUGCUAGAAUUGUAUUAUCCGGAAACAUAAUACUUAUGUGAAUACAUAGACAAACCAAACGUCACAGUAUGCCUCUACUUGACUAGCUCGUUAAUCGAAGAUGGUUAUGUUUCCUAACCAUAGACAUGUGUUGUCAUUUGAUUAAUGGGAUCACAUCAUUAGGAGAAUGAUGUGAUUGACAUGACCCAUUCCAUUAGCUUAGCACCCGAUCGUUUAGUAUGUUCCUAUUGCUUUCUUCAUGACUUAUACAUGUUCCUAUGACUAUGAGAUUAUGCAACUCCCGUUUACCGGAGGAACACUUUGUGUGCUACCAAACGUCACAACGUAACUGGGUGAUUAUAAAGGAGCUCUACAGGUGUCUCCAAAGGUGAAUGUUGGGUUGGCGUAUUUCGAGAUUAGGAUUUGUCACUCCGAUUGUCGGAGAGGUAUCUCUGGGCCCUCUCGGUAAUGCACAUCACAUAAGCCUUGCAAGUAUUACAACUAAUGAGUUAGUUGCAAGAUGAUGUAUUACGAAACGAGUAAAGAGACUUGCCGGUAACGAGAUUGAACUAGGUAUUGAGAUACCGACGAUCGAAUCUCGGGCAAGUAACAUACCGAUGACAAAGGGAACAACGUAUAUUGUUAUGCGGUCUGACCGAUAAAGAUCUUCGUAGAAUAUGUAGGAGCGAAUAUGAGCAUCCAGGUUCCGCUAUUGGUUAUUGACCGGAGAAGUGUCUCGGUCAUGUCUACAUUGUUCUCGAACCCGUAGGGUCCGCACGCUUAAGGUUUCGAUGACAGUUAUAUUAUGAGUUUAUGAGUUUUGAUGUACCAAAGUUAGUUCGGAGUCCCGGAUGUGAUCACGGACAUGACGAGGAGUCUCGAAAUGGUCGAGACAUAAAGAUUGAUAUAUUGGAAGCCUAUAUUUGGAUAUCGGAAGUGUUUCGGGUGAAAUCGGGAUUUUACCAGAGUACCGGGAGGUUACCGGAACCCCCUGGGAGGUAUAUGGGCCUUAGUGGGCUUUAGUGGAAGAGAGGAGAGGUGGCCAGGGCUGGGCCGCGCGCCCCUCCCCCCUAGUCCGAAUAGGACAAGGAGAGGGGGGUGGCGCCCCCUUCCUUCUCUCUCUCCUCUUUCCCCCUCCCGAAUCCUAUUCCAACUAGGAAAGGGGUGAAUCCUACUCCCGGUGGGAGUAGGACUCCUCCUGGUGCACCCUCCUCCUGGCCGGCCGCACCUCCCCUUGCUCCUUUAUAUACGGGGGCAGGGGGCACCCCUAGACACACAAGUUGAUCCACGUGAUCAUAUUCUUAGCCAUGUGCGGUGCCCCCUUCCACCAUAAUCCUCGGUAAUAUUGUAGCGGUGCUUAGGUGAAGCCCUGCAAUGGUAGUACAUCAAGAUCGUCACCACGCUGUCGUGCUAACGGAACUCUUCCCCGACACUUUGCUGGAUCGGAGUCCGGGGAUCGUCAUCGAGCUGAACGUGUGCUAGAACUCGGAGGUGCCGUAGUUUCGGUGCUUGAUCGGUCGGGCCGUGAAGACGUACGACUACAUCAACCGUGUUGUGCUAACGCUUCCGCUAUCGGUCUACAAGGGUACGUACACUACAAGAAAUAUGUCAACUUGUGACCUUGACUAUUGGUCACUGAAAGGUCAUUGUUUUUCAUUUGUGACAUUUUUGUGACCAAAAACAGAAGGUCAAAAGCUGGCGGUCGUAAACUGAAAUUAACGACCUUCUCUGUGAGAAGGUUGUAGACGUUUACGACCAAAAUAUGUCUAUUCUUUUGUUUUGGUCACUAGCAGCCUCCCCAGACCACGUAGGCAUCCAGCGUGGCAAGCUGAUGUGGCACAAGAAUCAGCCCGGUCCGAUUCUGUGUUUUACAUGAGCCAAGCCCAACAAUUCAGCCUUUUUAUAUAUUUUUCUGUCAAUUUUUUAUCGGCUUCAUGGGCCAAGCCAAACAAUUCAGCCUUGUUAGUUUUUGAGAUUCAUGCAAUUUUUUUGGCCCUCGAGCUUUUUGCAGUCCAUUUCUUUUUUUUAAGACUUAUCAUUUCAUUUUUGAAAUUGUUCGAUGCUUGUUGGUAUGUGGCCUGUUUCAGCCCAAUUAUUUGUCCAGUUUGGCCCAAGCAGACUUUAGCCCAAUCACACACAUACAUCCAACAUUAUUUCAUUCAAAUUAGGAAAACUCCCAGGUUUACAUAACACAAAAAGAAAAUAUCUCCCAGGUUUACAUAACACAAAAAAUCAUCUCAGGAAUACAUUUCCUUACACAGGAAUAUACAAUAAGAAAAUGAUGGCACAUCUGCUACUAUCAUAACAGCACAAUGUACUUUUUUUAAUGGAACAGUACAAUGGAUUUCAUUGCUCUCUCUUAUGCGACAUGCUCCAGCUGCCACAACUUGCCAUCCUACAAUGAGAGAGAUAUAACAUUAGUGGAGCAAACUGUUGUCCAGGCACAUUAGUUGUAUGAGAAAACUAAUCCAUGAAGCAAGACCAGAACACAUUCUGCACAACUUUUGAUAACACAAUUUGGAUUAAACAACAGAUUAUGCUUAGCUAACUUAGAAACAAGUACUGCCUAUGAUGCAUAUCUAUCUAUGUGCAUUGCAUUUUACUUUGUUCAAAAGUAGAAGCUAUAUGUCCAUUUUUCCAGGUUUGAAGCUACAAAUCUAAAAGAUAAAGUAUAAGUUAACUGAAUUGUGUUUUUUUAGAUAAUAACUGAAUAGUGCGCAGUAGAACCAAUGUUUCAUAAUAAACAACUAGUGUUUGUGAUGAAAACUUGACGUUACAAUAAAACCACUGGCAAGGCUUUUUUGAGCCUAAAUAAAGGAUACUGCCUAUUGAAUUCUACAACAAACAGGUCAACUUCUGCAGUUCUAGAAUUUCCACGAAAUAUGUUCUAGUAUGCCUAAAUAUUCAUCAACUCUUGUCAUCGUAUGAAAAUAAAACCAGUGAACAGCACACCGUAUUUGGAUGCUAUCUAUACUAGUAUGGAAUGAUGCCAGGUAAGACGAUCUCAGCGAGGUGCACAGUUGUUUAGAAAGGAAAGCAGAUUUGACUGAAGUACCAAUUUUCAGAGUUUGCAUAGCACCAUAAACAGGCAGCUGUAAAUUACUAAAUGUUGCCACACUAGAAUGUUAUCCAGAAAGAAUGAUACGAGGCAGGCGGCGUCCAUUACCGACGAUCUCGCCGAGGUGCAUGGAGAUGGAGUUGAGCUGGGCCAGAGGUCUUCCAGGCAUAUGUUGUUCACCUGAUCACCACCUCCCUGCAUGCCGCACACACACUGCAAGUUAGAUUACAUACAGACAGAUUGUGUUUCUAAUGCAUACAUACCACUAAUAGAGACCGUGGUGUUCUAGGAUGAUGCAUAGUCCAUCUAACUAAUCAAUAUCAUAUAUGAUGCAGAGUCCUCCAGAUGAUGGAAUACCUUUCAAAGUGAGGCAUCCUUGGAAUACUAGGUUGUUCUGAUGCUAUAUAAAAUAGAGUAAAAAAAACUAAGGUAAUCAUCCUAAUCGAGGCAGCAGGGAAAAGGACAUGUGAGCUAAAAAGCACGGACACGCCAGGAAUCGCCGAACUGCCGUCCUGAUACGCCGGGAUACGGGGAUACGCCGGGAUACGCCAGGAUACGCGAAUUUUGGAGUAUCCCCGAAAUUCAAAUUAAAAAAAGAAAAAACGAUUGGGAUACGCUGGGAUACGCGGGGACAUGUUAGGGAUACGGCCUGGCCCAAAAACACCCCCGGCCCAGCCACGGCCCAAUAUGUAACCCUAUUUUGCAGGGUCUCAGCGUGCCCUAGAGAUAAGGACGAGCUGCUCCCUGCCUCCUAGAUCGAACAAAAGGAGCCGCCACCUUCUGGAUUGAACUUGCCACCACCUGGACUCGCCGCCGCCGGCGCCGGCGACUCCUCCAUCCAGCACCAGCACCAGCAGUCUCUCCUCGGCUCCUCGCAGCUGUAGGUAACCCAGCAGUCUCAUUUGUUCAAGUGUUCAUUGUCCUGCUAGUGCAAGUGCUCAUUGUUGUGAUGUGCUCGUACUUGUUGAUAGGUAGCCAAACGGCAUUGCAAAUUGGGUAAGCAAAGCAAACAUCUUUUUUACUGUUUUCCAUGUGUUCUUAUUGUGGGACAGAAUAUAUCUUCUACUCUUCUAAUCUUCUUUAUAAUUUGUGUUUGAUGUGUUUUGCAAGAUGCAACUUGCAAUGAGAUGGGGGGACGAGGAUCGAUCAAGCACUUGAUAAAAGAGACACAAAAUGGGGCAGUACCCUAGUCUAUUCUUUAUUUUGAUCUCUUUCUCUUUAAUUUUCUGUCUUAACUCUAUAUUACAUGGCAUAUUUUUGUUUUAUUUUAUAUAUACUCGCCGUAUCCCCUAAUGGCUGUUUUUGGAAAAUGCCGUAUCCCGUAUCCCCGUAUGCGUAUCCCCGUCUUUCCGUCCCCGUGUCCGUGCUUUUUAGCAUGUGAGCAGGGCAUGUAUGCACAUUUUGAAAAGAAUGAACAGAGCCAACUAAAAUCUGUGAGCAUUAAAACUUGUGGGAAAUUUGGUCAAUCACAUGAACAGGGCCUUUAUGCACAUUUUUCCCUACCAGUAGUCCAGUACCAUUAGAAAGACAACAGAUCGGCGGUAUCAUUUUAAAAACUUUGUUGUAAGGUUGCUGUUAGCUUUCUGCUCUGAUUCAAGUUAACUUGGCACCUGUAAGUUUUUUAAACACAUUUUGUGGCUUCACACUAACUUGGGAGUAACCCAUGAGGUCUGAAAGAUUCAGAGUUAACAAUCAACUCUGAUUCAAAUUCAGAAUUCAGAUUAGAAAAUUUACAUCAUGAUUUCUGUUUACAUGUAUGCAUGAUUCGUUCAAUUUUUUGAAGUAUAAGCGAAGAUCCAGCAUGUCUUAAGCAAGAGGAAGCAUAUCUUAAGGAAGAAGAAACAAAACAGAACAGAAGAGAUACCACAUGGUUACUUGCUCACUCCAUCGAACUCAUCCGUUUAUCUUUCAUUUCUAUGAUGAAAGUAGACUUGGGGUUAUAUGGUUUGAAACUCUGAAUCAAGUGGCCAACAAAUGGCUACUAGGUGAGCCAGUCAGUAACCGUGGCCGAGUCAUUGAUACUCAUGUCAGUUGAUCUAUGAAAUCCUACAGCAUUCACACUACGCAUCAGCAUCCACUAUGUUGAGCAGUUCACAUUAUCUUUGCACCUCGUGGCCAAAUAUCACAUUGAGAGGUUCAAUCUUUGCACCUCGUGGCCAAAUAUCAACAGCGCAUGAUACACAUUAUCUCCCUAAACUCUAAAGUUGUGCUAAAACUGGACGUAUAAACUGAAAUAGAGUCCAUUGAUUAGUGAUUAUUGUAUGAAAGUUCCUGCCUAAGCCCUGCAUAGCCACAUAGGCAUAACAACAAACAUCUGAGUUGCUCACAGCCAACCAAUGCUAAGUAUUGACUUGACCCACAGCAUUCCGCACAUACGGAUAACAAGAUCCAAUUCUGUUACAGGUUGAAGGUUGAAGGUAUGUAUAUUACAUACUAGAGAUGGCCGUCGUUUGCGACUGGGUCGGCGUCGGGACGGCGUGGUGAUGCGGCGCCUGGAGGCCUUCGGACCACCACAACUAGCCUCUACUUGUGCUCUGUGUAAUGUAAUCGUUAGUUGCGAUAGAUGUAUGUACAGCGUUCUUGACAACAAGUUUUGCACAGAACAUUUAAUAAAGGAAAAAACAAUCUAAUCUGAAUGAGAUGCACAUUAUAAUAUCAUCACAUCAAUUAGCGCAGGAAUAACCCCCAUGACAAGGAAGGAUAAAUAAACUAACCCAACCCACCUCCUCUACUUUUUUAGCCUGGGCCAAGCAAAGACUCAAACUCAACUAACGCAGGCCAUCUAAUCAAAUCGAACCACAUGAGGCUUCUUGAAUCAAAACAAAUAAAUGAAAAGACCCACCAAUACAGGAGAUGCUAGGUGGUAGUAGUAGGUGGUAGGAGAAAAUCUGGAACAGAGCACGGGCUUCUUGAAUUAGAAUAAUGAGAACUUUGCACGACGAAAUCUGAGGGAGCAUUAACAAAUGACUGGGAGCAAUUAACAAAGAGACAACCUAGGGGGGUCGACUACACCUGAAUCUCUCGACCUCAGUAAUCAAGCUGAGCAAAUCGCACGGGCGAAUUGCUCAAAAAGCGUGCGUGUGGAUUACAGAAGAAAUACUCUACUGAGGUAGGAGAACGUACGGGUGUGGUGGUGGUAGAAGCACGAGGCGAGGGAGUCAAAGCCGCGGCGGAUGGGGAGGCGGAGAUCCGGCGGGACGGGGACGCCGGCGACGAGGUACUUGUAGAUGAGCGCCUGCUGCUCCAACUCCUCGUACUGUGCCGCCGUGAAGGUCGCCGGCCUUGCCGCCCACCUCGUGCCGCUCAUCGUGUGCUGCUGCUGCUGCUGGGGAGGGCGCUGAUGAUAUAAAUUACAGAGGAAAAUAGAACAUCUUGUUCGGUGGUAAGGCAGUAAACAAGGUGGGGAAGGUAGAGGAGGGAGCUGGGGAACGACCUUCUAUCGCGCGUCGUCGUGGUCGGGAUGGACGACACCGUCAUGGUCGAGCUUGAGGUCGGACUCGGCGAUCUCCUCUUCAAGCUCGUCAGGCCCGGGUGUGGGGUCGUGCAUGUCCUGGUCAUCCUCCUCCUCCUUGUCAUCGUCGUCGAUGUCGCCUGCCGGUUCAAAUCUAACCCAAAAAAGGGGAUCAGACAAGGAAUUAGAGAGAGGAUCGGGGCCGGGGAAGGGGAAGGGGAAGUCGAGUGGGAUAAGGGGUUACCUUGAGGACGUCAGCCAUGGUGUGCCUGGGAGGGCGCGGAUCAAGCUCGACGACGGCGCGGAUCCGAAAGGCCCUCUGUGGCCGUGGCAGAUCUGGCCGCGGACUGACCUCGUUGGCUCCAGCUGGCGCCAUGGGAGAGAUGGAGAGGUGCGGCUCCAUCUUUUCAGUGGUCGGAGAGCGGAGCUAAGAACGCGGAGGCGGCGGUGGCGAUGAGGUGGUCGCGGAGCGGGUUGUCAGCGGGGAAGGCGAGGAGGAGCAGGCGCGCGGGCUCGAACGGCGGGAGCAAGUGGUCGGCCACGAAGGCGAGGAGGAGCGGCUUGAGGUGGGAGGGGAAGGGAGGUCGCGGCAGGAUCGGCCGCCGUAGGGGGCGGUGGCGGCGGCAGUCCAAUGGGGGGAGAGGGGAGAGGGGUUAGGGUUUGGGAUUCGGGUCGUGGGCGAGGAGUGGUGUGCGGGGGAGAGGAUGGGAGGGGGAGGAGCGGUGUGCGGUGGGUGAGUGGUGGCUUUCAGCCACUGACAGGUGGGCCCGCAAGGAAUAGGCCCACAUGUCAGUGUCAUUAACGGCAUGUGGUGUAGGUGAAGGAAGCUGCUUCCGGCUGGGUGUGGGUGGGGAGAGGGUGAGGGGUGUGGGCCGUUGGAUCUGGCAGUAUCCGACGGUCUCUAAUGCUUGAUCCGCGUGACAUGCCCGUAGACAAAUCAAAACGAAGUGCAGGUUUUGAUGACGUUAUGACCAUCUAAAAUGGUCGUAAUCAAUUUUCCAUUUUUUGAAUGCCCAAAAUGAGUCUUUUUUGUGUGAAGGAUCUACCAUAUAUUUGUUACAAAAUUGGAUCAAAUCAAUUUUAUAAAAUAUUAGAACAUAUUUAAUGCACAAUUGACCAAAUAUUGGGUGUCAAAAGUUUCGAACCACCUCUGGUGAAAAACAUAAAUUUUCGCCAAUUCAGCUCGAAGCGGGUCAAAUUUGAACUGCAGAUGCCUCAUAGUUUGCUCUUUAUUUUUUCCAAAAAUUAUUUCUAGGUACAUAAGUAUCUAUUUAAUCAGAGAAAUAUCAAAAGUUUUCCAAGAUUCAACCACUAGCUAGGAACGGUCAAGCCCACAGUUUUGACCGCAUUUUGAAACAGGCAUAAAAAAUUUAAAAAAAUCAAAAAAUUGGAAAACCUUCGCAUUGUGUCAUUAUAUGUGACCAAGUUACCAGAAAAAAUAAUAAACUUGUAAUACGAAAAUUAUUUUAAACAAAUGUUCUCGGAAAUGAGCUAUCAUGCGCGAAGAUUCAUGGCUUUCAAGCCAAAUGAUCAAUCUUAUGGCCACAUUCAUGGCAUAGUUUGUUCAAAUGAUCUCAUAUUGUACACAAGGGUGCAUAUUGAAAUUCCAAACAAUGUUGCCUAAGGGACUUUUUAUUUUCUUUCCACGGAAAAUUCAUUUUCCAUUUUCUGAGUGCCCGAAUUGAGUUCUUUUUGUGAAGGACCUACCAUAUAUUUGUUGCAAAAUUGGACCAAAUCAUUUUUCUAAAAUACUAGGCCAUAUUUGAUUCACAAUUUACCAAAUGUUUGGGUGUCAAAACCUUGAUCCACCUCUGGUGAAAAAGACAAAUUCUCGCCGAUUCAGCAGGAAGCGGGUCAAAUUUGAACUGCACCUGCCACAUAGUUUGCUUUUUAUUUCUUCAAAAAAUCAUUUCUAGAUACAUAAGUAUCUAUUUAAUCAGAGAAACAUCAAAAGUUUUCCAAGAUUCAACCACUAGCUAGGAAUGGUCAUACCCGCUGUUUUGAUCGAAAUUCGAAACGGGCAUAAAAAAAUUCAAAAAAAUGAAAAAAUUGGAAAACCUUUGCAUUGUUUCAUUAUAUGUGACCAAGUUUCCAGGGAAAAUAACAAACUUGUAAUACGGCAAUUAUUUUAAAAAAGUGUUCUCAGAAAUGAGCUAUCAUGCGUGAAGAUUCAGGGCUUUCAAGCCAAAUGAUCAAACUUAUGGCCACAUUCAUGGCAUAGUUUGUUCAAAUGAUCUCAUAUUGUGCAAAAGGGUGCAUAUUGGAAUUCCAAACAAUGUUGCCUAAGGGACUUUUUAUUUUCUUUGCACGGAAAAUCCAUUUUUCAUUUUCCGAGUGCACGAAUUGAGUUCUUUUUGUGAAGGACCUACCAUAUAUUUGUUGCAAAAUUGGAGAAAAUCAUUUUUCUAAAAUUCUAGGCCAUAUUUGAUUCACAAUUUGCCAAAUGUUUGGGUGUCAAAACCCUUGAUCCACCUCUGGUGAAAAAGACAAAUUCCCGCCGAUUCAGGAGGAAGCGGGUCAAAUUUGAACUGCAUCUGCCUCAUAGUUUGCUCUUUAUUUUUUCAAAAAAUCAUUUCUAGAUACAUAAGUAUCUAUUUAAUCAGAGAAACAUCAAAAGUUUUUCAUGAUUCAACCACUAGCUAGGAACGGUCAAACCCGCUGUUUUGAUCCAAAUUCGAAACGGGCAUAAAAAAUCAAAAAAAUCAAAAAAUUAGAAAACCUUCGCAUUGUGUCAUUAUAUGUGACCAAGUUUCCAGGAAAAAUAACAAACUUGUAAUACGGCAAUUAUUUUAAAAAGUGUUCUCAGAAAUGAGCUAUCAUGCAUGAAGAUUCAUGGCUUUCAAGCCAAAUGAUCAAUCUUAUGGCCACAUUCAUGGCAUAGUUUGUUCCAAGUGUGGUAAUUAAAACCCUUUUUUACAGCCUCUUUUGAUCCUAUAGUUCAUUCAUUCUCUUCCAUAAGAAGUUUACUGCUAUCACAAGUUACAUCUCUCUCAGUCUGCAUCUCAUAAACUGCCUAGAAUCUUCACUUGUGCAUCCUGAAGUAGUUAGAUUCCUCACUUGUACUUAUCUGAGGAUUCGUACAAAUCUGGAACCAACUUCUUUUCUCUAAGUGAAUGUCUUCGCAUGAUGAGGUCAAUGUCUUCUAAACUGAUUUAUCUUCAAAAUCUUCUGAGAAUGCAUAUGACCUCUUCCCCUUCCCUCGCACCUCAAUGUUGUCACAGGUACAUGUCCGUGGGAGAAUCUUUUGGUUCUCAUAGUCUGCAUUCAUUUGCAGAGUUCCUACAGCGUCACAUCAAUUCACCCGAAGCAAGUUCCUGUUGGUCAAGCAAAAGGAAGCCUUUGAAGCCUUUGAAUCUUUUGAAGCCUUCCAAGUUAAGGUUCAUGGCAUCCCAGAAACAAUCAAGGAAGGGAGGCAGACAGAGACGUGGUGACACAUCUAAAGAUCUGCCUGAAGAUUUGGCAGAAAUGUACCAUACAGAUCCCGAAGAGAGCUAUGGUCAGCGCAAGACACGAAUCCAAUGGAUUCGAAGAUAUUGGGCAGAGCAGUGGUUUCACUAUCGCUUUGUCACCAAGGAAUACGCAGAGAAGUACGCCAUCAAGAGGCCAUGGGGCGAUGCCUUGUACAAGAAUCUCGUACCCCGAACCAGAGACGAAGCCAUUGCUCAAGGCUUCUUUCCAUGCAUGGUCAGGGGACAACAGCCAGCUGAUGCACAUCCAUCAUCCCUUCUCUGGUGUCGGGAUGACACUCUAUUCAAGCGCAACUUUCAAUUUGCCCAGAAAUCUGCGACGCAAAACAAGAAGGAGUUCGGGUUGGACUUCAACCCUGGUCCCUCCAAACCAAGGGCAGAUGGCACACGCGACGCUAAUCCCAAUGUCAUCGGGCCAUUUGCCAAUCUCGAAGGCCUCAUCACUCACAUUAUAGUCCAAGGGACUGCCGUGAACGACCCUCCAGCAGACACUGAGUCUGAUGAUGCUCCUGCUGUCCCGGAGCCAAAGCAGAUGAAGAAGAAGCCAAAAGCUUCCAAGCCAGCCGCUUCUCCCAAGAUCUCCAGAGUGAAGCCAUUGGCAACUGCACCUCCUGAAGCCAGUGUGCAGUCGGAAGGCUUAUCUAGAGUCUCCAAGCCCCAAGAAGCCAAGAAGUCUCAUCCAGACACAGGGAAAGAGCUCACCGCUGCUGCUAUUUUGCGCUGCGAAGCCAUUGAUCUUUCAAGCGAUGAAGAUCUUGGAGAUGAUGCCCUUGAGCAGCUCAUCAAGAGCAAGGAGGAGGCUGAAAUCUUCAAUAAUCUGCCUCUGUUUGAUGUCACCAUCAUCCACAAGUUCAUUGAUGAAUGGUUUGACUCCCCAGACAUCAGCUUCGAUGACCUGCAGUUGCCCAUAGGCCUCAGUGUUAUCUUUCAAGGAGCAAUUGCUUCAGAACUUGCAAUUUCCCAGCGCAUCGUGGAGCUGAAGCAGAAGAUAGACUUUGAAAAGGCUCAGUUCAAGCAGAACAUGGCCACGCUCAGCAUCCAGGAAAUCAAAGACUUCAAGGUCAUGCUGCACGAGUUGAAGGAAAACUUUAUGCAGAAACGUGUAGCGGCUCAGGGUUCACGCGAGCGCAUGAAGAAGUCAGCUGAUCUCUGUGUGCAGGCCUACAAUGAGGCCGAGAAGCGAAAGUCACUUGGGCGCCCCGGCAUCGACCCCAAGAUGGCCGCUAAGAAGAAGAAGACGCCCACCAUGGCUAAAGAAGAGGCCCCACGCCAAGAAGCUGUUCUAACUGUCUUCCCAACCGCCAAGCCUAGCUCGAAGCCAAAGCGCUCCACUGCUUCCGAGCUCAAGAAGACAAGGACAGCUGAAGCUGAAGCGAGAAAGAGAAAACACUCUAAAGCCUCUCCUUCUGACCCCAGCACCAAGAAGCGCAAGAUGAAGAAAUCUCGGGCUGCUCCCAUAGAGCCCUUGAUAGUUGAACCCCUCUCCGUCCGCUAUCCCAACGAAGAUCGUCAACUGACAGUGCAUGAGCCUGCUCCCACAGAGGCUCCGCAAGUUGAAGACAUUCCAGCAGCCGACCCCAUCGCUGCUGAAGACAUUGGUCACCAAGACAAUGUGCAAGAUGAUGCAGCCCUUCCUCAGCUAGAGACAAGCGAAUUGCUCAGCAUUGGUCGUCCCUUGACGCCAAUCACACAAGAUGCAUCGUGGGCAGAUCGCCCACAGGAGGAAGAGGAUGAGCCCCAGACCACUGCAACUCCACCAGCGUCGCCUGCAUUCCGUAGGCUUCGCAAAGGUCCAAGGGCUCAAGCUGCUGACGACAUUCCGGCUGCAUCAGCCGAAGACAAUGAAGAAGCACCACAGGAACCCCAAGCUCCAACUCCACUACCCCAACAAGAGGCCGUUCUCCAGGAGAACGUGCCUGAGUCUGUUCCUCUCACUACACGUGCUGAGGAUGAAAACAUUGAGGCUGCCACACACAAUGCUGAAGACAAUGUGAAGCCCUCUCCAACAAUAGCUUCAGAACAUACUGAAGCUGCUGUCCCUGAACCUUCUGCACCAGAGUCUGCUGCCGGUCCGCAAUUCAACUAUCACAUUGCGCACAGGCCCCAGGUUCAGAAGCCAAUUCCAAGACUACCAAGGUUCCCAGGUCCUGCAUCAGCUCCUGGCUCCUUCAAUAUCAACAGCUUCAGGGCAGACAAUACUUUCUUCAACCGCUCCAAGAAUCCUUACUCAAGGGAACGGAUCGCAUCAGAUAGGUUCUGGAGCCAUCAACAGCGCAGCUACUAUUCAUGCAUCCUCUACAACCAAGGCCGCAUCUUUCCCCACCAGCGCCUUGAGGUUGAAGCUGUUGCUGGUCUGCCUGGUUUGGAAGAAGCCAUUGAUUGCUUCAAGCAAGUGGGUCUACUGCCGUUCAUCACUGACGAAGAGCAUUGGAACGAAGAGCUUAUGCUUCAAUUCUAUGCUACUCUGCAUAUCAAAGGCUACAACCGCGAUCCGAAGACAUGGGUCCUGGAGUGGAUGACAGGAAAUGUCCUUCAUGAAGCCAAAGCUUUCAACAUCAUUGAGCUUACCGGCCUUCCCACUUCUGGCGAAUUCUUUGAAGAAGGAUGCCAACUCCAUGCUGAAGCAAUUGAGAGCAUAUUUCAGCGUCCAGAACCAAAUAUGAGUCAGAUGCUCUCAAUGAUGAAGCCAUUGGCACAUAAUGCACCCUAUCCAACUGAGUUCUUCGUUGAAGACUUAGAGUACCUGCCCAGAACCAUAUAUCAUAUCAUCAGGCGGACUCUCUGGCCCAUUAAAGGACACUCCCGGUAUGCCAAGGUUGAAGGUGCCAUGAAGACACUCAUCUUCUGUAUUAUGCAUGGCAAAUGCUUCAACGCACAGGAUCUCUUCAUCCGUCAACUUGCUGCGUCUGGCUCAGAUCUCUUCGGUCUGAAGAUUUAUGCUCCUUGGGUUAUGAGGCUGAUCAAGCUUCAUUAUGCGAUCUCCUAUCAGCCCUCAGCCCGCAACCACAGGAUCUUCUUACCAGAUGUGGACACCUCAGCUGAAGCUAUUUAUCCUGAGCCUGCCAAACAGCCACUAAAUCUUCAGAAUGCAGAACACCAAAGCUUCACUCAAAAUGUUGAAGGUGUUGAAGCCAUUUCCAGAGUCUAUCCAAUGGCUGGCACCACAUGUGCCCCUGCAUCCACUGAAGCCACUGACAGCGAAGCUGCACAGAGACCCAAGAAACGCGCUCGUACCCUCACUGAUCGUGAACUUCUUGUGGCUCUGCAUCAAAAGCAAGAUAGGCAUCACGACUGGCUCAAGAGGCAGAUGGGCAACAUCAUGAAAGACAUCAAUCGCAUCAGAAAUCUGGCAACCAAGAAUGCAUUCGUCGCACACGAAACCUGUCGCCGCACUUGGAAAGGCCUCACAAUGAUGUGCCCAGAAGCUGAUCUUCACGAGGAUGGCUUCAAAGAGCAUUUCAAGUUUGAUACCACACCUCCCAGAAGAGUUGUGAUGCAAAGCACACCAUCUCUUGAAGAUUCGAAUUUCUCUUCUUCUGCUGCCACAGUAUCUGCCAGGAUCAUUGAAGAAGAAGACGACGCUACAUCACCACCAAUGUCUUCAGCGCGCGUCGUCACUGCACCAAGCUCGCCUGCACCACCAAACGCAUCCACCGACCCUGCUGCGCCUCGGAACGCAUAGAAAACUCUAUGUCUUCAAAUCUUUUUGGUCAUCACUGACAAAAGGGGGAGAAGCAUAUGAUGUUUAUAGUCUUCAAGCGGGUCAAUAAUAUGGGCGGGUGCUUUAUAUUUUGCAUUUUGCUUCGUGAUUACAACUCUCGUUUUGCUACAUUUGGUUCUUUGAGUUGUAAGCACUUAAACUUGAUGGUCGUCUGCUACUGUGUUUUUGUGAAGAUAAAUUCCGCAUGUACGACGAUAAUUUCCGCACUCUUAUCAUUUCGCAGACGUCCAUUUUCCAUUAUGCAUGUCAUUAUCUUCAUAUAUCUUUACGUGCAUAAUGGAUUGUCAUCAUAAGUUGAAGUGGAUUCCCACAAAUACAACCUGCUAUGUGCAUUUGCAGUCCAAAAGCAAAUCACUUAUAUGCACAUCUUCAGGGGGAGCCCUUGCAGCUUAUGAAGACAAUUCCUUUACAAUUUCGCAAAUUAUAUUCCCCGUUGAAAACUUCAACUAGUUUGUCAUCAAUCACCAAAAAGGGGGAGAUUGUAAGUGCAUCUAGUGCCACCCCUAGUUGGUUUUGGAGUAUUGACGACAAACCUAGUUGAGGGACUAAUGUGUUUGUGAGAAUUGCAGGAUAACACAGGUAGAAGUCCCUCAUUGAUUCGGUUUAGCUACCAGAGAUGACCCCCAAAAAUGUACGAAGACAUUGAAGACAAUGGUGGUUCAUGAAGACAUUCAUGUCGAAGACAAUGACAUAUGAAGACUUCCCAUGAAGCCUUUGGAACUCGAAGACUUAGAUCCUUUGUAGUUUCACUUUAUUCAUGUUGUGUCAUAGGAACCACCGUACUGUUAAGUGGGGUCCAAGAGAACCAGUCAGGAUGACUGAAGUGAUGCCUAAUUCAAAUCCUAUGUCUUCGAGUGAAGACAAUGAGAGAAAAUCUUGUCCAGAGUCAGACAAGUCAGCUUUACUUGCAGCCCAAGUAAAGUUGCCGUGAGAGUUCAAAAUCCGACCGUUAGUACACGUGUCAGUUCCUUAGUGACCCAGGGUCAUUUCGGACAAAUCAGGUCAGGGUUGCCAAGUGGCUAUAAAUAGUCCACCCCCACAACCAUAAACGGUUGGCUGCUCAGAUUUCAGUACACGGCUUUUGUCGUUUGAGAGCAACCCACCUCGAAGCCUUUGAGAGAAAAUCCCUAGCGAGGAGAAAAGCCCUAACCACCCAGAGCCAGAGUAAAUUGGGCAUCAUUUAAGUCUUCUUGUCUGUGUGAUCUGAAGACUUAUUACACUUGAGGACUGUGCAUCCUCCAGACGGUUAGGCGUCGCGUUCUGAGCAUCCAAGAGUAAUUGUGGAUUGCUGGUGAACGAAGUCUGUGAAGGUUUGGGAGUCUACCUUGAAGACUUACCUGAGUGAUUGGGCGAGGUCUGUGUGACCUUAGCUCAAGGAGAAUACGGUGAGGACUGGGUGUCUUGGACUAAGUGUCCUUGACUGGGUGUCCGGGACUGUGCGUCCUUUGGUUUGAAUACCUAGCCGCUCCAACCAGACGUACAGUUGUCACAGCAACUGGAACUGGUCCAACAAAUCAUUGUCUUCAACGUGUCACUGGUUUCAUCUUCACUUCCCUUCAACUUACUGUUAUUCAUUGUGAAGCCAUUGCAUGCUCGCUCUAUCUUUUGUCUUCACAACUUAACUGUAUGAUUUGAUUGGCUUCAUAACUUCUUCCUACCUGAUCCUAAUUACACUGAAGCUAUUGUUACUGUGCUUUCACUCCAUUGAAUACUUGAUCUUAGCUUGCUUGUGUAAUCUAACUUCCGCUGCAUAGUGAUAGGCAUAUCUUCUCUGUUUGUCUUCAUAACUUCCACGUUUUAAAGACUUUCAUAAAAAUCGCCUAUUCACCUCCCCCCCUCUAGUCGAUAUAACGCACUUUCAAUUGGUAUCAGAGCAAGGUGCUCCCUUGUUCUGUGUGAUUCGGUUUAACCACCUGGAGUUUUAGCUAUGUCGACUGCAGGGAUAAUCAAAGUCUCCGCUGCGUGCCCCGUCUUCGAUGGAACUGAAUAUCCCUACUGGAAGAAUAAGAUGCGCAUGCAUCUUGAAGCCAUUGACGUCGACCUAUGGUAUGUCGUCGAGAACAGCGUUCCCAAGGCUGGAGAUGGUGUCACUGCUGCUGAUGUCAAGAAGUUCACUCAACUGGACUCUACUGCCAAGAAUAUUAUCUGUGGUCAUCUGACCAAGGGACAGUACGGCCGUGUGAGUGCCUUGAAGACAUCCAAGCUGGUCUAGGACUGGCUCUCAAAGGUCAAUGAAGGCAUCUCAACCCAGAGAGAUCAGAGAAUCAGUGUUCUUUGCAACCUCUUCAACCGCUUCAAGCGAAAUGACAAGGAGAAUGUCCAGCACACAUUUGACCGGCUCACUGACAUCACAAAUGAGCUUCAAGCCCUCGGCGCCACUGAGAUCACCAAACAUGAAAUCGUCAAGACGCUGCUGAGAUCACUUGACAGUUCAUUUGACAUCCUAGCCCUGAUGAUUCAAGAACGUCCUGAUUUCAAGACACUCGAUCCAUCUGACAUACUUGAGAGGCUCAACACACAUGAGUUUCAGCUUUCUGAGAAAAGAGAUAUCUACGGUCCAAACUAUGGGCGAACUCGUGCCCUGAAGGCAAAAGCUGUGUCAUCAUCUGAAGAAGAAUCUGACAGCAGUUCUGAUGAUCCUGAAGACAUUGGAAGAGAACUUGCGAUGCUAGUAAAGAAGUUCCAGAAAUUCACCAAGAAGAAAGGCUUCAGAAAGUCUUCACGAUCAAGCUCAAGGAAUGAUGAAGCUUCUGCUCAUGACUACAAGAAGAAAACAUGCCACAAGUGCAAGAAAUCUGGACACUUUAUCUCUGAGUGUCCACAGUGGGACAAUGAGAGCAGAAGGAAGAAGAAGAGCAAGGAAUAUGACUCUGACGACAAGAAGAAGAAGAAAUACUCAAAAUCUUCUUCCAAGUCUUCUUCAAAGCCUUCAUCACACAAAAAGAGCUCAUCUGGCAAGGCAUGUGCGUUUGUUGGCAAGGAAAUGGAUUCUGAGGAGGAGUCUGCAUCUGAGGAGGCAGAGGUGGAGUCUGAGGAGGAAUCUGAUUCUGGCAUUGCGAGUCUGGCUACUGCCUAUGUUGCCAAGUCCAUCUUCAACACUGAAGACAAUGACUUCAUCACCAGCACCGACGCUAAUGACGAGGACGACUCCACUCCUACCUACUGCUUCAUGGCCCGUGGUACAAUGAUAAAACACACUAAUAUUAAACAUAAGAAAAAAGAAUCACUGGAAAAUGUAUUUUUAAAGUUAAGUUAAUCACAAACUAGUGAUUCACACAAAUUUCAAAUAAUUCAAAAUUUAAACUAUUCAAAUUUAAAAACUACCGGCACUAGCUGAAAGUUUCUAAAAACUAUCAAAAAUAUUCACAAAGAAACUCUAAAUACAGCAAAAAACAACUAAAAAUAAAUAAAACAAAAUAAAUAAAGCAAAAAAGAAAAAAGUAAAUGAAAAAAGCCCACCUACCGGGCCACAGCGGCCUGCAUACGACUAGAAACCCAACCUGUUGUUGGGCCAGGAUGCAGGCCCGCAAGCCCAAUAGGCCCCACAGGGCAGAGUGGCAGAGAUAGGCCCAGAAGGCCUGCAUUUCAGAGGAGCUCGAAGGAGCAGCCGCGGCUGGGUUUAUAAACCAGUGCGGCUGCCCUUCGCUAGGCGAGGUGGGACUAAACUUUGCGCCCCUCGCCUGGCAGCGCACCCCCCUUUAGUACCGGUUCGUGGCACCAACCGGUACUAAAGGGGGGGCCUUUAGUACCGGUUGGAGCCACCACCCGGUACUAAAGGGGGUCGCUUCCCGCCGCUUGGGCUAGCCAAAACAGACCUUUAGUACCGGGUGGUGGCUCCAACCGGUACUAAAGGUGCCUUCUAUAUAUACAACACUUCGAAAAAUUUCAUUCUCCCCCUCUGUUUCUUCCCGAUCGAUCGACACUGCCCCCAUCGCACGCCGUUGCCGUCGCCGCCCCCAUCCUCGUCGCCGCCCUCGUCCCCGUCGCCGCCCCCNNNNNNNNNNNNNNNNNNNNNNNNNNNNNNNNNNNNNNNNNNNNNNNNNNNNNNNNNNNNNNNNNNNNNNNNNNNNNNNNNNNNNNNNNNNNNNNNNNNNNNNNNNNNNNNNNNNNNNACACACAAGCAUGAACACACACACGCACAUUUUUCUGUUUUUAGUUAUAGAAAUAGUUAUAAAAUAGUUAGAAUUGAUAGAAAUUUUUCUAUUUUUUAGUUAUAGAAAUAGUUAUAAAAUAGUUAGAAUUCAUAGAAAUUUUUCUAUUUUUUUGUUAUAGAAAUAGUUAUAAAAUAGUUAGAAUUGUUAGAAAUUUUUUCUGUUUUUUAGUUAUAGAAAUAGUUAUAAAAAAGUUAGAAAUUUUCUGUUUUUUAGUUAUAGAAAUAUUAGAAAUGUUAUACAAAUGUUAGUUAUAUAUAUAAAAAUGUUAUAAUUUUUUUCUUCUGUUUUUUAGUUAUAGAAAUAUUAGAAAUGUUAUAGAAAUGUUAGUUAUAUAGCAUUGUUAGAAAUGUUAUAGGAAUGUUAGUUAUAUAGAAAUGUUAGAAAUUUUAGUGAUCAAAAUCCAAUCAUUAAAAAAAUGUUACUUUUUGCGUGCAUAUAGCUAGUAUUUGUUUUGGACGAUGCCCGGCCCGCAUCCUCGCCGGCGACCCGUCCGCGACGACGUCCGGCUGACCCAUGUCCGGGACUGGGCUCCGCCGGGCUGGCACUGGGAGGUGCUGCCUAGAGGGGCGCGCCGCUUGAUGAGGAACCCGGCCCUGGGUCCCGUCGUCGACCCUGAUCUCGUUUGGUGGCGUUCGCGUGGGCCAGUUUCGGUGCGGAGGGAGCCGGCCCCGCCGGAGGAGGUACGUCGCCGUGUCAGGGAGGAGGACGAGCACGUCCAUCGCUACAUGGUUGCGUUAGAGGGCGGCAGGUUCUCCAAUACCUGGCAGUUUCUUCAGGGAUCUCACUUCAGCUAUGAUCCUGUGAGGGUUCCUUCUCUGUGGGUGUCCACCGCCCGCGCCGAAGGAACCGCGAGUGUCCUAGAUUCUUCUAUAGUAUUCGAUCUUUAUUAGCUACCUAGCCAGUGAUGUACUCGAUAUAUAAUAUUCGAGACGAUGUAUUCGAGAUUAUAUAUUAUUUGAGACGAUGUAUUCGAGAUUAUAUAUUAUUCGAGACGAUGUAUUCGAGAUUAUAUCUAUUAUUUGAGACGAUGUAUUCGAGAUUAUAUCUAUUAUUCGAGACGAUGUAUUCGAGAUUAUAUCUAUUUUUCGAGAUUAUACUAAAUUGUUUUAUAUUUCUUUUGGCAUAGUUAAAUAAAAGCUAUGGCGGACAAUACCGACAGAGAGAGAGAACAGACCAUGUUCGAUAUCAUACGCGGGCCAGAUGAUGAUCAGAAUGAAGAAGAUUUUGACGGCUCCGAAUUUCUAAACAACACCGGAGAGGGUGAUAUGAUAUUCGAUCGCGACGACCGAGAAGAUGAAGUCAUGAACUACGACGAAGAACAUGUUGAUCCUGUAACAACAAACACCGGCGAGGUAUAUAUAUUUAUAUAAGCAGGAAUCUGGUGAUCAUCGCAUGUUUUAAAUGAGUUGAAGAUAUAUCAACGAAUCGAUCUUUCUUGUUUCAGCCAUCCGGAUCGAGCAAAUCUUCAGGCAAAAGGACGAAACGAGGCCCGAACAAAAAGUUGAAGGAGGGCGUAAAGUACAAUAUCGAGGCAUUCAAACCUAAUGGCGAACCAUUAGCGCCUAAGAAGAUUGCGGACAAGUUCGUUCGUCAGUGCGGAGUUCUUGUGAAGGACCAACUCCCGAUCUCCCUUCAAGAAUGGAGAAAGCCAGCAAAUCCACGUCCAGAUGUUACUUUUGUCGACGAGAAUCAAAAAAAUAUGCUUUGGGAUACUCUCAUGGAACAUUUCACCCUACCAGAUCAUUUCACAGAAGCAGAUAUGCGGAAAGUCAAGAAUGCUGCUUUUAGGAAGAUGGCGGUUGCAUUCAAGAACCACAAGAGAAUGACGUGGGAGAAGUACGUCAAGGGAGGAAGGAAGACUCCAGUAUUCGAGGGGAUACUAGAGAAUCAAAGUGCUCAUUGGGACGAUUUCGUGAAAUUCAAGGAUUCAGAAUUAGCUAAGGAACGGUCGAGAAUAAACAAGAAGAAUGCCGAAAAAAAGGAUAAGUUCCAUAAGCUAGGGCCAAGUGGCUACGCGGUGGCAAUGCCUAAGUGGGAUAAGUCUGAGAAAGAGAUGGAGGAUGCAAGUGUCACUCCGGUUACUAAGAGCUGGCCCCCCAGGUGCAGGACUUGGUUCUAUGCGCAUGGGGGGGGGGAGUUGGACCCGAAGACAGGCAAUGUUUCGACGAAGGCAUGUCUGAACGGAGCCGAUGAUGCGCUACUUGUUGCAAGAGAAGAGGCUCGAUCGGGGGUGUUCCAGCCCAACAGAGAGAACGACGAGCUUACGCGUGCCCUGGGAAAUCCUGAACACCCGGGAAGAACACGAGGCAAGGGUGCUAUUCCGUGGUAUGAGGGGUUUUCGGACUGGAACGCCGACUACAGAACCCGUGCAAGAAAGAAGAUUGUGGAGGAGAAGAAGAGGAAGAUGGAGGAGGAGCAGAGGAAGCGGGACUAUGAACGCCUUCAAGGACUAGAAGCAAGUCAAGCGGAAUUGGCAGCUAAAUUCCAGCGGCAGCAGGAGCAGAUCGACUCACUUAGCCAGCAAAGGGGGUCUCAGCAGCUGCAGCAGCUAGCGGAUGAUCCAGCAUUGGAUACCACCGCCCCAUCCAUGCCGAGAAGCAGCGUGGGUUCCGCCCCAGGCGACACAGUAGUGCUGGAUAGAUACCCCGUGGAUGACAUCACGGAGAACACUAACUGCGAGCUACACUUCAAAAUGAAGAACAUAUCCAUGAAGGUGGCGGACGCCGUUGCUUUUUCAAAUUCCCCCGAGGCAACCUUCCAUUGCAACCCGAUUCCAGCGGGCUAUGCUCGUGUCUUGGUUGAUGAGGUGGUGGCCCCUUAUUCGGAGCUACAGCUUGACAUUCCUGGAGGUGACGACGAGCACACAUUGGGAGAGGUCAUACAUCGUGUCAUCCUAUGGAGAAAGGAUUGCAUCAUCUUUCGAAGGCCACCGACACCACGUCACCCGACUCCUCGUCGAAGUCCGUCACCGAGUCAGCAGACUCCCGCUCCUCCAAGUCCACCAACGCGUGAGGCCACUCCUCCUCCUCCAAGUCCGGCAAAGUGUCAGGCCACUCCUCCUCCAAGUCCGACACAGCGUCAGACGUUCACUCCUCGUCCAACUCAGCCCCGUCAGCCGUCUCCGCCGCCUCAGCAAUCGCAGAAGAGACACCCCGCAGCUAUGGUGCGUAGCGGUACGAGUCGAGGUGAUAGUACAGGAAGUACAGGCGGAGGCAAGCGAUAUAAAUAUGGUCCAAACCUCAAUACUCCUCUUCCUGUGAUGGCUUACGACAGGACCGAGGAACAAACCAAUGCCAUAGUGCGGGCAGAAGUCGACGCCCAUUUUGGACCGAAACCGCCACCGCCGCCAAAGGAGAAAGUGCAUGUGGAAGUAGUUGACCACUUCAUUCGUAUGGCUCAACCACCAACUCCUAAGCCUGUUGACUCAGACUAUGAGCGCCACAUCAGGAAGUUACAUCGACAACGUCUACAGAAGGAGGCGAGCUCGAGCUCGAGCAAACAACAAGCAGCUGUCAAAAAAUGCGGGAAAACCGUUGCCCAGCUGGGAAAACAGGCGGCGCAAUCGAUCCCCCCCGCUUGUUGUGCCGCCAACGACACGUGACAGUACGCGCGCCCAAUAUUAUUGUGGCCAAACGGUUUACGUUCCCGAGGUGGGCGAUGUGGUAAUAACCCAGGAGCAUAUAAUGCAGGCUGAAGAACUCAAGAUCACUGUUGGACAACUCCUCGAGAUCGAGGACAUGCCUCCGAUUAGAGAAGAGCAAAUAAAAUGGAAAUUUGUCCGGGGCCAACCUUUGGUCGAGCCAGAAGAUGUCAAGAAGCUCCCAACGAGAAUGUAUGAAUUGCAUCAAUGGUACAUGGACAUUAGCAAGAGAUCCGAUCAAGAGUCCCUCAUGGUGUAUGUCAAGAAGGAUGAUUACUACCAUGAGAAAGCUGUGGCCGUUGAGUAUUCUGAACUGUUUCAGUUAUACAAUCAAGAUGCACUCGACAAAUCUAUCGUCGGUUGCUAUUGUCUGUAAGUGAUUUCUUUCUGUAAUUUAAGUCUCAAGCUAGCUGUAGUGAUCCUUUUGAUCAAUCAUUACGUGUAAUUAUCCUCACUAUAUUCUUUUCUGCGGUAUUAUGCAGGAUGAAGAUGUCUGAAAUGAGAAAAAGUGGACGCUAUGGCAUUGGGUUCAUUGACCCAAACACCGUUAAUGAAUACACAUGGAAAUUAGAUGCAUAUUAUGAAAAAGAGGUAGAGGACAGCAUGCUAGAGUUCUUCAAGCGCCUCAAAUACAAUGAAGAUAUACUACUUCCUUACAACUUCGAGUGAGUCACACUUUCUUGUACUACAAAUUCUCUGUUUUUGCCUACUAGCUAGCUACAUGUUUUUGCUUACAUAUGCCCGCUUAAUUAAGACAUGUAAACGUGUGCGCAUGCAGAUUUCACUGGAUCUUGUGUAUCAUUAAAGUUGACGCCGGAACAGUUGAAAUACUGGACUCGCUACUCAAAGCAAAUACUGACUAUAACAUCUUGCUUGGGAUAGUCAACAGGUAAUUUCAAUCAUUAUUAACUAUAUAUCUCGGCCUAUUUAGUUCGUCAUUUAAUGAUAUGAACUAUUUAAUAACCCCUUUAUUCAUUUUCUUCGUCGGCGGGCAGGGCUUGGGCAAGGUUCAUCAGCGUCACUCCAGGCGAAUGCAAACAAAAGCUGAAAUGGUUUCGAGCCAAGGUAAGUAAUUAAGUAGUACUAGCUAGCUAGCUAGCUGCCAUCUCUUUAAUUAUCAUGCUUGAUUAAUUAUUAUCUGAUUAAAUUAAAUUCCAUUCUCGUAAUAAAGGCCCUGAAGCAGGCGCCAGGGACUGAUCUGUGUGCAUACUGCAUUUGCGAAAACAUUCGCAUGAUGGCGUCCAAAAGGAGCAGAUCUCAAAGACAGGAAUGGGUACGUUUGUCAGAACAAUAUUCACAAUUUUUACACCAUUAUCGAUAUCUAGUCACACAACUAAUACACAUGCAUAUUGAUCUCCUUCUUAACAGUUCAAAGAGGUGCAGGACAAGCUCCUACCAACGGAGCGCGUAGAAGCACUUCAAUAGGAAAUAGCGGGAUUUUUGCUCGACCAGGUCAUAAAUCCGAAGUGAGAAUACUAUUACCCGCUACCGCCCCCAUCGAAAAAGACAUGAACCACUUUCAAUUUUCAUCGUGCUCCGAAGGCACCAAUCAGGCUAAUGCCACUGGCUCCGAAGGCAACAUGCAUAUGUAGGAGAAAUUGUAUAUAGCUAUACAUGUGUGUAUGUGUGAAUUAAUAUGGCGGUUUGUGAGACAUGAUUGAUGAUAUAUAUGAUUGGUUCUACUAAAAAUUNNNNNNNNNNNNNNNNNNNNNNNNNNNNNNNNNNNNNNNNNNNNNNNNNNNNNNNNNNNNNNNNNNNNNNNNNNNNNNNNNNNNNNNNNNNNNNNNNNNNNNNNNNNNNNNNNNNNNNNNNNNNNNNNNNNNNNNNNNNNNNNNNNNNNNNNNNNNNNNNNNNNNNNNNNNNNNNNNNNNNNNNNNNNNNNNNNNNNNNNNNNNNNNNNNNNNNNNNNNNNNNNNNNNNNNNNNNNNNNNNNNNNNNNNNNNNNNNNNNNNNNNNNNNNNNNNNNNNNNNNNNNNNNNNNNNNNNNNNNNNNNNNNNNNNNNNNNNNNNNNNNNNNNNNNNNNNNNNNNNNNNNNNNNNNNNNNNNNNNNNNNNNNNNNNNNNNNNNNNNNNNNNNNNNNNNNNNNNNNNNNNNNNNNNNNNNNNNNNNNNNNNNNNNNNNNNNNNNNNNNNNNNNNNNNNNNNNNNNNNNNNNNNNNNNNNNNNNNNNNNNNNNNNNNNNNNNNNNNNNNNNNNNNNNNNNNNNNNNNNNNNNNNNNNNNNNNNNNNNNNNNNNNNNNNNNNNNNNNNNNNNNNNNNNNNNNNNNNNNNNNNNNNNNNNNNNNNNNNNNNNNNNNNNNNNNNNNNNNNNNNNNNNNNNNNNNNNNNNNNNNNNNNNNNNNNNNNNNNNNNNNNNNNNNNNNNNNNNNNNNNNNNNNNNNNNNNNNNNNNNNNNNNNNNNNNNNNNNNNNNNNNNNNNNNNNNNNNNNNNNNNNNNNNNNNNNNNNNNNNNNNNNNNNNNNNNNNNNNNNNNNNNNNNNNNNNNNNNNNNNNNNNNNNNNNNNNNNNNNNNNNNNNNNNNNNNNNNNNNNNNNNNNNNNNNNNNNNNNNNNNNNNNNNNNNNNNNNNNNNNNNNNNNNNNNNNNNNNNNNNNNNNNNNNNNNNNNNNNNNNNNNNNNNNNNNNNNNNNNNNNNNNNNNNNNNNNNNNNNNNNNNNNNNNNNNNNNNNNNNNNNNNNNNNNNNNNNNNNNNNNNNNNNNNNNNNNNNNNNNNNNNNNNNNNNNNNNNNNNNNNNNNNNNNNNNNNNNNNNNNNNNNNNNNNNNNNNNNNNNNNNNNNNNNNNNNNNNNNNNNNNNNNNNNNNNNNNNNNNNNNNNNNNNNNNNNNNNNNNNNNNNNNNNNNNNNNNNNNNNNNNNNNNNNNNNNNNNNNNNNNNNNNNNNNNNNNNNNNNNNNNNNNNNNNNNNNNNNNNNNNNNNNNNNNNNNNNNNNNNNNNNNNNNNNNNNNNNNNNNNNNNNNNNNNNNNNNNNNNNNNNNNNNNNNNNNNNNNNNNNNNNNNNNNNNNNNNNNNNNNNNNNNNNNNNNNNNNNNNNNNNNNNNNNNNNNNNNNNNNNNNNNNNNNNNNNNNNNNNNNNNNNNNNNNNNNNNNNNNNNNNNNNNNNNNNNNNNNNNNNNNNNNNNNNNNNNNNNNNNNNNNNNNNNNNNNNNNNNNNNNNNNNNNNNNNNNNNNNNNNNNNNNNNNNNNNNNNNNNNNNNNNNNNNNNNNNNNNNNNNNNNNNNNNNNNNNNNNNNNNNNNNNNNNNNNNNNNNNNNNNNNNNNNNNNNNNNNNNNNNNNNNNNNNNNNNNNNNNNNNNNNNNNNNNNNNNNNNNNNNNNNNNNNNNNNNNNNNNNNNNNNNNNNNNNNNNNNNNNNNNNNNNNNNNNNUGUCCAGGUCGUUGCAGUGCACGUACCUUACGUGCCGGACGACGUCGCUGCCUGGGCCGUCGCGGACGGCGUUGAGCUUGGGCAGGGCCACCCUGGCGCGGGUGGCCAGGUGCGAGACGUGGCAGGAGGCGUCGCGGGUGUCGACGACGAGGGACCAGCCGCGGGACAAGGGGAAGACAGCCGUGUGGGAGGCGCGGACACGGGGGAGCAGGAGGCGCGGCGCUGGCCCUGCCGCGGCGCGCCAUGCCCGGCACACGGAGCGGAACGCGGCGAGCCCGGUGACGGCGUCGCGGGACCUCCGCGCGAUGAUCGUCACUAGAUCGGAGGGGAGGUCCAACCAGUCGGGCUGCUCCUCCUGGCUAGCCAUUGCACGUACGUGCGCUGUCGAUGGGCUGGGCGAACCGAAGGUUUGACUUUGUUGAUCCUUUUAUGAGGAGCCUCGGCAACAACGAUACAAUCGUAACUAACUUUCUUUAUUUAAAAUAAACAGAGUAUAAAAGACUCGGUCGACCGUACGACGUGGGAUCGUGGCGGUUUGACCAUCUACAGCCAGGUCUCUCGUGCCCGUCUCAAACACCUAGACCGAUCACAAAAAUUCAACCCAACAGAAUCUCUCAAACGACCGAACUAACCAACACCCUUUAUAUCCAGCACAAAUAUAGGGCAAUCUGAGCAUUGUCCGGACGUGUCCGCCUGACAGGUCCGGCCCACCACGGACCAACAAAACAUCCCUAUCUCGGCGGCGAGCUCAAACCCCAGCUCACUCUUUCGCUCCGUCCGUCCACUCAUCUCCCACUCCGGUUUCCGAUGCCAUCCACCACCAUGAGCAGCUUCGGCAACGACUCUGGCUCAGAGCUCGACUACGAGGAGGAGAUGGCCCUCCGCAUUGCGUUCGAGCGGUCCAAAGUAGAGACCGGCAGCAGCUUCGGAUCUGGAGCGUCGCCGCACCUCCCGGGCCGGUGCAGCGCGGACGCCGAAGCUGGACCCUCCUGGCCCACGCGCAGCGACGCCCGGUCAGCACAGUCCGCACCGGUCCCGCGUCAUCUCCUUCCCCCGUCGGCCGCCCCUCCACGGGCCAACGCUGGGUGCUUGUGACCGUGCCUCCGGCCUGCACGCGCACUCCGGAGUCCGAGGCGCGCGCCGCGCGCCGCGAGAGGCAGCGUGCACGGGAGAAGGAGGCGGUGGAGCAGUCCAUGCGCCGUCGCCGCGGGACGGAGGCGGACGCCGACGAGGACGCGCGUCUCCUCGCCUGGGUUUAUCGUCGCUCCCUCACGACGGCGGAGACGGACACUCGCCGCCUCCGACGGAAGAACGCGAAGGCGCUCCAGCUAGGCAUUGAUGUUGGAAAUAUGAGCAAGUUACUACAAGAUUUAAUCCGAAUAAUUAGAAGAUAAAUCAUGACUACAGUAGCAGAGAUUAAACUAAUCAUGCGAACUAGCAUAGCAAAUGAGCAGAUCACAUCUAGGGCACAUACUAGAAACAUGAAUUCUACCACGAUCUCGAACAGGAAGGAUAGAAUCAUAUACGGUGUAGCGGGAGUAGCACCGCCGGCGUUGACGUUGUCGCCCAUGUCGUCGAGGAUGAGGUUGCCGAGGUCGGGGAAGAAGUCGUUGUUCGCAAAAUCGUCGCUGCCAGCAGUCGCGCGAGUGCGCUCCCCAAAAACCUGAUCGCCCCUCUCCCGUACAGGAUCACGAGAGGUGGGGUUCCGGAGGCCUGCUGUCCCUUCUCCCGGUGCACGCCAAAAGGAGGGAUCUAGAAGACUUGUUUGGUGGCGCAAUGAUCUGGAACGGUGGUGAGAAACCAUACGAAGCGGCGGCGGCUAGGGUAGACGUCAGCCUGACUAUAUAGUGCGGGCCGGGUCACGAUACAAAAGAAUCGGAAACGGUUCAGUAAUUAACGCGUUUGUUAAUUAUUAAUUAAUGACUCAUUAAUUUUCCCGAGCAGCAAAAAUAUAGACAACGUGCAUAGCUCUGUCCUCGGCUCGGCUCAAUCCCGCGGCGUGGCGAUGCGAGCAAGAAGGAGGAGCGCGCGUGUAGGUCUCCUCUUCUCAUGCUCAUACAAGUGGUAGAAGAGCUCACCUUAUAAAGAGGUGCAACUCUCUCUCAAUUUUCGGGGUGAGACUAAACAUUAGCCUCACUCACUCCACUCACAUGUGUGCAUGAAUGGGCCAAGAGAAUUUUAGAAUUUUAGUUGGGCUUUGGGCCAAAGGCCUACUAGCAAAAUUCCAACAAUCCCCCACAAAGUCUCAUUGGCACAUCUCAUCAUUUAGUUCCAAAACAUUGUUUAUAUACCGGUGCUUAGUGGAGACUGUGAAGUUGAACUUCCACUUAGAGAUUUUUGCUACACUAGAUCACAACUUGAAGUGGACUAUGCCUUGAACUACAAGUUUUCUGCGAGACUAGUUUCACACAAAUUCUUGACCGAUACUGGGCUGUCGCAAGGCUUCCCCGCGGGUGAAGCGUAUACGUCAUACUCCAAGGCCUUUUCAUGAAUUUAUUAGAGAACACCCAAUUAUCACAGACUGCGAUGUUAACGGUCAAAUUCAUAUAGGUGUGUUCCUCAGAAGAUGGCAUGUAGGACAACAUCUCUGCUUACCCGAAUAAGCCACUUGGAAUACAUUAAGAUAAGUAUCGACCUGCCAUGCAGAUCAGGAGACUAUUGCAUCUUCAUGGAGUGGGAUAGGUAAUAUAGGGAUACUCUCCUCCCAGCUGACCAACAGCUUGUCUCCCACUUCUACUUCACGGGAUCUCCGAUCACAUAGAGUGGGUUACCACUAUGGACAACUCAUGCGGUGGGUCUCAGACCCAUCUCCAUCGAUGCAUUAUCUAUCACAUUACGUGAUAGAGCCUUUGUGAAGGGAUCUGUCAAAUUUUUCGACGUUUGGAUAUAAUCCGACGUAAUAACUCCAAAUAGCUAUUUGUUAUUUUUGCCAUGAUUAAUGUGUGCAUGAUAUGCCCCUGAGCUCUACAUGUGUUUUGUUAUAUGCCAUGCCAUCUUUCCAGAGGUGCAACCCAUGUAUUUUUGUGAUGUGUGUGGUGACUAGCACAAGCUUGCAAAGUGGCGCAUUCGUUAAUGCUGAUUUCAGGGACUUAGCAAUUCCACUAAGUCCUUGAUCUGUUUUAUCAAUAUGCCAUAUGUUCAUGUUGUUUCCUAGUGAUUCGUGCCUCUUUUGAGGAUGAGCAGUAAGGAUGAUUUGUUUAUCUUGUAGUUCUAUAUCCAUGCAUGUGUUUGUUUGCAAUUAUGGAGCAACCUAGCUUGAGUCAAUCGAGCUCUACUUUUGCUAUUUCAUAAUUCCUGGCAGAUUGUCUACUUGUUAGCGAUUUUGCCGAGGAUGUUGUUGUUGAUCCGUGCAUGCUAUGUUGUUGUUCUUGCCAUGUCUAGCUUGUAUAAUGUGUAUUCUUGAUGGGUGUGCACUUAGUUUGUCAUGACUUGCUCUGUAGUGAGUGCAUCGAGCUCGUAAACAUGCCUACUCGCUAUCUGAUUUGCAUUUUCCAUUUUUUCACUAAGUCUCUAAUCUGAUUAUGUUUUUGCCAUGUUCACAUGCCUGCAAUUGUAUUUUGUGAUCCCUUUUGGCUCAGGGUCACUAAGGGACUUUUGUUAAGCUCUUUGAGUAGCUCCAUGCCAUGCCUUGCUUUGCGAUGUUAAGUUCCUGUAGCAUAUAGUUUUCAUGCUUCAAAGUGUGCUACCUCAUCUAAAGUUCCAUGCUUGUGUUAAUUUUCACCAAGUCUGAAAUCUGUUUACCAAUUGCACUUUUGCCAUGCUUGUUUGAACCUGUUAAUGGAUGAAUUGGACGUAGCUCAGUGUUCAUCUUUUGUCAAGCAUCAUGAGUGGAUCCCUGCCAUGUAUUUUGUUGCCAUGUUUGAGUGUCGUAGCAUGUUCAUCUUGUUGCAUUUAGAUGGAUAUUCACUGUUUACCGCAGACCGGUGCCAUAUUUGUUUUGCUUGCCAUUUCCAGACCGUGCAUCCGAUUUCGGCGAUCUUUAUAUCGAUUUCAGCCGAAGUCACCUCACCUUUCCAAUGGCACACUUGGAUUUCCAAGUUGAGGCCAGGUUCAAUCAUUCCUUUGCAAAUCAUGCAUAUGCAUCGCAUCCCGCAUCCCGCAUAUCAUACCAUGUUUAUGCGUGGUUUGUUUACUAUGUUGUGUGUUUCUUUCCGGUGUUUGCUUCUUCGGGUUGGUUCCAGUAAGGUCGCGUUUGUGAGGACCCGUUCGUCUAUGUCCGUUUGUCUUCUUCAUGGACUCGUUCUUCUUCCUUGCGGGAUUUCAGUCAAGAUGACCAUACCCUCGAAAUCACUUCUAUCUUUGCUUGCUAGAUGCUCGCUCUUUUGCUAUGCCUAUGCUGCGAUACCUACCACUUGCUUAUCAUGCCUCCUAUAUUGUUGAACCAAGCCUCUAACCCACCUUGUCCUAGCAAACCGUUGUUUGGCUAUGUCACCGCUUUCCUCAGCCCCUCUUAUAGCGUUGUUAGUUGCAGGUGAAGAUUGAAGUUUGUUCCUUGUUGGAGCAUGGAGAUGUUGUUCCUUGUUGGACCAUGUUUACUUGUUGGGAUAUCGCAAUAUCUCUUAUUUAAUUAAUGCAUCUAUAUACUUGGUAAAGGGUGGAAGGCUCGGCCUUAUGCCUGGUGUUUUGUUCUACUCUUGCCGCCCUAGUUUCCGUCAUAUCGGUGUUAUGUUCCCGGAUUUUGCGUUCCUUACGCGAUUGGGUAAAAUGGGAACCCCUUGACAGUUCGCCUUGAAUAAAACUCUUCCAGCAAUGCCCAACAUUGGUUUUACCAUUCGCCACCUAGACUUUUCUUUUCCAUUGGGGGUCGCGCGCCCAAGGGUCAUCAUUAUUUUAAACCCCCGGGCCAGUGCUCCUCUGAGUGUUGGUCCACCUCGUCAGCCGCCGGUAACCACCAGGGGCAACUCUGGGCUGGCCUACCAGAAGUUUAGACAAUCCGGUGGGCCCUGAGAAAGAGAUAUGUGUAGCUCCUAUCGGGAUUUGUUGGCACAUUCGGGCGGUGUUGCUGGUUUAGUUUUACCUUGUCGAAAUGUCUUGUAACCGGGAUUCCGAGUCUGAUCGGGUCUUCCCGCUAGAAGGAAUAUCCUUCAUUGACCGUGAGAGCUUGUGAUGGGCUAAGUUGGGACACCCCUGCUGGGAUUUGAACUUUCGAAAGCCGUGCCCGCGGUUAUGGGCAGAUGGGAAUUUGUUAACGUCCGGUUGUAGAUAACCUGAAGUGGAACUUAUUUAAAAUACAUCAACCGCGUGUGUAACCGUGAUGGUCUCUUUCCGGCGGAGUCUGGGAAGUGAACACGGUGUUGGAGUUAUGCUUGACGUAGGUUGUUAUAGGAUCACUUCUUGAUCAUAGUUCUUCGUUCGUGCUUUGCCUUCUCUUCUCGCUCUCUUUUGCGAACAGGUUAGCCAUCAUAUAUGCUAGUCGCUUGCUGCAGCUCCACCUCAUACCUUUACCUUACCCAUAAGCUUAAAUAGUAUUGAUCGCGUGGGUGUGAGAUUUCUGAGUCCCCGUGACUCACAGAUACUUCCAAAACCAGCUUGCAGGUGCCAUUGAACCAUGCCGAUGACGCAACCAAGCUCAGGAGGAGCUCGAUGAAGAUCUUGUCCUUUGUGUUGUUUCGUUCUAAUUGAUCAGUAGUGGAGCCCAGUUGGGGUCGAUCGGGGACCUUGUCGCAUUUCGGGCUCUUCUUUUAUUUUGGCUCCGUAGUCGAACCUUGAUUGUAACUGGUUGAUGUAAUGCUUUAUUCAUGUAAUUGUGUGAAGUGGCGAUUGUAAGCCAACUAUGUAUCUUUUCCCUUAUGUAUUACAUGGGUUGUGCAAAGAUUAACUCACUUGCGACAUUGCUUUCAAUGCGGUUAUGCCUCUAAGUCGUGCUUCGACACGUGGGAGAUAUAGCCGCAUCGAGGGCGUUACAAGUUGGUAAUCAGAGCCUUCCCCGACCUUAGGAGCCCCCACUGCUUGAUCGUUAUUAGCAGCCGUUGUUGAGUCUAGAAAAAUGUUUUGAGUCAUUUAGGAAUUAUAUAUCGGAGAGUUUAGGAAUUCUUUUUACUCCCCAGUCCCUUCAUCGCUCUGGUAAGGCAUCCUGACGUAGAGUUUUGACUCUUCUCUUCUCAAAUUUCACUAAAAAAAGUUAGGAUCACGCGGGUAUCUUGGAAUCGUUCCGAUCGAUUUGUGACGAGAACAUUGUUCUUGGUGCCUCCUGGCAUUUACGGGUUGUGGCAGUGUCCCGGGGAGUUGAGCUCCGAGGUGUUGUCGUCACAAUUUUAUUGUUGCAGUUCUGGAAUACCUGAGUUUAGUACGCCGACAUCGAAAAUCUCUUUUAUGCAGUUGUUGGUGAGAUAACCUCGACGCCACCCAGUACUGGGGCGGGAGUUCGGGAGUAUUGCCAUAACUCGUAUAACGGAUGCUUUUCGAAGGUUGAGGUAGAUGAUUUUCGAAGGUUUCUUGGUUAUGUGUUGAAGGAUGGAUACAGCUGGAUGUAGGAUUUGCUAGUUUUGGGUGAGAUAUUAUGCUUCCCCUGUAUACCCAACACCUGAUUGCAUAACCGGGAAAAUUUCAGGAGUUUAUAAGUGGGAAUUCAAGUAGCUCGUAGGAUAUCUUUCCCACAGAUGUAUGAUAUGAAAUUGGGGUUCGAUGUCUAGUGGUCCGCCUAUUCACGGUUGGUUUUACAGUGGUCUCGUUGUGUCUUAAAGAGUCCUUGGCUAUGCAGACUCGGGGAUGCUUCGUAUGUCAUGUGCACUGCCUUGUACAUGAUGGUGCUGUACAAUCGAGCCCGUGUAGGCCCCACCACGAAAACUUCGGACGAAAUAUCUAUCAUAUGUUUGUUCCGGCUUAUUUUGCAAGCCAAUCCUUUGUUUUUUUUUGAGUUGUGGUAUUCGAGUUGCUUCGAAGUCAAAUGUUGAUUCCAUACCUUCUUUAAACGGUGUUCUCAUCUUCCGGUGUGAAUACAAAUUCUUCAUGAUAAUCAAGAUUGUCUUGCCAAUCCUUUCAAUCGGUGUGCUUCUCUUCAAGCGGAUCCGUCCAUUUUAAACAUCCACAAGAUUCAAUCUAAGCUCUCUCAACGUUGUUUGUUUCAUCCGUCUCCAAGUUGUCUUUGUUUUCCCACCCUCCCACCCUUGUUUCUUCAAGGACUCAGAUUUCUUAAUCAAGUAUCUUUUUAUUCAUGUGAAGUAUCUCCAUUCUUUUCCUUCAUGUUCUUACCCGGUGAUUAUCAAGAAGAUUCUAACGGAGCUUCAAAUUCGUCACUCGUCACUCUUCUUCUUCUUCGGUGGGUUCAAAUCAAGCUUUGGUGUUGAUCAUAUCAUUUUUCCUCGUUUCAAAUACCUUCUCAUGCCGGUGCACCUCAUAUUCAUUCACUUCUCGCUAUUUAAUUGUUCCGGAGUGCUCAAGAUAUCCCGAAGAUUCAUGUUUUCCACUCUGCAUGCAUUCAAAAUCUUUCGAGGAUGUUCUCUCAUUCUAGACAUUUAAUUCAACCGGUGCAUUCUCCCUUUUAAAUUAUUCUAUAGUGUUUCUUUUGAGUGGGCCCUAACCCACAGGUCUUUUUCCAGGAUCUUACCUGACUCUUCUAAUUUCCGGAGUUAUUCUCAUAUUCAUCUCAAAGUUUGACGUAAGAAUGAUUUAUCAUCAGUCAAAUGCCCUUCUCCAAGAUCGGUUAAAUUCUUUUCAUCGUUGGCUCAACCUUUUCUAUUCUUCAUUCCGGAGUGUCUAAACAAUUCUUGGUGGUGUUUCCUGUCGUAAUUCUCAGAUUUUGAAGGCAGAAGAAGAUUUUCCCUCCAAAUCAUAUCCGUUCUCUCAAGAUUCAUGGUUCUAGCCUUUUGCCAUCCUCUCAUAAUUAUUUUCGAUUGGGAGAAUCUUUUUCACCCAUCAGGAGAUAUUCAAGGGUAUUUUCAGUUCGAUUAUCCGGAGCCCAUCAUUUCAGAAGACUUGUUCACUCUCAGCUUUCAGCUCUCGUUCCCCAUAUCUCACCGGUGCAUCAUUCAAGUAUUCUCUAAUCGGUUCGUGAUCUCUUCGUUCACUUUUAUCUAAAUCCUCUCAAGUAUCUUCAUUCUUCUUAUAAUUCUUCCCGGUGAUUCAUUCCUUUAUUUCAUUCGUUUUUCAAUUCUUACGGUGGUUCGUGCAAGAUUCCUCUUCUUUCGUUAUCAUAUCAAUUCAUUCGCUGUUUCGAUUCCACCAGUGUUGCGUUGAAGACCUUCCCAAGUUGACGCUAUAUCUAUCUUAAUCCUUUUCUACGAGAAUAAGUAAUAUGCCAAAUCCGUUGAUUGCCAUCAAUUUAAUUGGUGAAGGAUAAGCAUAACAUAAUUCUUAUUCUUGUUCAUUCAAGUGAUUAAUUCUUUAUUCCGGAGGCCCUUCAAAUUCUUGUUCUCAUUUGUUUCAUCUUCUCUUUUUCACAGAGUUCCAACCUCUUUCAAUUAUAUUAUCACGGAGAUCUCUAUCUAAAUCAUUGCGAGGCUUCAAUCUUGUUCUUUUCAUCAUUCAAUUAUUUUGGAUCAUUCUUUUAUUACCGGAGUUCUUCAUGAAGGUUCUACAUGAUGGAUUCACCAAGGAUUUAAUUCCUUCUCAAAGUGUUCAUUGACAUUCUUUGCUAAGAAGCUCAAGUUUUUCUUCAUCUUGCUAUCCGAAGUGCAAUUCUUUCUUCCGAAUCAUUGGAGGUGGUAUUAUGUCAUUCUUGAUAACUUCAGUUCAUGUUUCAUGAUUCACUUGUUGUUAAGAAUGAGGUAUUUUAAGUCCACCAAUCUCUUCGUUGGAGUUAUCUUGUGUCAUGCUUCACCUAUAGCCUUCCCUAAGGAUUGUUGCUAAUUUUGGUGCUCAUAAAUGAUCCAAGUUCUUCAUUUAUCCUCCCGGUGAUAUAAGUUUCUCGUCUCCUUGUUCAUACCAAUCCAAUUCUUCUUCCCGUGAGUGGGGAGGUUGUCACCUCAUAAUUCUGAGAUGUAUUCCAUAAGACCAUAUCAAGAUUAUUCUUUCCGUUGUUGGUUUUCCAACAACUCCGUUCUAGCAUUUGUCGUAAGCGCGUUCUACCAAGAUCUUGUUUUUCUCCUCCGUUCAUUCCAUUCCAUCCUCUCAUUUCUUCCGGAGGCUUUGUGAUGUUGCUCUCUUCAAACCAUCUUCUUGCUUUGUCAAGAUCAUUUUCUUUCUUUUGCUCAUCCAUUUAACCAGAGUGUUGUGUCCUCUAGUCAAGUUCUUUUCGCCUUAUCAAGACUUGCAUCUCUUUUCAACCGGAGUGCUGUCUGACACCUUUCUUACCCCUUGUUCCAUUCAUUCAAUAGUUCCGGAGGCAGUGUGUCGUGUUUUCAUUCAAGUAUCUUCUCAUCUUAUCAAGUUCUUCUUCAAUUCUUUUUCUUCUCAACUGGAGUGCUGCCCGAAGAUGUUUCUUCCUUGUUCGUUUUUCCUAACGGAGUGUUUUCCACUUUGUUCAUCUCCGUUGUAUUAUUCUUUUCAACUUGUUCAACCUAUGAAGGCUUGUGGUUUCACUCGUUUGUCAAAGAAGCAACUUAGUUUUACCUCUUCUCUUUUCUCUUCCGUUUUCCCUCCGGUGCCAUUCUAGAUCUCGGGACGAGAUCCUCUCGUAGUGGUGGAGUGUUGUAACGCCCCGAGACCCAUGCGCCAGGUGUCCUCCAGUUAUCCACUGUUGUUGCUUUGUCAUUGCUUGCGUGUCAUGCAUUGCAUAUCAUGUCAUCAUGUGCAUUUCAUUUGCAUACAUGUUCGUCUCAUGCAUCCGAGCAUUUUCCCCGUUGUCCGUUUUGCAAUCCGGCGCUCCUAUGUCACCCGGUGUCCCUUUCUACUUCUUUUCGUGUGUGGGUAUUAAACAUUUCCUGAUAGGACCGAGACUUGCCAAGCAGCCUUGGUUUACUACCGGUAGACCGCCUGUCAAGUUUCGUACCAUUUGGACUUCGUUUGAUGCUCCAACGGUUAACCGAGGGACCGAGAAGGCCUCGUGUGUGUUGCAGCCCAACACCCUUCCAAUUUGGCCCAAAACCCACCAUAACCCUCUCCAUCAUCUAGAUCGUUCGAUCACGAUCGUGUGGCCGAAAACCGCACCUCAUUUGGACUCUCCUAGCUCCCUCUACCUAUAUAUAUGUGCUCCCCUCCCGAAAUUCGCGGAUGAACCCUAACUUCGUCCUCUCCGCGCCGCCGGACACUUCUCCACCGCGCCGGACAUGUCCGCGCCGCCGUCCCCGACGAAUCCGCCGCCGCCACGUCGCCAUUUCCCUUCUCCUACCGCGCCGGCCACCCGGGGCCCAGAUCCGGCCCGCCCCGGGGCCGACCAGGGCUGCGCCGGGCCCGUCUCGUCGCGCGCCNNNNNNNNNNNNNNNNNNNNNNNNNNNNNNNNNNNNNNNNNNNNNNNNNNNNNNNNNNNNNNNNNNNNNNNNNNNNNNNNNNNNNNNNNNNNNNNNNNNNNNNNNNNNNNNNNNNNNNNNNNNNNNNNNNNNNNNNNNNNNNNNNNNNNNNNNNNNNNNNNNNNNNNNNNNNNNNNNNNNNNNNNNNNNNNNNNNNNNNNNNNNNNNNNNNNNNNNNNNNNNNNNNNNNNNNNNNNNNNNNNNNNNNNNNNNNNNNNNNNNNNNNNNNNNNNNNNNNNNNNNNNNNNNNNNNNNNNNNNNNNNNNNNNNNNNNNNNNNNNNNNNNNNNNNNNNNNNNNNNNNNNNNNNNNNNNNNNNNNNNNNNNNNNNNNNNNNNNNNNNNNNNNNNNNNNNNNNNNNNNNNNNNNNNNNNNNNNNNNNNCCUCGCCGCCGCACCCGGCUGCCCGCGCCGCCCUUCGCCGGCUACCCGUGCCGCUUCUCGCCGGCGUCCAUCUCCGGUACCGCCCCGACCUCGCCGGAGUUCUUUCCCCACCGGAUCCGGACGGGUGGGAUGAGAUCCACCCGUCCCACGAACCAAACAGCCCCUCCCGAUCCGGAUCUCGCCAUCCCGCUUCGUCCGGUCCCGUUGACUUUCUCGGAGUGGUAAUUUCUCUAAGUCCCCGAAUUCCCGAUUCAAAUGCCCUUGUUCAUCAAGCUAUAUCUCCGCAUCCGUAGCUCCGUUUUGGACGUGUAGCAUGUCAAAAUGUUCGCCUCAGAGAGCACAUCAUUUCAUCUCAUUGCAUCAUUUUCAUUUGAGUUCAUCUUCAUGCCCGAAAUGCUGUUGGAAGAGUGCUAUUUGAGUUAGCUGUCAGAUCUGCUGCUCCAAAUAGCUAUUUGUCAUUUUUGCCAUGAUUAAUGUGUGCAUGAUAUGCCCCUGAGCUCUACAUGUUUUUUGUUAUAUGCCAUGCCAUCUUUCCAGAGGUGCAACCCAUGUAUUUUUGUGAUGUGUGUGGUGACUAGCACAAGCUUGCAAAGUGGCGCAUUCGUUAAUGCUGAUUUCAGGGACUUGGCAAUUCCACCAAGUCCUUGAUCUAUUUUAUCAAUAUGCCAUAUGUUCAUGUUGUUUCCUAGUGAUCCGUGCCUCUUUUGAGGAUGAUCAGUAAGGAUGAUGUGUUUAUCUUGUAGUGCUAUAUCCAUCCAUGUCUUUGUUUGCAAUUAUGGAGCACCCUAGCUAUAUUCAAUCGAGCUCUACUUUUGCUAUUUCAUAAUUCCUGGCAGAUUGUCUACUUGUUAGCGAUUUUGCCGAGGAUGUUGUUGUUGAUCUGUGCAUGCUAUGUUGUUGUUCUUGCCAUGGCUAGCUUGUAUAAUGUGUAUUCUUGAUGGGUGUGCACUUAGUUUGUCAUGACUUCCUCUGUAGUGAGUGCAUCGAGCUCAUAAACAUGCCUACUCGCUAUCUGAUUUGCAUGUUCCAGUUUUUCACAAAGUCUGUAAUCUGAUUAUGUUUUUGCCAUGUUCAAGUGCCUGCAAUUGUAUUUUGUGAUCCCUUUUGGCUCAAGGUCACUAAGGGACUUUUGUUAAGCUCUUUGAGUAGCUCCAUGCCAUGCCUUGCUUUGCCAUGUUAAGUUCCUGUAGCAUAUAGUUUUCAUGCUUCAAAGUGUGCUACCUGAUCUGAAAUUCCAGGCUUGUGUUAAUUUUCACUAAGUCUGAAUCUGUUUACCAAUUGCACUUUUGCCAUGCUUGUUUGAACCUGUUAAUGGAUGAAUUGGUCGUAGCUCAGUGUUCAUAUUUUGUAAAGCAUCAUGAGUGGAUCCCUGCCAUGUAUUUUGUUGCCAUGUUUGAGUGAUGUAGCAUGUUCAUCUUGUUGCAUUUAGAUGGUUAUUCGCUGUUUAUCGCAGACCGGUGUCAUAUUUGUUUUGCUUGCCAUUUCCAAACCGUGCAUCCGAUUCCGGCGAUCUUUAUAUCGAUUUCAACCAAAGUCACCUCACAUUUCCAGUGGCACACUUGGAUUUCCAAGUUGAGGCCAGGUUCAAUCAUUCCUUUGCAAAUCAUGCAUAUGCACCGCAUCCCGCAUCCCGCAUAUCAUACCAUGUUCAUGCGUGGUUUGUUUACUAUGUUGUGUGUUUCUUUCCGGUGUUUGCUUCUUCGGGUUGGUUCCGGUAACGUCGCGUUUGUGAGGACCCGUUCGUCUAUGUCCGUUUGUCUUCUUCAUGGACUCGUUCUUCUUCCUUGCGGGAUUUCAGGCAAGAUAACCAUACCCUCGAAAUCACUUCUAUCUUUGCUUGCUAGAUGCUCGCUCUUUUGCUAUGCCUAUGCUGCGAUACCUACCACUUGCUUAUCAUGCCUCCUAUAUUGUUGAACCAAACCUCUAACCCACCUUGUCCUAGAAAACCGUUGUUUGGCUAUGUCACUGCUUUGCUCAGCCCCUCUUAUAGCGUUGUUAGUUGCAGGUGAAGAUUGAAGUUUGUUCCUUGUUGGAACAUGGAGAUGUUGUUCCUUGUUGGAACAUGUUUAGUUGUUGGGAUAUCACAAUAUCUCUUAUUUAAUUAAUGCAUCUAUAUACUUGGUAAAGGGUGGAAGGCUCGGCCUUAUGCCUGGUGUUUUGUUCCACUCUUGCCGCCCUAGUUUCCGUCAUAUCGGCGUUAUGUUCCCGGAUUUUGCGUUCCUUAUGCGGUUGGGUAAUAAUGGGAACCCCUUGAUAGUUCGCCUUGAAUAAAACUCUUCCAGCAAUGCCCAACAUUGGUUUUACCAUUCGCCACCAAGCCUUUUCUUUUCCCUUGGGGGUCACGCGCCCAAGGGUCAUCAUUAUGUUAAACCCCCAGGCCAGUGCUCCUCUGAGUGUUGGUCCACCUCGUCACCCGCCGGUGACCACCAGGGGCAACUCUGGGCUGGCCUACCGGAAGUUUAGACAAUCCGGUGUGCCCUGAGAAAGAGAUAUGUGCAGCUCCUAUCGGGAUUUGUCGGCACAUUCGGGCAGUGUUGCUGGUUUAGUUUUACCUUGUCGAAAUGUCUUGUAACCGGGAUUCGGAGUCUGAUCGGGUCUUCCCGCUAGAAGGAAUAUCCUUCGUUGACCGUGAGAGCUUGUGAUGGGCUAAGUUGGGACACCCCUGCUGGGAUUUGAACUUUCGAAAGCCGUGCCCGCGGUUAUGGGCAGAUGGGAAUUUGUUAACGUCCGGUUGUAGAUAACCUGAAGUUGACCUUAUUUAAAAUACAUCAACCACGUGUGUAACCAUGAUGGUCUCUUUCCGGCGGAGUCCGGGAAGUGAAAACGGUGUUGGAUUUAUGCUUGACGUAGGUUGUUAUAGGAUCACUUCUUGAUCAUAGUUCUUCGUUCGUGCUUUGCCUUCUCUUCUCGCUCUCUUUUGCGAAUAGGUUAGCCACCAUAUAUGCUAGUCGCUUGCUGCAGCUCCACCUCAUACCUUUACCUUACCCAUAAGCUUAAAUAGUCUUGAUCGCGAGGGUGUGAGAUUGCUGAGUCCCCGUGACUCACAGAUACUUCCAAAACCAGCUUGCAGGUGCCGUUGAACCAUGCCGAUGACGCAACCAAGCUCAGGAGGAGCUCGAUGAAGAUCUUGUCCUUUGUGUUGUUUCGUUCUAAUUGAUUAGUAGUGGAGCCCAGUUGGGGUCGAUCAGGGACCUUGUCGCAUUUGGGGCUCUUCUUUUAUUUUGGCUCCGUAGUCGGGCCUUGAUUGUAACUGGUUGAUGUAAUGCUUUAUUCAUGUAAUUGUGUGAAGUGGCGAUUGUAAGCCAACUAUGUAUCUUUUCCCUUAUGUAUUACAUGGGUUGUGUGAAGAUUACCUCACUUGCGACAUUGCUUUCAAUGCGGUUAUGCCUCUAAGUCGUGCUUCGACACGUGGGAGAUAUGGCCGCAUCGAGGGCAUUACAAAAGGUUUGGAAAAAAACAUGCUCCUAAUGUUGAACCAGUUGGACUUUUUGUGCAGUUCCACUAAAAUCGAGCAUCCCUGUUUGCAUAGAUAUUGAAAGUGUGAUUACUCUAAAAGUGGCACUAGUUGAAGCAUAGACUCAAAAAUAUCAGCAUUCCAAAUUCUUAAUGGGAAAAGGUAGCAAGACUGUUUCUAACCACCUGUUUGAAGGAAUAAAUAAAGCAACAAUGGCUGAUGUCAGGAAGGUAUACAUAGUUUUUUCUGAAAAACGGAGCCAUUCCUGACCUUUCCUCUUCUUUUAAGCAAAUUUUGUGCAGUUCUACUAAAAUAAAAUGCCAUAACCACCUUGACAAUUCAGUGACACUGUACAAAAGGAAAUGACUUAACAUUACAUCAUGAUGUCUGGUAUGUAGUCGACAGGCAUUAGAGACAAACAUAUAGACCUCCUCCGAUAACAUAAUGAACAUUAAUUUUAACAAAGGUGUGACUAGCUUUACCAGGAUAAUUUGAGUGAACUCUACACCCUUUGUUCCUUAAUAUAAGACGUUUUCGCGGUUCAAUUUAAAGUACCCAAACGUCUAGUAUUUAGAAAAAUAGGUAGUAGUUUUCUUGAGCACAUAUCUGGGAAAGCUUGCCACACUUUAUUUAUGUCCAUAAGCUAAUGCAACACCAUUCGAAUACUACAAAUAUACACUAAUCCAGUGGCUAGUGCAACAGUAGAGUAGUUAGUUUAUUACAGGGUAUAGUACAAUGGUUUUACUAAACAAAUUUCAAUAAACUCUAGCACUAGAAGGUUCCUAUAAGAAUUAACAAUACAAAAUGUCAAGGUAACAAGUUUCAGCAUUGGUAUACUAGCUGUGCAUGAGCAUUAAACCAAAUACAAAAGUCUGAAGUUAACUAGCAUUAUUAACUAAUGACAGUAUAAAAAAAUUGCAAACCAUGUACCUCCAAGGUAAAUAUCAUUUCGAACUUGGGGGACCUUAAAAAUUGCUAUCCCAAUCUUGAUAAUCGAUUAAACAUAAAAACUUGAUUGAAUGAAUCAAGAGAACAGCCGGAGGAGGAGGUGCCCACUCUUGACCUUUCCUCUUGUCUUCAUAAUUGUCUGUGCAGUUUAACCAAAAUAAAAUGACAUCAGCGCCUUGGCAUUUUGGUGACACUGUACAAAAAAUUAACUUAUCUCAUGAAAGUGAGGUAUGUAAUCUAUAAGCAUUAACAGUGCAAAAAUUUGAAGGUAGUAACAAGUUUCAUCGUUGGUAUACUAGCUGUGCAACAGCAUUAGAAUGCCUUAGCUGAAAAAUCUUUAAUACAUCCACAAUCAACAGCUAACCCUGAAAUAAUCUAGUGACAUUAAAUGGCAUUGCUUAAAUUUAUCGGUGGCAUUAGACUGAGAGCGGCAUUAGUUAAAUGUGGCAUCACUUUAGCAGUAGCAUUGCUUGACUUGACUGCUGGCGUUAUACUAACAGCAAAAAAGUGGCAAUAAGAGCAUGGGAGGCCCAUUCGGACAGUGGGCGCACCAGUACGAUGUACCUCCAUGGACGCAGAGUGGUGAGGGAGGUAUGGUUUCCCAGAGCAACAAAUAUCCAGGCAGCAUAUGUGGAUUACGUCCCAUUUUUGUUCUCUUUAGCCACCUUUUUCCUAUGCGAGGACAACAAACCAAUCGACUUGGUCAUUCUCUAUUGCGUUGUCAUGCCUUUCUACCCUUCUUCAACAAAGAGACACGAGACUCGUUCCUUAGCUACUAAUUUUCACCUUUUCAACCUAGAUGCGGGUUUGAUGCCUACUCUCUUGGACAGUACAUUCUCCCUUCCUUUCCUUAUUCAACCCAGACAUGGAUUAGUCUGCAUGAAGUAGGGUUUCAUUUAAUAGUGCAAAUUAUGGUUUUUGUCUGCGUGCCUAGCAGAGGAGAGGAUAGCAAAUUGGGAAGAUGGUGGAGUGGAAAAAGAUCCACAUGCAACGACGUGGCAGAUGGGGCAAUAGAACAAGGUUAUGGUUCGAAUAGAGGUAGCAUACCUGAGGGUCGGUGGGAAGUGGCUUCGCUCGUGGUCGUCGUCCUUCGCACACACUACGGCAGCAAGCUUGGGGACGGAUGCCAUCCUGCCCGGGCGCUAGGUCUGAGAGGACGGCCUUGUCGUCAGUGCGUGACCUUGCUCGCCGACGAUGAGUGCGUCAACGCUGCACGUCCUUUUCUUCCCCGGCGGAUCUGUGACCACCGGUGAGGAGGGAGAGAGGGGCCGUCUUUUUUAGAUCUGAAGAGAGUGUGGUAGUGUGAGAAGCAAGUGGGCAGCCCUUAGCAAGAAAGCGCCGAAGCUCCAGCCUAUAUAUCUUUUUUAUACUACUAGUACUGGAGGUGGAGUAGUGGUAGAGUAGUUUAUAUUUUCUCUGCGUAUAGUACCAGUUAGUAGUGCUUCACGCCAUUAAAAAAAUAAAGGUCGAUAACUAAUGUGGCACCUCGGGCCAAUGCUGCCAGAUCGCAUUUUGCACGAGAAAUUACACACCAUGUUUUGUUGACAUGUGGUCUCGUUCCAACAUAUCAGUGAGACGACGGCGAGUAGUAGGAGUAUUUCCGAAUGGACGUGUAGGCCGGGGCGCCUCUUGGUGAACUGUGGCAAACUCGCAACCGUCCACCGACUCUUUGCCUUUCCCUCUCGAUUUAGAACUGCGGUCGCAUGCUCUUCCUCUCCCUCCUCCAUUUUCCUUCAGCCCUUCACCAUUUCUUCUGCCAUUGUUCGAUCGUCUUCUCCAUGGAAGAAACAGGCCGGAAACGACCCCGUUAUUCUUGCCCCGAUCUGAAAGAUGACGUGGUGGAGGAACUCAUUGAUCGGUGCGACGUCAUCACCUCGGCUAGCAUGGCAGGUUCGUUCAAGCCCAUUCUCGACUCAACUAAUAACAUCAUUACAAGGAACCCAAGAGUCAAGGAGCGGUUUGAUCUCCCCUAUCUUCUUCGCCGUGACCCUGAUGACUGGAGACGGCACGACGGAGGCCUCGCCCUGUGCAAGUUGAUGCCGCUUGAUAAUGAUACGUAUGAUGUUAAGAUGCCAUCGCUUGAGGGCAAGGCUUGGGCGGGUGCAAAUGGAGAUUGGUUUGUUUACAUUGGGUCCAACUGCGAGUGGGAACUUGUGAAUGUGUACACUAGUGACCGGGUUCCACUUCCAAAAAUCUCAGCAGACUGCCCAGAGGUUGAGCACACCGGUAUUGUACGCACGUUCAAAUACGAUCAUGGUGACUGUCUUCUAUGGAAGAUAGAAAUUUGUUGAGUUCCCAACCGCUCUUGGAAUCACAACAACUAUGAAGUUGUUGCUAUCUUCGACAAGCUUGUUGCCGUCCUUGGUGGUUUGACUCGAUGGAUAUUGCUCAAAAAUCAUUUUCUGUACACGGAUGAGUACUGUGAUGCAAUUCAAUACGAGGGCCUUGUGUUUGCUGCCACCACUCGUGGCACUGUUUUUCCAUGGGAUCCUCAUAGUUUCGGUACGUUUGUCUUCCACCGUAAUUAUAAUUGUUUCAUCCACAUGCAUGUGGGUUAGCAAGUUUCCCUUUACUAAUUAACCUUCUUCUUGUGUUUCCAAGGUCCUGUUAACAUCCCACCACCUAUACUUGAAAAAAAUUAUAACCAAGGGGGAGAUGAUGAUGGUGAUGAUCACGAGCAUGAGGACGAGCAGUGCCCAUAUACUCUGUGGCGCCUGGCAACUAAUUCCAAUGGAUCACCUCUUCUUGUGUGUAUACAACCCACUUAUGAUGUUACUGCUAAGGAAGAAGGUGUAGUCUCCCAUGGUCGCACUCUCCGGACCUAUUCCAACACCCGUUGCAUGGUAUUCGGGAUGAAUACUAGUGUGCUAGCGCCAACUCCUUCUCCCUGGUACAGAAUUGAUAGUCUUGGAGAAAACUCGCUCUUCCUUGGACAAAACUAUCCGAUGAUGGUGAAAGGCGAUCCAACUGCUAUUGACACAACGUUACUAGUACCAUUUAUGAGAAGCAACUGUGUCUAUACCUCGGACAUUUGGGUGGUUCCCUACCCUGGUACUGAUAUAGUAGGCCGCUUCAGCCUUGAUGAUCAGUCUUGCGUUGGUCUCCAGAUCGACAAUGGAUGGCCCGUCCCAGAGAAUCACUUGUGGUUCAAAGCAAGCGUUUCCAACGCGGAGGAAUGGUUGAGUUUAAGUUGAUUUCAUUGCUUAUUAUUUGUUGUGUGGUGAAAACUUUAGUAUUUAUAAUGUAUCCUCGUUGUCGAUGUGGGUUGAUGACCUGUUGUAUGUAAUAAAAUGAUAUGUCUAUGAUAAACUUACUAAAUUUAUGAAUGGCUUUCGAGUUGCUUCUCUGAGUGAGUGGUGCGACGAGGCAAAAACAUAUUUUCCGAAUACAUAAUUGUACGUGCAUUGCAACAGGUUAUCGGAUGAGGCCAAUCAACAAUAGUAGUACACUAUUUGUACUAGCUUCACAUGCUUCGCGUGUCGGGCGAGUAUUUUUACUGUAGCCAUAUGUUAAUGUGUUCGUUGUACGUAACCAGCACCUCGAAUCCUCGAUACUAGUACUAUAUAUUAGGAGUAAAUGGUAAGAGUAGUAGGGUGGCAUGGGCCAGAACAAGCAUUCACGUCCAGGAGUACGACACACGCCACCACCACGACAUCCAUCUGACACCAUAUUAUUUCUCAGAGUCCGUGCUAGAGCAAUCUCUUCAACCUCGUCGCUUCUCUAACUUCAGCCAUCACGUGGCGGGCGAGGCGGGGGUUUGUCGAUAGUUACUUUCCUUAACUGCGGUCCCACUUGUAAGGCCAACUCCAACGCAUGACCCCAAACAGACCUCCGUUUUGCACGAAGUCCAACGAUAAUUUUGACUAGAAAAGCAAGACCAAAGAAAACAAGAACCACAAGAAUACAUUUUACUACUCCUGUAAGUUGGAUUAGUGCCUUCUCGAUGCAUUCAUUGUUGAUCAGCGGAGGCUCGAUCUUGCGUGCUUCUUUCUUCUUCGAGUGUAAAGAAGUAGACGUUGCUUCCUCGCAUCUAGUCUCAUGUCUAGCCUCUAUUCUAGUAGGAGUAUCAACAAGUGCACUAAUCUCAUCUCUAGCCUCUAUGCUAGCUAAAAGUGAUAGAACAUCUACUAAAUUGCACUCUAUCAAUAUAUGGAUGUACUCUUCUUCCCAAUACAAAAACUUGCAACCAUUCUACUCCCUCCGUUGCACAAUACAUGCCUUCUAUUUGUCAAAAUAUAUAUGUAUCUAGACAUGUUUUAGUAUAUAUGUACAUCCAUUUUUGGACAAAUGGAAGUCAAGUAUUUUGGAACGGAGGGAGUACACAAUAAAAAUUUUAAGUUAGCACAACUAGUCUAAUCCAAGAGCACAACCGAAGAUUUGAUCGGGUUAUUCCUCCUUUUGCCGACACGUGGGACAUCCAGCAUCCAGGUCGUGUCAUGAAACAAAAUAGAGUGGUAGUUGAAGCCACGAGAUGUGCAUAUUGGGUUAAACUGUAAAUAGAAUCUUGCUACUCUUGAGUAACUCCAAAAGCGGCCACCGAAGAUCUUUAUUGGAUUUGUUUUUCAUCACCAGCACAUCGAGGUGAAAGAUGUGCAGGUUCAGUGGGUCCUCUUGCGUUUUUCACUGACAUGUGGGGCCGCAUGUGAGCAAACAGACGAGGGCUCCGCGCGUCCGCUGGUUGGCUGAGAAGAGAGAUAGAGGAGGGCUGAGCACGGACUGCAGGAAAUUUGUUCUAUAUAUGUACCUCGAUAUAGGCUCGAUAUAGUGGGGUGGCAUGGGCCAUAACUAGUAUUCACGUCUAGCAGUACGGCACACGCCACCCACACGAGUCCCAUCCGACACCAAUUUUCUUGGUGUCCGUGCUACAGCCAUCCCUUCUUCCUCCUGUUUUCUCAGCCAUCGCGCGGUGGGCGGGGUGGGGGUUUGCCGAUAGUCGGUUUGCUCAACUGCGGUCCCACUUGUAAGUGAAAAUGCAACACCACACGCAUUCCCGCUUGAGCGGCGUGCCAAACCAACCGUGUGGGGGUGCAAUGUGAACACGGCAGGCUUUUCCUUUUGAACUCGUAACUUGUAAAAUUUGGUUAUGCUCCAUGGCGCGACCGAUAGAUAGAAAAUAACGAUUUUGCCUAGAGUAAUGAGAAGUUUGGUUCUGGCGUCGUACAUGCAUGGAGUACGUACGAAAAUUAUGAAGUUGAUGCGAAAGGUAAGAUAAUUACUAUAGUAUCAUAUAUUACUACAUAGAUUUCAGGGAAAGAUAAAAAUACAUACGGAUCCAUCAACGACAUCCUCACACUCUAGUGCGCCGGGUCACCAACCGACGUGUGAGGAGCAGCGGCGUUGGCGGCGAGCUCAACAUGCUUCUGAACAGUGCCGUCCAAGGUUGCCCUGCGGUCCAAGAAGGCCAGUGUCCUAUCGUCCUCCUCUUGCAUGUAGUAGUCCUUAUGGACGAUUUGCGCGUAGACGUGGGUGAUUAUGUCGAUGGUGUCUUGCUGCGCCAGGCGUUGCGCGGCGAGCGCGACGUCGAGGUGGACAUUCUCUGGUGCGACGACGGGCAGUCACAGGGCCACCAGUGCGUCGAAGAGGUUUUCACCAUAGUGGCCGUUGAGGGUGGCGGGCAUCGCAGAGCCUGGGCGUGUCAGUUGGAGGCUUACGUCAAAGUCGUUUGCAAGCUUCUUGACGAUGGUGAACUUGUCGAGGAAACCGACGAGGACCUCAUCGAACAAGGCGACGAAGAUGUUGUCCAAACGGCCCCUCGCCCUAGCGGCCUCAAGCAAUACUACCUGGAGACAUUCCUCUGUGCUGGGCCGCAGGCCGGCGUCGUGGACCAUCUGGCACAGCCAGCUGAUGCUCGCGCUCAUCGCCUCCAGGGCCUAGCUUAGCUUCUAGUCAACUGAUCUUGCGAUUCGAGUGAACACUCUUGCCCUUGGUUAGCGUGCGUAGGUGCGUAGGAUUUCGCACUCCUCCUCGGCCCUCUACUGCACCUGCCUUUGGCUGUAUGAUAGGUGGGCCAGCCACCCCCUGGGCCCACGUGUCAUUCACCCAAAGACAGUUGCCGUAAGUCAAUGAAGCUGCGUCCCCCUCCGUGCCGGUGCAGUAUAGUCAUCUCACCGGACCUCUAUUUGGAGCCAAACGAGAGAAGUUUGAUGUUUACUGGUUUAUUGGCCCCCUUUGCAUUUUGCACCAAGUUUUGACCUUUGAUUUAACUAAUAAAAUGUUAAUGCAUGUAAACAAAAAUGUUGUGUAAGUCACCUUACGAAAACAAAAUAAUCCCAAAAUACUUAGGCAUGGUGCAUUAACUCCCUCCGUGUUUCUUAUUUCGUGACAUAUCAACCAAUGAGAGAUGUGGGUCGUGCAUGCUUUCAAUGACUUGAGACUACCAAACAUGACAUGCAGUGUUUAGUUCAUUGCAUGUAAUCCUAUUAGUACUCUAGUUAGAAAAAAACAUUAAGUUCUCUCGCUGAUAGGAAUAAAACACCAUGUAUUUAUUUAUAGAGGGAGUAGUACAUUUUUUGUGACAUGCAUUACUAGAUAUUGCUAGUCAAAUACUAAAAUCUAGAAGGACGUGGUAGUACUCCUAAAUUCAUACGAUGGUGCUACUAGUACUAGUAGUAGUACUACCAAUGUAGUAGUAGGAGUACUAGCACUGUACUACCCGUUGGUCAAAUUAUUACAUGCUGCUCCUCACAGUGAGGUGACAAGACCCUGCGCCGGAGAUGACACCUGAGUAAAGGCGUCGUGUUCGGCAUACCAUAGUCAGCCUCACCGUCUGCAGUCACUAUCAUCAUGGCUGUAGAGCUAGCCUGCUUACAACUAGCCCUGUUUGACAUAAUUUCCCAUGCGUAGAUACCCGUGCAUUGCACGAAACACCAAGAUUGGGAGUCACUACAAGAAACUUGUUAAUACAUUACGGUACUAGUCCGUCACAGAUCAGCCAAAAUCUGUCAUGCGUGCAAAUCCAUGACGGAUUUAAAAUCCGUCAUGUAUAUCGCGUCAUAAUUUGACAGUGUACCUUCCAUGACGGUUCUUGGCCGUCAUGAAUCUGCCCCAGGCCCGCCAAGCCCAAACUAGGCUGUGACGGAACAAUCCGUCACCGAUUUACAUGACGUGGAUGCGACAUGGACCUAACAAGUCGUCUACAUGGAUCUGACGUGGAGGCUAAUAGCCCAUGUUGUAACCAGCCCAAUUAGGGAUUUGGCCCAAUAAUUUUGGUGGAUGAUCCAACCAAUCAGCUGUUUAUUUUUUGUACAACCUAUUUUCACAAUGGAACACAAUUUACAACAGGACAACCAAAUUUUAUUCAUUCAAAAAAUAGCAAUUGUUUACGUGACAAUACAGAGUUCCAACAAUCUAGUCUGAUUUGAGAAAACAAAGCUAAUAUCAAUCACAAGAAUAUCUAGAAAGCACUAUAAGCACCUUUAAAAAAUGAGUAACAUGACUUCAAAGAAAAUGCACUUCUACUGAUUUUAAUCUCAAACACUACACCGAUCCAAGGCAACUAUCCGGGCCCAAGCAAUUCCUGCUAAAAAACUUCAAUCUCAACUGCCAAACCUGCAUAGAAUCAAAACACAUACAAAAUUGUAAUAAGUUAUAAAAGCAAGCUUCCAAACUAAUCCAGAGUAAUAACAUCCGUGGAAACGCCACUACUAUAUUAUGGAAAUAGGUAAAUGUGUGUAACACACGUGAAAACAACAGACUAGUUACAAGUUCAAAAAAAUUAGUCUGAAGAAAAGUGUGCCAAAUGAAAGUAUAAUCUAAGUUAGGCUACAAGUGACAAGUAACAAGCACACAUCACAAAGCUAAAAGUACAGUAGCAGCAGCAGUUGGUCCAGUAAUCGGUUCUGGACCGAACAGACAAUAUGUGCAUGGGGCUAACCAGGCUGGGAGUUGUCUAUUUUCUGGCCUAGCGAACAAAGAUGAGACAUGUACUUAGUUUUUUUUCUGAGAGGAAGCAUUGCCCCUGUACAUGUAUUUAGUUUAUCUUGAUCAACCGUUUCUGUACUCUAAAAGAAAUGAGAAAAAAAAAGUGACAUGCACUUAGGUUUUUUUGUGAGAGGAAGAUGUGCGCACAUGUAAGUAUAGACACUGUACCACACCAUUCCUUAGCAAACAAAAAUGACACUGUACCACACCAUUCCUGGAUCAAAAUUUUCUGUAUAAGCGAGCAGCUGAAAAUUAUGUAAAAAAAAAUCCGCCAGCAUAGACACUGUACCACACCAUUCCUUAGCAAACAAAAAUGACAGUAAAGAAGUGGCAGACUAACUUCAAGAUAAUUAACACAAACUGGGCAUAAAAAUAGGCCAAGUUCAAAUCCAAAUAUGUUAUGUUGUGGACUAUACUAGCUCAAUAUUUAAAUCAAAAUCAGCACCUAAGGAUUUUUCAUCUAACUUGAUGCUUAUGCUGCAAGUUCAUCUCAAAGUGCCAACAAAUACAGUACUAAACAAUACUUGCUUGCCAAGUGAAGUUCAAAUGGCAUGCAAAACAUUAACAAAGAACAUGAUACAAUUUCAUUGAGAGAUCUCCCACACUAAUAGUUUAUUUGUGGGGUACUAAACUAUGUACUUUUAUUUCAUGAAAAAAUUAAAAUCUGCACUGUAGUAAAUUAUUAAACAAGAAAACACUUGAUAAACGGUGAACUAAUAGUUAGGAAAGUCUAGUAGAGUAUGGAUACAAUGCAUGAUCUCAGGGACAUUGUCCAAUGCAGAUUUUAGGCACACAGAAAUAUCUGUACAAUUAUAACUACUAGAACCACACAACAGUCCACACCUUGAACAACUCACAAUAGUCCACACCUUGAACAGCUCAAAAUCUACAGCCUGAAUAAUUCACAUCAAGAAUGGAAGGGUAUCAAGCUCACCCUAUUCUGCUCAAGGACGGUGUCGUCGGCAUCGAUUAUGUGGGAGAUGUACUGACUAUAAUGUGCAAAGCAAAGAUAUUAGUGUGACAAUUGGAUAUGUGGUUUCAUUCAUUAUUACUGAAAUGCAAAUGUUGUCUCAACUGAACUGAAUUCUUACAGAACUAUGCCUUCCCAAAUGUCUAAAUUUACUAACUGAAUUCUUAAAGAAUUGAUUCAAUUGCAUACUAACUGAACUAAGGAACAAUGUACAAUGGGUAGCCGUACAUUAUUUUCCAUCUUUGCAUUGGUGAGACUAAAACACAUAUAUCAGACACCAAAUUACUAGUCCUUAAAAUGUGCCAACUAAAAUGAAAUACCUUUUGAUGUGAUAUACACUAUAAACCUCUACAUGUCCAGCAGGCAGUAGCUAAACUGAACAUUUGCUGCCACUGACAGCACAUGCUUUUGACCCUAAACACACAUGAAGGUAUCAAGGAGGUUAAUUGAACAUGGUAAAACUGAAAUAUUUAACAUUUGUUGAUUUUAUAUCGAUUCAUUUAAUACAUUGAGGACCCUAAACAGAUAAAACAACCGAAUUAAAAAACAGAUGUGAGUUAUCAACCCUUCAGACUAGCAAACUUAUGGCAGUUUAUCUUAUGUAGCGUAAUGUAAAUACAGGAAUUAGCACACAACAUAAUUAUCCUUCUGUCAGUUUAUCCUCAUGUAUCCUUAUUUAGUUUAUAUUGCAUACAGGGAUUUUGUUUGAAUUACUGCUUCAUCUAUUCAUUUCAUUUCUUCCAUUCUGUCAUACGGAUUCCAUCUUUCCUUAGCUUUGUGAGUCCACACACCGGCUGUAGAGGAGGAACAAGCGUCAGUAUUUGCAUCUAAUUCAGAAGAUUAAAACAAGGAAGAAGAAAUACACUAACAAUUAAGAGCAUAUCUAGGAAAGGAGAAGUUGCACAAUAUAACUAGCUAAGGAGACCAGGCCAG
rnacentral:lncRNA from 1 species